AGAGCGUGCCGGGUGCGUGGGCCGUUUUUUUUGGUGAAUAAUUCGCAAAUCGCGAAUAAUUCGUGAAUAAGAAUUUUUGAUGAAAAAAAUGUAUUUUUUUUUUCGAAUUUUUGGGAAAAAUACGUAAACGGCAGUUUAAUUCGUUUCUUCAAAAAUUUGCGAAUAAUUCACGAAUUAUUCGCAAAUUUACUAACAGAGGGUUAAAUUACCAACUGUUAGUCAUGGAUUGAAAUAUUUGAGGGUUCAAAUUCGAAUUGGAAUUUAGACAAUUUUUUUUUAUUUGUAUUUAGAUUAAAGAUUUAGUAUGGUUACUGUAGCAGUUCGUGCGGUUAUUUAUUUUAAAGAAUAUUGAUGAGAUCAAUUUUGUUUAAAAUACUAGUUGAAAUUUGAUGAGAUCAAUUUUGUUUAAAAUACUAGUUGAAAUUUGAUGAGAUUAAAUUUUGGUUUUAAAAUUUUUGUUUUCUUUUUCACAUGGGAUAUGAAUUUUUGAUGAGAUCGAGUAGCUAUUUUUUGCGAAUUAAAUAUUUGAUCAAAAUAUGAAUUAACUGAUUAGUUAACAUAAGUGAUUGACAAGGUCCAUCUGUUUUGGUGAUUUGAUCACUUGUUAUUUUUCAAAUUGUUGGUAAACAAUUAAUUUGAAUACCCGAAAUUGAUUUUAUUGUGCAGGUAAUGUAUGAGAUAUAUAUUGGUAAUGAUCAUGAAUAGCAAUCUAUUUAUUUUAUUUUUAACUUGUGAUGUAUGAUGUAUAUGUAGAAUUUUGUAAUUUUAAAUUUAUUGAAAUUAAGGACUCUAUAUUAUAUAUGGCUAUUUUGGGUGCCUAUGUGCACAAGCCGAUUUUAUUUGGAGAGUUGCAUGUCUCAAUAGAUUAUAAAUAAAUAAAAUCAAAUAUAAUAAUUAAUAUUAUUUUAUUAUUAUUAUUAUUGUUGGGUUGUAUAUUACAUGGUUACGCGCCUGUCGCGUCCUAAGACCGCCACUUUGGUCGGAUUCGGGCGCGCACACAGACCGCCGAUGUAAUGUACUGGCUUCUUGAUAUAUUUAUGUAAGUGUAAAUAAAAAUAGUGUAAUAUACUAUUUUUAUUGGACUUAAAGAAAUAAAAUAUAAGUCGGAAACGACUUGUGCUGAAAUUGGAGUGGAAACAAAAGAUUUAGAAUUUUCUGUAAGAAGCGGGGCUGAUCUUUUAGCAGAAAAUUCACAGUGUCAGAAAAUUAUGAAAAAUUGAGAAUAUGUCGAAAUUAUUUUUAUGAGGCUAGAUUUAAAAUUUCAUGUCUUUCCGACACCUGAAAAGUGAAAAAUAAAAUAUAACUACUAUCUGCUAAAGAUUCUAGUCAGUAAAGUUUUCGGUGACCAAAAAUAUUCUAAACACUGAAAAUUUAAGGUAUAUUUCUUUUUAUUAGCUUAAACUGAGCCCGACUGUCAAAUUUGAGCACAAACGGACAUUCAGAAGGGCUCCGGCGAAAAAGAAUAGAUUCUGAGCUGCUAAACUGAAAUUAUGUUGAUGUGAGGAGUAUUGACUCUAAAAGGGGUUUCUUCCCUUUUUCCUUCUUCCUCCUCAGCCGAGCACACACCACACACACACACGCAUGGUGAGGGAGAGAGAAACCCUCCCUUUCUCUCUCUAGAUAUCUCCCUACUCUCUUUAUCUUUCUCUCCCAAAUUCGGAGGCUUGGCGGAGAGCGGGUUUGGGAACGCGUGUGGAGUGACAGAUCGAGCCUUCGUGCGCUCGGUUGAGCGGCGUGCUUCCGACUCGGCGUUUGCAAUUUGGUAAGUGUUUGGGAUUUGGUUAAUCCUUAAUGCUUAGUGUUCUGGUAGACUCUAAAGUGUCUCUACCAUAUGUUCUCCAUGAAUACUUAGGUUAUUUGGGAGAAAUGAGAAGCUAGGUGUCACGGACUUAACGAAUUUGCUCGCAAAAGUCCGUGCGGCGCUCGCCUUCCGCCNAGUGGCCCCCCCGUUGAGGGUCACGUCCACGAACAGCAGCUCCUUCUUGAGCGGUUUGUUGCUCCCCUGUCCCUGGAUCGCGCUGACGAGUCGUAGCGCGCCCAUCUUUGUCUCUGCUUGUUCCUCGCCCUCCUCGGCUUGGAUGGCAUUGACGGUCUUCUUCUUUGGGCAAUCUCUCGCCCAGUGAUCACCCCCGCAGACAUAGCAAGAGAUCUUCUUCUUCUGCGGAGGGCCUUUUCGCUAUUGGCCCUUGUGAUCACACUGCUCGCGGCGGUCUCCCCCACCCUUGGCCUUGCCCGCCUUAGAUGGUUUGCCACGAGCGAAGUCCGGCUUGUCAUACUCCAGCAGCUUCUGCGCUUGAGCGAUAGCGAAGCUUACAUCUUUGACGUCUCUCGCCACGAGCUCCUUGUUAGCCCACGGUUGGAGACCGUCGAGGAAGAAGAACAGCCGAUCCUUCUCGGCCAUGCUGGUGAUGGCAAGCAUCAGUUUAGAGUACUCCUUGACAUACUCUUUGAGGGAUCCUGUAUGCUUGAGCCGUCGAAGUUGCCUCCGCGCCAAGUAUUCGACGUGCUUGGGGUAGAACUGUGCCUUCAGUUCGCGCACGAAGUCCUCCCAAGUAUCCAAUUUGCAUUGGCCCUUCUCGGCCUCUGCAGAACGCCGACGCCACCACAGCAUCGCAUCGUCGGUGAGGUAUAUGGAAGCGGUCUGGACCUUGUCCUCCUCGUCCUCGAUCCGCAGCGCCUUGAGAUAGCGCUCCAUGUGCCAAAGGAAGUUGUCUAUCUCCUUCUCGUCGUGUGUUCCCUUGAAGCUGGGGUUCAGGGACGCGGACCUUUGGGGUGUACUCCUUCUGCGUUUCACCGCCUCGAGCCACCGCCUUCUCAAGGAUAGUCACCCUCGUCUUGAGGUCCUCGAACUCGUCGACUCAAGUGACUAGCUCCUCGAUCAAGUUCUUCCGCUCGUCGUCACGACGGGUGAUGUUGCCUUGGAGCUUCUCGAGUUCGCCUCGAAAGGUCGCCAUGGCAGUGGCGGCGCUCUCCUCCAUACUGCGAACAUCAUCAUUAAAGGCGUUAAAGGUAUCGGCCAUCUCGGUGUACCUUUCUCCCACCUUCGAUAGAAUGUCCUCCAACAAUGCAAGGUGGUCCUCGACCGACGCGGAAUCCUUCGUGAUUCGCGUGUCCUUGCCCUUGCCCCGCUUGGAGGGUUGCUUGGAGGCAUCACCCCCAACGUCGCCAGCAGCGGCCUCUGAUGACGACAUGGCUCCUUCUCGAACCGGCUCUGAUACCAACUGUCACGGACUUAACGAAUUUGCUCGCAAAAGUCCGUGUGGCGCUCGCCUUCCUCCGCGAAGUGAGCAAGCCUGCCUAUCUACUUGCUAAGUUAGGACCUCGCUCGCCCUAGACUAAGUACAAGAAAGAGAUAAGAAGAAAGCUCUUUUAUUACUUUAAGCUUGAGAAUACAAAUGAGAAUUCUUAAAUGAGAGGGGGUGGAGGCCACACUAUUUAUAGGCCACUCGCCACCCAUAGUGCCAAUGAAAAGGUGCCAAGUGGCACAAUACUACUAGCCAAAAGGGGAGGCCAAUAAGUACGCUACGGUCUCCCAAGAGUCAUAAUAAAUAUGCACAGAAACUCGAAGAGUCAUACAUUUAGUGUCCUAGAAACUCUAAGGGACUCUUGACCCUCCGGUAUCCGCACCAUCAGUCUCGAGAUCCGCGUAGAAGCUUCUAGAAGAUUCCAAGCCAAAACCUCCGUCAGAUGUCUGCUUUGGAGUUUGGGUGAUUACAAAGCGAAAUCGCGGAGAAAAUCUUUGUGCCGUGACAUAGGGCUAGAGAUGAGUGUUUUGGAGUUUAAGGGUUUUGAUCUAAAUUAACCCUUGGUUUCUCUAAUUAGAGGUUAGAGAGGAACCCUUGACGACUCUAGAUCGUGGAUUGGCGUGCGGUUGGUGGUCGGUUGCAAGCUCGGGUCGAACCGGACCACGUGUGCCGCAGGAGGCCGAUUGCAAGUGACUACAAGCAAUCGGAGAGCGUUACGAGGUGAAUUGUGCUCUACCAAAGCGAUUAGGUCGCUUCCAUGCCAAAGUGAAGUGUGUUUCAUUAUUGAUGCAUGAAGUGGUAGUAAAUUGCCAAGUGAAUGAAUGCAUGAACUAUAUGCUAAAUAACAUGAAUUAGAUACAUGAGCUAGAUGUUAUAUGAAUGCACGAUUUAGAUAUGAAUGCAUGAUUAAGAUGAUAGAAUUUCAAGGUAUGUAAAAUAAAUAGAGAAAUAAAUACAUACCAAAAUCCAGGAUCAUAAUAAAAUAAAAUAACUCACAGAACGCCAUAGAGAAGAAAUUCUUGAUCAAUCUUGCGGAAGCGUGAAGUACGGCUAUGAUCUGAAAGUCACGAAUCGAACUUGGGUGAUUUGGUUUCUCCUCCUAUCUCAGGAACUCUACCGUAUGGUGUGGAACCGAUGGUAAUUCUUCACCAGAAUGCAUAUGAGAAGAUGGCAGGACCAAUACCCCUUUAUAUAGAGUCCAGAUCGACUUCCCAUCAAAGUCUGAUUAGGAUUCUAUUUAAAUUUAAAAUAGAUGGGAUAGAGAUAAAAUAUACCAUAUCAAGUAGUUCUAUAUCUGUUAGGAUUGACCCUUAUCUAUAGCAAAUCCUAAUUUAAAUAUAAUUAAUUGGGCCACAAUAUAUGGAAAUCCUAACANUUUAAAUAUAAUUAAUUGGGCCACAAUAUAUGGAAAUCCUAACAUGAGAUGCUAAUAAAGAAUGCAUAAAGCUAUAUGCUAAGCGAAUGUAUAAUCUAGAUGCUAAAGUAUGCAUGUGAGAAAUGCUAAAGAAUACGUGGGAUAUAUGCUAAAAGAAUGUAUGAUUGAGAUAGAUGCUAAUAGUAAAUGCAUAAGGUAUGCGCUAAGUGAAUGCAUGGGCUAAAUGCUAAAUGAAUGUAUAACAUGAGUGCAUGUAAUGGUAGUCCAAAUUGUAAAUGAUGCAUGAGAUAUAUUCUACAUGAGUUAUAUGCCAAAUGUAUAUUGACUACAAUCAUGAUAAGAACAUAUGCAUGUGUAUGAAAUGCUAAAGAACACAUGUAUGUUGACAUAAUGUGAGAAUAUGCUAGAUUCAUAUGAAAGUGACUUGGGUCGAUAACUCUAGGUUGAUAGAGAACCCGACAUUGGAAAGCAAGGACAUGCCAAUUAUGAUUCCUAGGUAUGGAUAACUAGGAAAAUAGGAACAUGAGUGGCAAUGAAACCUAGUGUCAAUGAACAUAGGUGAUUGAUGAGUGGCAUUGAAGCUAGAAUCAAAUGAACCUAUGUAGUAAAGAAUGUCGGACCUAGUAUUGUAAAACCUAGGCUAUGAACACAGUGACAUUGGACCUAAUGUAGUAAAGUUAGGUUGAGUAAUGACUUAGACCUAGAUAGGUCGACAUUAUAGGGUGAGACCAACCUUAGACAUAUGAAAGUGGAUUCCGGAAUCCCAGAUUUGUGAGCUCGAUAGUUCUUGGCCGUGGUGUAUGUCGCAUGUUCCUCUCCCACUGGAAGAACUUCGAAAAUUGUGAUUGAGUAAGAACCAUGAGCGCUAGGGUGUAUCUAGCAUGUUCCUCUCCCUGUUGGGGAUCUCGGCUGCGGGUGCAUGCGGCAUGUUCCUCUCCUACCGGGGAUCCCUGACCACGAGUGUACGCAGCUCUGGGUGACCCGUUGGGCGAUGUGGUUCUUGGAUUGAAGGCUGAGGUGCAUGUGAGAGUUCCUUCACCUCGAGCUAGACAGAGCGCGGAUUAUCCGCAGAUGAUUGACGCAAGACCGAGUCGAGUGGCAUAGUUGGCUAAGGUAAAAGUAACCUUAGGAAAGAAUGGCAAAUGGCAUACUGUGACUAAGAAUAAAGAAUAAAGAACGGAUAAUAUUAAAGAAUAGCAAAGAAUAAAGAAUGACAAAGAAUAAAGAAUUACAAGUAAUAAUAAGGAGUGCCUAAUUAAUAAGAAUGACUAAUAAUAAAGAAUGGCAAGCGAUAGUAAGUAGAAUCAAGUGAACUACUUGCAUAGUUGCAUGUUGUGAGGCAUGGACAUGAUUUAUAUGAUGUUACAUAUAUAUAUCUAUUGGACUAACAUGUUUGCAGUGCCUCCUUUGGACCUGAUGGGUCAAACUCUUCCCUUGGGUGGCUGUACCCUCUUGGAAUUAUGGACAAUAGUUCUCACCCCACGUUGUUUUGGAGGAUUUCAGGUUCACACGCGAGCGGCGCGAGGAAAUGGCAUAGCUCCGUGGAUCGCCCUACCACUGAGACCAGAGAUAGCUGUACCCUAAGUCGGCAUAACUUAGGGUUGUGAAAAGGAAAAGAACUAAGUUGUAAUAACUAUGUUAAAUCUGAUUGUAUUUGAAAGCUAAAGAGAAUGAAAGUGUAAUAUGUAAAUGUAUGUGUCACGCCCCGAGACCGCUACCAAUUUGGUCCGGUUCGAGCGCGUCGAAUAGACGCCGAACGGACAGCACCUCCCCUGUCCGCCCAAGGCCAAACAACCAGAUCGUGUAUAAGAAUUUGCCCAGGAAUAGAAAUUCUAUACAUACACAAUCAACGAAAGGGACAAUAAGUGCCAACAACUAAGAGCAAGAGUCACAUGUACAUACAAGUGAACAAAAGAGAGAUCUACUGGCUAUUUCAUCACAUUGCAUUCAUUAUCUCAAGUUACAUUUACAUCUUUCCCAAAAUGAAUACAUGUUACUAGAUCAUCACCAAAAUACGUUAAUAGCUCUCCAAUUCUCACCAACAUAAGUCACUCAUAUACAUAGGGUGAUACUAAUGCAAAAAGGAAAGCUACGAGGUACUACUGCUCAGGCGCGAUGCCCUUGCCGCGGUCCUCGCCCGGCGUACACGUACCAGGCCCUGCAACAAAGUGGGGUGAGAAUUAUUGUCCAUAGUUCCCAGUGGGUUCGGCCGCCGACUCCGCCGAUCUCCCCACUAGGUCCGAGUGGGCAAAAGCAGAUAGAUAGAUAGAUAGAUAGAAAAACUGUAAAUAACAUAGUAAGAAAACUAUGCUACUAUGCCCAAUCAUAAGUAAUGUAUGCAUGCAUCAUAUAGUAGAUAGUUUACUAACAUGCCACUAUGUCCACUACUAUGUCCAAUAAGCAAAUAUUCAAUGACAUUGCUAUUCUCUUGUUUAUCCAAUCUUUGGCGAUCCCUUGGGUUCGCCCAUGACUCAUCUCGCCAUCCCGUAUGGUAAGGAGACUCACCUUGCUCUCAAACCCGGGACUGUUUGCGGGACAUCAACUCUGCCCCUCUCGUACCAUACUCUGGAGUGCACGACGACUUGUGUGGCGCGACCACUACAAGUAUAAACAGACUGUGAGCUUGAUCCAUCCUCUCAACUCGAGGAUAUCCUAUCAACUAGGGCUAUAAAUCACUCGGGAAUCCACCUAUCCCAAUAUCCAUGUGUAAGUGUUUAACUACACUAUGUUCUUUGUUCAACGAGUCAUCACUAGGGAGUCCAUCUAUCCCUAAGUUCACAAACCACUAGUGUCACUUUACACUAAGUUAUAUACCACUCGUUCUGUUCAUUUGUCAAUUACAUUGCACUCAUUAUGUCACUAGGAACCAUCGAGUCCAUCUCAUUUCCUCGGCACUAUAGGAUUCAAUGUCAUGACCCAAUCCUUACCUAUCCAUAAUACCAUGCAUUCAACUCACACUGUGAUAUCAAUUAGAAAGCAUAAGGAAUGGAAUACAAUGUAAUCCUACAAUGCAACAUGCAAGAGAUGCAAAAUCAUGGUAUACUAAGACAUAGAGAGGAACUCGGUUGCUUCGGGAUGACACCACCCACCUUUCGACGAUGUCGGGGUGCUAAGAACGCUAUUCGGCACUUGCUUCAACAUCUCUUCGACUUCCUAGGUGGAAACGAAGCUCGAUCGGUCUUGUUUUGCCGAUAACUUUUCACCGGCUCGACGAAUGCUCAAUCGUCUUCACCAACGCGUUUAAACACCUAACAAUUAGGUUUAGAGACUAUCAAUUGAGCUCAAACCUCACUAUUAAGCAAAAUCCCAAUUUGGAGCCCUAGGUUUGCACUAUUGCAAAUCUACUCCAACAAACCCCUAGAUUCUAGCAUUAAUCAACUAUUAAGCAUGCUAGGGUUCUAAUCGAACCAUUUCUAGAGCUAUAAAUCCAAACCCUAGAUUUCUACCAUUGAAGGGUUUAGAAGCUUACCUCUUAAGCUUGCUCCAAUGGUGAGAGAGGAAGAAGAGAUGACCAAGCCCUUCUCUAGCUUGCUUUCCUUCUUCUCAUUCUUCUUCUCCUUUUUUUCCUUCUUUUCCUUCUUCACUUCAAGAAAGAAAGAGAGAGAGCUUAGAGAGAGAGAGAGGGUGUGUAUUUGGGUGUGAAAAUGAAAGGGAGAGGGUGAUCUCCCAUCUAUACCCUCAACUAAUGCAACAAUUGCAUAUUAGCCCUUCCACUUUGCUUCCUCACACUGCCCAGACUGGGCAAUUUUCGUGCUCGGGGACCGGCCUGUCCCUAGAAGGACCGGUCCCCGAGAGCCUCUCAUGUGGGCAGAGGGCUCUGCCCAACCUCUUUCGCGUACGGGGACCGGUCUGUCCCCCCAGGGACCGGUCCCCGAGAGUAGAACUCUCAGGACUUAGCCGAUUUUUUCUCCUUUUUGCUGGUUGCGUGUACGCGGACCGGUCCUCGCCUGAUGGACCGGACCUUCAAGGACCGGUCCCCGCCUGAGGGACCCGACACCGAGAGCAAAUAUCGCGUGCAAAGUUUCCUGCCGCAUUUUCAGCUUAUGGGGACCGGUCUCUCCCACCAGGGACUGGUCCCCGAGAGCAAAAUUUGCCAAGUACAGAUUUCUGCACAACUUGCUCUCGCGGAUCCUUUGCAAUGCACUUUUUGAGUUUUUGACUUCUUCGGCUUUUCCGAAGUAUACCCACUCGACAAUUGGUCGAUUCUGAACGAAGUCCAACUCUCGGAUUUCGAGAAUUCACUUCCUUACAUCCUCCCAUCCCAAAAAGGAGUUUCGUCCUCGAAACUAAUCCAAUUUCAACAUAAACUCGAAUUCAUACCUUAUUCCUCAAAUAGGUGAGGAUGAUGCACUUUCAUCUCGCUCUGGAGUUCCCAAGUGGCUUCACGGUCAUCGCGAUUACUCUACUGAACUUUCACAUAGGGAAUUUCGUGGUUCCGCAACUUGCGCACUUCCCGUGCGAUAAUCGACACCGGGAACUUUUCAUAGCUCAGACCUUCUUGAAGUUCCGACGGCUCAUAUAGCAUCGCAUACUCGGGGUUAUGGAUAUACUUGCGAAGGUUGGAGACAUGGAAUACGUUAUGAGUGUCUGCGAGUUGCGGCGGCAAUGCAAACCGAUAAGCUAUAGCUCCAACUCGCUUUCAACACCUUGUACGGCCCAAUAUAUCGGGGACUCAACUUUCUCCGAACUCCAAAACGCUUCACACCCCACAUUGGUAAAACUUUCAAGAAUACGCGAUCUCCGACCGCAAACUCUAAGUUCGGCGCUUGUCCGAAUAACUCUGUUACCUCGAUUGCGCCGUGAGCAAUCUCUUGCGAGCAAGGCGAACUUUCUCCUCGGCCUCCCGCAAUACCUCGGGGCCUAACACAGCACGCUCGCCCACAUCACCCCAGUGUAUAGGAGAUCGAUACUUCCGCCCAUAAAGGACAUCGAAUGGUGCCAUCUCAACACUAGCUUGGUAACUGUUGUUGUAGGCGAACUCGGCCAUAGGUAGGUGACUUGCCGAACUACCCUUAUAGUCAAUGACACACGCCCGCAACAUGUCCUCCAGAAUUUGAAUGGUUCUCUCUGACUGCACAUCUGUCUGAGGAUGAAACGCGGUACUAAAAUCGAGCCGUGUGCCAAGUGCCUCCUGCAAGCUCUUCCAAAAAUGUGAAGUGAAUCGGGAGUCUCGAUCCGAUACAAUUGAUUUCGGAAUCCCGUGCAACCUCACCACUUCAUCAAGGUACACCUACGCCAACUUAUCACCUGAGCAGGUAGUGUGGAUCGGUAGGAAAUGCACUGACUUGGUCAUGCGGUCCACAAUAACCCAAAUAACAUCGUGGCCACCCGACGAACGGGGCAAUCCAACCACGAAGUCCAUCGCUAUAUCUUCCCACUUCCAAACAGGAAUGGGUAAACUCUGAAGCUUCCCUGCUGGAAAUCUGCGCUCUGCCUUAACUUGUUGGCAUACUAGGCACUGCGCCACAUAGCGUCCAAUAUCCGCUUUCAUUCCCGGCCACCAAUACUGCAUCUUUAGAUCCUGGUACAUCUUGGUGCCGCCCGAGUGGAUAUUAUAGGGAGUCCGAUGCGCUUCUUGCAAAAUCAACUUUCGAACUUCCUCGUUCUCCAGUACGCACCAACGGUUACGAAACCGAAGUGCACCGCCGGCGUCUAUGCCGAAAUCAUCACCACGUCCACCAUCGAUGUCUCGCUGCACCUUUUGGAGGUUAGGGUCUACGGAUUGUAGACUCUUAAUCCUCUCCAACAAGGUUGGUUGAACAACGAGAGCUGAUAAUAUAGCCAGAACCCCCGGAGCCACUAUCUCGAGAUCCAAUCGCUUCAUCUCCUUACAUAGAGGACCCUGAGUCGUGACUUUUAAUCGCGUGCAAAGUUUCCUACCGCAUUUUUAGCUUACGGGGACCGGUCUCUCCCACCAGGGAGCGGUCCCCGAGAGCAAAAUCUGCCAAGUGUAGAUUUAUACACAACGUGCUCUCGCGGAUCCAUUGCAAUGCACUUUUUGGAUUUUUGACUUAUUCGGCUUUUUCGAAGCAUACCCACUCGACAAUUGGUCGAUUUUGAACGAAGUCCAACUCUCGGAUUUCGAGAAUUCACUUCCUUACAUUAUGCAAGUUGUAUGCUUGUAAUAAUUUAGCAUUUAUGUUUUCAAUACCUUCCUUGUACAAUCUGUGUUUGAAUGUUGUUCCUGGUUGGAACCUCGCGCAUUGUAUGGAUUGUGAGGCCUUGAACGUACAGGAAAAACUCUGUCCGUGGUACAGGGGAAACCCUGUCCGUUCGGAGGUCUGUUGGCGUGCCUGAAUCCGACCAAAUAGGCGGGGCUCGGGGCGUGACAGCCGAAUGGACAGAAUUUUUCCUAUCCGCCUAAGGCGUCACAAUCAGUACAAUUCACGAUAUCUCAACUAGGAACAGAAUUCAUACAGAGAUUGUAUAAGAAAGACAUCCUAAGCAUAAAACCACUACGCUAUUACAAGCAUUCGUCACUUUACAUUCACAUUACAUUUACAUUUUUUUUUUUCCUUUCUAAAUACAAUCAACAUUGUUAUUACAUUUUGUUUCAUUCUAUUCUUUACAAUGCCCUUAGACUAUAUAGAUUCAGGGAUACAUCUAUUUCUAGUCACAAUUGGUAGGGCACUAUCUAUCGAGCGAUGCCUUUUCCUCACACCGCCGCGCCCCUGACGUGUGGACCUGAAAACAUGAGGGUAAGAAUUAUAAACAUAGUUCCUAGUGGCUACGGCCAUCCAAGGGAAGCGCUCAACCAACUAGGUCCAAAGGAGGCAACAUAAGUAGGUUAGUCCAAUAUAUAUACAUAUAAUUCAACUUUAUACAAUUAAAUAAAUAUCAUGCUUAUGCCUUAACAAAAUGUAAUAAUGAGAUUCAUGCAAGUAAGUAUUCCUUUUCUACGUUCUAUUUCACUAUCCAUCUCAUUUCCAAUCUGCUUCUAAGCUUCUUUUACCUUAGCAGAGCACUGCCAUCCUCUUCUUGGCAUUAGGUGGCGAGAUUAUCGUCCACCCCCGGCUGUAAGUCCAUAACUCAUGAAGUCACUCCAUUCCUCAGCAUUAGGUGCCAUUCCCUGCAUCUCCGACCAUCGGAAUUGUUGAUAGCUCUCACUUUGGCAUUAGGUGGCUUUCCUAUCACGCCCCGGGGUCCCUUUGUCACGUCCCACUAUCGCCAAUUUGGUCGAUCCGGGCCCGUACACAGACGCCGAACGGACAGAACCUCCCUUGUCCGCCCACGGCUCAACAACAACGAGUACAUGUAUAAAGAAAUAAACAAUUUUCAGGAUGACAUUUCAAUAUACAUGGCUUGCACGAGGGCAAGCAACAAUCACAAGUGAUAGUAAGCUAGCUAUACUGAAAAUUUACUGUAAUUUAAAACUUUUAAACUGAACUUUACAUAACUGGAUAACUGAAAUAUUUAGUUAUUUACAGGCUUUAUAAUACAUUAAUUUACAUGACUCUGUACAUCAAAAUGUCUCACAUGAACUCAAAAUGGUAUACCACUAAACACUGGUGUCUGCUAGCUAGGCUGCAGGGCUCUUGCCGCGAUCCUCGGCCACAACGCUCGCAUUGGAACCUGUAUGGUUAGUGGUGUGAGAACUACUAAAAGUUCCUAGUGGGUUCGGCCGCCGACCUCGCCGACUCACCCACUAGGUCUAUUCAGGCAUAUGUAGGCAAAAGAAGUAAACAGAUAGUAACCAACUAUAACAUGUAACUACUACAAUGCCUGUACAAAGUUGAAAGAAGCAAUAUAUGAAAACUGUAAGUAUGCAUGCAUGCUUUUACUGAAAUUACCAAAUCCAUUGGUUAACCCUUGGGUUAACAAUAACUCACUGACACUAUCCCAAAUAUUGGGGAGACCCAACCUGCACCCGAUAGGACUGUCAACUGGGGGAGACGCACCUCCUGGUCCGGUAAAGAUGACUAUUUCGAAGCUCAUCGUUCAAGGAGGAGCGACUUACCUUAAACAAAACGAAUGUGAGUAUGAUCUGAUCCUCUUUUAGAGGAUUCAACAAUAGACAAUGUCACACUUUAACUCUAACUAGCUCCUUAUGCUAGUUUCACAAUUCCAUUUCUCGAUGCUAGCCAAAUCUCUAAUUAGAAUGUCGCCAAGUUUACUAUUGUUAUAGUCCAUGCAUUCAUAGGGUUCUAUGUUCACAUUCUAUUGUUCAUAUAUUCUCAUGGUUGAUAAGCAUUUGCAUAAUCAAAUAUCAUUUACAUAAUAUCAAUACCCUAUAAUGCAUGAUUAUAAUGUAAAUAUGCUCAAUGAAUUAUCAUAGACAUAAAAGGUGAUUCAAAAAUUUCGGAUAGCACCACCCACCUGUAGUGGUGUUAACAACUAGAAUCCACGUCUCGAAAUGUGUCGACAACUAGCUCUCGCGACUCAGUGCAAUUAGAACUAGAACGGUCUCUACCAUAAUUAGCGCGUCGUCGGCCUGUCGGAAUAUCAAUUUAGACUUUUGGGCAAGUUUACUUUUCAUUCAAACAAGUAUAAAAGAGACUAAACUUGAAUCAUUUAAUUCUCAUAUUUUACAAAUUAGCCUUUCAACUCCAAGUAUCAUGUAUAUGUAUUUGUAUACAUAUUCCCUAUCAACUUUAGAUCUCCAUAAUCAAAACCAACGAUUAAUAAUCUCACUGGAACAUGAUUUUAUCAUGUUCUUGGCUCAGCUUAAAUCCCAACAAUCAUUCAUAAGUAUUUGCUUAGUGCAAAACUUCUUGAAUCCGCAAUAACUAGAAGUCUCAGCUCAAUGUUGAUUUCAGCAUUAAGCUGAAUUCUAGCCUCUUGUUGCAUUUUCAGCAAUCUUUAGAAAAUAAGUAACUGAUCCUUAAUCAGAACUAUCUUACCUCAAGGCUGAGCUGAGCUACUAUCAAUUUCUGCAGUCUUUAUUUCAGCCCGAAGCAUCAAGAGACUCACUCAAAGCAUUAACUGCAGCCAUACUCUCAAUUCGGACAGCAGGACUACACCAAUGGAUCCACUUCACUUGUCAGCUCCAAUCAGCUCAAAGCUCUAAUGCUGUCACUCAUAGCAGCAACAAUUCCAUGUAAACACCAUCUCUAAGACAAUUAGUUUGACUAUAAUCAAACAUGAACCCAAACUUACCUUAAUUUAGGUUUCCAUCAAGUUGCUCUCAGCUAAAGCUUCUAUUAUUCCACUUCUCGCAGCAAAUUCCUUUAUGUAAAUCAGUCCAGAUGUAAUUAACUCCAAGCUAAUUACUUAAUAACUGAUAUUAACUUAGUUAACUUAAUUAAAAGCUAUACCAAAGGGUCACUGCUGCAGGAAUUCACCAAGUUCCACCAAGAUUGCAAUUUUCAGCUCCAAUUCUGAAAUUUCAGCAAUACCUCUUAUUUUGAUCCAUUCUAAAGCAACUAAAUUAACCAUAAGCCAAUAUAGAAUGAACUUACUUUAGUUUGAUGAUGAAUCAACUUGCUCAGUGCUUCAAUUGGCCCUUUCCUCCAGUUCGGCAGCACCAACAACAUCAAGUCAUCAAGCUGCCAACUCCAGAAUCAUCAAACAGCAAUUACUCUUUAGCCUUUUCCUUUAAACCCUCUACAAGUUCAACAUAGAAGUAGUUCUCAACUUCUUUAUACAACAACUAGAGAUGCUUUUAUUCAGGAAUUGGACUUCAUCCUUACCUGAAUUCGAAAUUCCCCAAAGUGGUGCUCAGCUCAAUUUCAUUCAGCUCCAAGUCCAAAAGCACCCAGGCUCCCUGGUUGCAAGAAAUCUAUAUAAGCUUCCUCUCCAAGUACUUAGCCUAUCUAAGAAUAAAUACUAAUCAAAGUUACCUUGAUUAAAUGCUAUUCCAGGUUAUAUAGCAACUCCAAUCAGCAGAAAUUUCUUGCUUGGAUCAGAUCUCUCCUCAGCCCACAAGUCCUCCAGCUGCCAACAUCAAACUCAACCCUUUUUCCUUAGCUUAGAGAGAAGGAGAGGAAAUAGAUGAUAAGGAGAGAAAGGAAAUGAACUCUCUGCCUUUGGACAUGUGUAUUCCACUAAGGGUGAAGGGAUAAGGGUGAAAAAUUGCACUUUUGCCCUUUAAUUUACUGAAAUUGCCUUGUUGGCAAUUGCUGCCCGCAAUUGCUGUACCGGUACAAGAAUGUGUACCGAUACAGGACAGUUGCAGCAUCAGCAGCAGCAGCAUCAGCAGCUGCUUCAACUCUCUUUUUCUCUUAGUCAACUCAUUCCAAUUUCAUUUGAGCACAUCCACAACAUGUCAAAUGAACUUCCCAAGCUACCAAAUUAAUUUGAUAACAUUUGAUUCUCAAUUUGGCAUCAAUUUGACCAUUUUGACCAAAUCAAUUAAAAAUUUCAGCUUUCGAGUUGCAAUGAUAAUUGGAGGUCUUUAACCACUUCGAUUCCAUUUGUAUCUAUUCUCACACUUCCAAAACCUGUCAAUUGAUGUUCUCAAGCUGCUAGUUAAGUUUAGAAAUGCUUAAUUUUUAUUUUAGCAUCAUUGUGAUCAAUUUGAUCACAAUUAGCUCGAGAUAAAUUUUCAAUACAUUACACCCUUUUUGUUUAAAAAGGAUGCGGAAGUGCCCAAUUUUUUUUUUUUUUAAAGCCUUGACCCCAAGGGAUGUCAGAUUCGCCACAAAUAUAGGGAGCCCACUGUUCACACGGACAGAGUCUCCUCUGUAUUUACACGGCGUCGCACAAGUAUAAGAUACAACCACAAACAUAUGAACAUUCAUAUACAUUACCACAUCACAUUCCACAUUCAUUUCAUCACCGAUAUACAAAAAUUCACAUCUAUUAGUUUAAAAUAUUUCCUACCUGAAAACUCAUUUUGAAAUACUAAGAAUCAUGAAAACCUUUUUAAAAACUGUUUCUCACACAAAAACCUUUUCCUUUAAAACGCUAUCAUGAGGGGUAGAAAACCGUUUUUAUUUCAUAAGAAAACCAUAAUCACAUUAUUUAUUUCACAAAACCACGUGAAUCCAAUUAAAGUUGAACUAACUGAACCAUAAUAUCUAAGUAAUAUCAUAAGAAAUAAAGAGGGUAGCAACUAAACCAAACAAACUGGGUCGGAAGCUCUAUCGACCACUACGAACGCAUCUUACGCACCGUCCCGACUCGGACUCGCAACGUCACCUGUAAGGGAGGUGGGGGGUGAGAACAUGUACACAUGUCUCCCCUCUCAGUGGGUACCGCAAGCCGACGAAGGCGAGGAGUACUCACCGGCAGAAAAAGUCAUCAAGUCAUAGGUAGAUAUCACAAAUACAGUAGUUAAUAUGCCGAAAUGAAAGAGAACAGCAAGGACAUGUAACUACUGCUACUGUAAAAAAAAAAAAGAACAGGAUGCAUACAUGAAUAUCAAAACUAUAGUAGUAAGACAAGUGUAAAGAAAGGACGAUAAGUAUACAUGCAACAACCGCUAUUAUAGCCAUAUGCGUCAACCAGACGAGUAGUCCAAAUAUACCGAAUCUAAACCGCCGUGUCGGUCUAAGGACCUCAGGCAAAGCCACUACUUGCUCGCACCUGGCAUGUAACCCUAGCACAAAGAGAACACCGCUGGGCUCACGGGUUGGAUGUACGACCACUUUUCUGGAAAAGAACACCCUAAUGCGCGGGAUCAACCCGCUGGUGUACGUGAAAUGCACUCGAGCUGUGGUGAUCGAUGCAGAUAUGAUCAAUAGCCAACCGUCGGCUAAUAGCCGACAAUUACCGCCCCUCAGGGCACACCGACUAAUAGGUCAUCGAACCGUAAGAAAACUCAAAUACCGACCGCUCAGGUCAACUAGGAUGGAACAACUCAACAUCCUCCCAAAGGUAUGCAAGUACUGAUCACUGAAUGUCAACUACCAUGUAUGUGCAAGAACCGACCAAUAGGUCACAAGAAUGUCACAUCAUGUAUCAAUAUAAUCCAGAGCUAACCGUAAGCCACUAGCCGACAAUCCUACCCGACAGGGUACACCUACCUCAUAGGUCAUGAAACGAUAAGAGUCACGAAAUCGACCGACUAGGUCACAAAAAUGUCAAAUGAUGGAUCUAUGUAAACUAUAAUCAUCCGUCGGCAACUAGCCGACAAUCCCACCCCUCAGGGUAUACCAACCUCAUAGGUUAUCUAACGACAAGAGUCAUGGAACCGACUGACUAGGUCACAAGAGUGUCAAAAUGGACGAGAUGCAAACUAUGACCGCUCUACUUCUAGAUCAUUGUAACGAGUAUAGAAAAAGGCUAAGUAGAGCAAUACAUAAAGAUUCACAUGGUGUCGGGCUCAACAAUAGUAAACAACAAUAAUAAGAGAGAUAAGGUAAAAGAAAUGUCACCGAGCGUGCACCGCUAGACCAACUCCGGGUCGAAGUACCCACCUGUAUGAAUAGUGUGCCUGUCUCCCGACUGUGGAAGAUCGUCAACGUGACCUACGGAGGGUCCACCAGGUGUAGUACAUUGAACUUUGGCGAACUGCGAUGUUCGAGUGUGGGAAUGAUAUUUGGAACUAUUCCACAUCUUUUGAAGGGUUGUCGAGAGUUUUCGGCAAGAUAUUAGAGUGAUCAAGAGGCUGGAAAUGCAAAAGUGCAUCGAAGCAGCGAAGUGCUUAUGCGAGGGUCAUUUAUAGGUUAGAGCAGUUGUGGCACAGGUCUGAGGUCUACGGACCGAUAGGGCAGUUUCAGAUUGGGUAUUUUGGACUUGUCGUCCGGUUGAUGCAUACAUACAGUAGCGGUAGUUGUUCAUUUAUACAUAUCUCGUUCGUUUAUUAUCGUUGCUACUGUAUUAUCCUUACCCAUGCCUUUGUUUAUUCUCUGUGACUGGUGAGUACCCCUCGCCCUCGUCGGCUUGCGGUACCCACUAGGAGGGGAGACAUGUGUAUACGUUCUCACCCCCCACCCCCAUUACAGGUGACGUCGCGGGUCCUAGUGGGACGGUUCGUGAGGAGCGCACUUAGCGAUCAGUAGAACUUUCGGACCCGUCCAUUUGGUUUAAACUCUUAAACUCAGUUUCCUUUAAUAAAUGACUUCGAAAGUUAUUAUGGUUCAGUAAGUUAUGUUAAUUGAAUAAUUGGGAUUUCGUGAAUGUAAAUAAUGGAUUUAUGACUCUUACAAAUGAACAUGGUUUUCUACCCCUCGUGGUAGCGAGUUUUAAAGUAAAAGGAUUUUCGUGUGGGAAACAAUUUUUAAAAGGAUUUUCUGGUUUUACUGGUUAUUAGUAUUUCAAAACGAGUUUCCGGAUAGAAAAUAUUUUAAACUGAUAGAUGUGGAAUCAUGGAUAAUUGUUAUGUAUGGAAUGUGAAUGUAAAUGGUGUAUGGAUGUGUGGAUAUUCAUAUGUGGUGGUUGUAUCUUGCAUUGUAUAUCUUGUACUUGUGCGACGGAGUGCAAAUACAGGGGAGACUCUGUCCGUGUGAAUAGUGAACUCCCUAUAUUUGUGACAGAUCUGGCAUACCCUGGAGUUAGGAUUUUAAAAAAAGAAAAACCUGGGCACUUCCGCAUUGACUUUUAAACCAAAAAGGGACCCCGGAGCGUGACAGGAGUACUUCACACAACCGUAGUAAUGAACUUGCCGCUGGCAAGCAUGGAACCAUGUGACUAUUUAACUAAAUAGUCACGUUCAGUGUACUUGUUCUCUAACAAGCACCUGUAUGCUUGUUCUAGUGUCGCUACACUAGUGAAUUGAGAUUCGUCAUCUCAAUUAGAAAUAUAACAUACACCGGCCUAUCCGGAAUAUCACCGUCCCCGUAAUAUUCCUCCAACUAUGAGCAUUUAAAGAGUCUCGUACAUAAAAAUAUAUAUCUCAAAUCCUAACUCUUAGGAAUAUGUCUUUUCAAACAAAAACCCUAUGGACGAUUCACGUCAAUAUUGUACUGCUAUACAAUAGAUAUGAAUAGAAUAUAUGUCCUUAUAUUAUGAAUUAUAAAUGAUUAAUACAUAAAUACCAUUAAGCCAGUGCCACCAGAUUGGCUUUUCGGCAUAUAACUAAUAAUAAUAACAACCAACUGAAAAUAGAUAUAAUAGUUCCAAAAGAUAAAUUCAGUGUAAGGUACCGAACUUCUGAAAUUAUGAAGUUACGGUGGAAUGUAGUAUACCGAAAUUUAAUAUAAAAUUUAGUGUAAAUAAAAAUAGUGUGAGAUACUAUUUUUAUUGGACUUAAGGGUGUAAGGUAUAAGUUGGAAAUGACCUGUGCUGAAAUCGGAGCGAAAACAAAAGAUUUAGAAUUUUCUGUGAAAAGCGGGGCUGAUAAAUUAGCAGAAAAUGCACAGUGUCGAAAAAUUAUGAAAACUGUAGAGAAUGUCAGAAUUAUUUUUAUGAGGCUAGAUAUAAAGUUUCAUGUCAUUCUGACACCCGGAAGCUGGAGAAUAAAAUCGAACUACUAUCUGCUAAAGAUUACAGUUCGGUAGAGCUUUCGGUGACCAAAAAUGGUCGAAACUGAAAAGUUAAGAUAUAUUUCUUCUCAGUAGAUUAAACCGAACAUGACUGUCAAAUUUGAGCUCAAACGGAUAUUCAGGGAGCUCCGGCGAAAGAUAUCAGAUUUCGUACUGCCUGAAGUGAAUAGUGUAUGCUACUAUUGGGGUGUUGACUAUAAGUAGAAGCUUCUAGUCUUCUUCUUCUUCACAGCCACCACUACCCCCACAACACCACACGUUCAUGGUGAUAGUGAGAGAAAUCUUCACUUUCUCUCUCUAAAUAACUCUCUUAUCUCUCUAGAUCUUUCGCCCAAAUUCACGGCGUUGGCGGAGAACGAGCCUGCGAACGCGUUGGGAGCGACGGAUCGAGCUUUCGUGCGCCCGUUGGAGCGGCGUGCUUCCGUCUCCGCAUUCACAUUUUGGUAAACUUUUGUGAUUUGGCUUAAUCCUUAACCUUAAGUAUUCUAGUAGCCUCUAAUGAGCAUUCUUAGCGUGUUGCUCCAUUUAAUUUGGAUUAUUUGGAGGUAAUUGUAUGUUAGGGCUCAAAAAUGAGAUUUUGUAAUAUGUGAGGGUUCGAUCUAAAUUGAUCAUGUAUAAACCUAAUUGAUAGGUAUUCUGACGCAUUGGCGAAGUCGGUUCGGCGAUACGACGAGGCUACGCGAAGAUAUCGAAGGAAAGGCCUGUUUCGGUACAGAUUGCCGUAGAUUGCGGCGAAAGCUUCCAAAAAUCAUGAAAUCGGAUACAAACCAAAUUGAUAGGUAUUCUGACGCGUUGGCGAAGUCGGUUCGGCGAUAUGACGAGGCUACGUGAAGAUAUCGGAGAAAAGGCUUGUUUCGGUACAAAUUGCCACAGCUCGCGGCGAAAGCUUCCAAAAAUCACGAAAUCGGAACCCUAGCCUCUUGGUAGCAUUAAAAGGUAGGGGGUGUCCAUCCCGAAGCAACUGGGCUUCCUUCUAUGUCCGAGUUAGAUUUUUGGUCAUAUUGCACAUAUUGUUCUUAUGCAUUAUAGGAUGUAUGUAUAGUUACAUUUCUAUUUCCUUGCAUGCAUGUCUAGUUGUGUAGUAUUAUGGACUUGACACUUAAAUAUAGAAUGCAUGAGGAUUAGGGUUUGUGACAUGAGAUCCUAUAGCGAUAAGAAAACGGUGAACUCGGACUUGAUGAUGAAAACUAGUGACAUGCGAACUAGUGUAUAGAAAACACUAUGACUUGGACGAGUGGCAUGUAAACAAUGUUAACAACAUGACGAGUGGCAUUGGAACUUAGUGUAAUAGAAACACUUGUGGCAUUGAUCAUAGGGAAUAGGUGAGUUUCCCUAAUCGUGGCAUAUUGCAUGAGAAUUAGUGUAAUUGAGACACUAUGGCAUCAAACAUAGGGAUAGUUCAAUUCCCUAGUGUGAGUUGAUUAGUGUGGUUGAGACACUUGACNGUUAGGAGCGGUUGACUCCUAUGGGACAGUUGAUCCAAUUGUUUGUGAGCUUUUAGGUGGAUAGGGAUCCAGGUACAGUUCACAGAGUUGGUGUGAUUAGUUGAGUGUGAUCCCUUAACUUGAUAGGGAUACAAACUACGGUAUCACAGAGUUAAUGUGAUUAAGAGUACGUUAUACGGUGAUCAUACUCAUAUAGUCUGUUUUGAGCUUGUGGUGGUCGUUCCACACAAGCAGUGCACUCCGGAGUUGUCACACGAGCUGGGUAGCUCACGAGCGGGGUAGCUUACCGGGUGGGAUACAAGUGUAAGAAAAUCAUGUGUACGCAGCGGAAGAAAAUAACACAAUUAAAAAUUUUCUUGAAAACCAAAGAUCACCUCAUGUUUCGUUUUAAAUCAUUAAUAAUAGAUCUAAUUGAUCUAAUCAAAUAGGAUCUAUAUUUUAUUAUAUUUUAUCUCGCGCGGGUCGAGAUCACCGCGAAGUCGAUAAUCAUUGGUAAAAAUUUGUUCGUCCUUGCUUAGCCGCGAACGCACCCGGCCUCUACUCACGUCCACACAAAAUCAUGCCCUUGAUCGAAUUUAGACGGCCGCUUCAAUCCGUGAUCCGAUCACGAAUUAACCCUUGCGUCGACUUGAGGAAGAUGAAUCAAUCUUCUAGAUGUGCUAGCAACUUUUGAAGAUCAAAACCGAUGGAUUUAUUAUGGAGGACUUAAGGAAGAAAAAGGAUUGACGGCUAGGGUUUUCUUUUUCUUUUUGCUUAAUUUUCCGUUAAUUGUAAUAUGUCAUAUGACAUAUAUUUAUAAUGAGAAAAUCUUAAGCCUAAUACUAAUCGAAAUCCUAAUAAGAUUGGAUUAUCCAUUAACCCACAAGUUGGUUAUAUUAAUAUUAACCGAAUCAUUUUCCUAAUUCGAUUCGUGUGUAACAUUUAAAUAUAAGUUCUCAUAUUAUUUACUAACAAUUAGCAAAUAUACCGUACCGUGAUUUCCUAAUCUAUAAGAAUUGUACAUGUCUUUCGCUGGAACGCUUUAGAAUCCGAAAUUCUUUCCAAAUUUCGGAAUUCCACACGGCAAUGCCGAGAUACAGUUUUCUCCACCAUUUUCUGUUUAUCGUCCAAAUUAACUUCGGGUAUUACACGCAUAUAUAAGCAUGCUUCUAAUAAAAAUUUUAUAAAUUUAAAUUUCCAAGAACACUCACAACCGACCUCCAUUUCUUAAUAGGUCCCUCAUCAAUGGCCGCCAUGCACGUCGUAGUCACUUGCCCAGCUAAUCUAUUAGACCAAGUUCAUUAUUAUUAAUUAUGAACGAAGAAAACAAUAUUAUAUGUUUUAAUUAUUGACAUGUUCCAAUUAGUCCCAUCUCAACUAUAUACAUAUACACGGGGAAUCGGACAGUUUCUCCAGCUUCACCCAACAAUCGUUAACGUGAGAGAAAAAUCGAAAAUGUUCGCCUGGAAACAAUCUCCCUCUUGCAUCGCUCUCCUCGCCCUUCCUUUAGCUUUGUUUGCCCUAGCAACCGUCGUCUUCUACCCUCGCGAUUUCGGCCUCCCGUCGACCUUCACCUCCUGCGGCAGCUCAUCAUCUUCGGCCGGCGGCAUCUCCGCUGCCCCCGUACAGCCUGAAUUUCGGCUCCUCGUUGGCAUCAUAACCCGCCCGGAGUACUAUGAGCGCCGGCACCUCCUCCGCAUGGUCUACAGCCUUCAGCAGUCCGACAACAACUUCGCCGCCCAUGUCGACGUCCGCUUCGUCUUCUGCAACCUCUCGACCGAGGAGCAGGCGGUCUUUGUCGCCCUCGAAAUCAUGUGCUAUGACGAUAUCAUCAUCCUCAACUGCACCGAGAACAUGGACAACGGCAAGACCUACAAUUACUUCUCCAGCCUCCCGACGCUAUUGGACGGCGACGCCAAGUACGACUACGUCAUGAAGACGGACGACGAUGCGUUCUUCCGGCUGCCCAGCCUGAUUGAAUCGUUGAGGGACAAACCUAGGAGCGAUGUGUACUACGGGCUCCAGAUGCCAUGCGACAAGGAGAACUUCUUCCCCUUCCCGCCGUUCAUGUCGGGGAUGGGGUACAUCUUGUCGUGGGACCUGGUGGAGUGGAUCGCCACAUCCGAGACGGCGCGGGAGGAUACCACCGGGCCGGAGGAUAUGUGGACGGGGAGGUGGCUGAACAUGGCGGGCCGGGCCAGCAACAGGUUCGACAACGCCCCGGCCAUGUACGACUACCGAGGCACGUCGCCGGCCACAUGCUUCCGCCACGACUUCGUGCCGGAGACCAUCGCCGUGCACCAUCUCAUAGACAACGCCAGAUGGACGGACGCGUUGACCUACUUCAAUUUCACAAAGGGGCUCAAGUCUUCUAAGCAAUACCACAUUCCCUGAUUUUUUUUCUUUCGAAGAAAAAAAAUUCAGGAUAUAUAUACAUAUAUAAUAAUUCUUUUAUGGGUAUAUAUACUUGAUAGUGUCGAUUUGUGAGAUGUGCAUACAUGCGUGUUUUUGAACUAAAUGACGAGUCUAUCCCAAGCGGUAGGUGAAGGUCCAUUCCAGUUCCCUGAAGAUAAAUAUUAUUAUUUGAUUUGUUCAAAGUAUAUGCAUCUAACUCCAUUAAUAUAAAUAUAGCAUCUGCAAUUAGGAAUGGUAUUAUAUGGAGAAGGUCAACUUUGUACGUCCCAGUCCGUUGGAUAGAAAACUAAACCAACAGGUUGAUUUGCGAGCUACCCCUGGCCAACCGCCAAAAAUUAAGAAGAAGGCAGAGAGGCCACGCAGCCCACCCUUUUGAAUGUUGCACGGGAGCCGCGUCGGUGUCCGACCGGUGUUGGACGCGGGACUUGCGGUCUUCUAAUUUGUAAAAAGUUAAUGUGUAAAAUUUAAAAUUUUUAUGUAUAACUUUUAAUAUUAUAAAAUACAUUUAAUAAACUAGUAGGGACGUGUUUGGUUCGAAAUCGGAAUCGGAAUCGGAAUCGGAAUCAAAAUAAGUUGAAAUCGGAAUCGGAAUGACUCAUUACCUAAUUCUGUUUGGUUCAUCAUCUGAAUCGGAAUCGGAAUAAAUUAUUCCCAUUAUCAGUGUUUGGUUCAGGUGGAUAUAAAAAACGUAAUCAAAUUAAUAUACUAACAUUAUCUUUAUAAUAUAUUAAUUUAAAUNUGAUAGGCUUCUAGGGCAUACAACUAACAAUCUCCCACUUGCACUAAAGCCAAUUAGCCAUGUAUCUAAUGCCUAUCUUCUCAAGAUGAUUCUCAAGUUUCUGCCGAGUCAAUGCCUUAGUUUGCGGGUCCGCCACAUUAUCCGCGGAGGCAAACUUCUGUACUAAUCUCUUGUUUGAAACUUUUCCAAACUAUUGACCCACUAUUACAAAUAAACAGAUACCCAGACGUAGACUUUCUAUCAUCUAUAUCGGAUAUAAAGUCCGAAUCCGCAUNCAAAUAAACAGAUACCCAGACGUAGACUUUCUAUCAUCUAUAUCGGAUAUAAAGUCCGAAUCCGCAUAGCCAUUAUUUCUGAGUUCUCCUCCUCCAAAAAUUAAGAACAUAUCCUUUGUUCUUCUCAAGUACUUAAGGAUAUUCUUUACCGCCACCCAGUGUUCCUCUCCUGGAUUCGACUGAUAUCGACUAGUGACACUCAUAGCCUGUGCUAUAUCAGGUUGAGUACAUAGCAUCGCAUACAUUAAGCUCUCUAUCGCUGAAGCAUAAGGGAUCCUACCCAUGCGACUUCUCUCUUCAGGUGUCUUAGGAGACAUAGUCUUAGAGAGGUGAAUUCCAUGUCUUAAAGGUACCAUACCUCUUUUGGAAUUUUCCAUGCUGAACCUUUUCAACACUUCUUCUAUGUACAUAGCUUGCGAUAAACCAAGCAACUUCUUAGGUCUAUCCCUAUAGACCUUUAUCUCUAGGAUAUAAGAUACUUCUCCAAGGUUUUUCAUUGAAAACACUUUAAAUAACCAUAAUUUGACCGAUGUUAGCAUAGGAAUAUCAUUCCCAAUCAGGAGUAUGUCAUUCACGUACAGUAUGAGAAAAGUAACAUCACUCCCACUAAUCUUUUUAUAUACACAUGGCUCCUCCUCACUUCUGAUGAAAUUGAACGAUUCGAUUGCAUCGUUGAAACGAGUGUUCCAACUCCGAAAAGCUUGCUUUAAUCCGUAAAUGGAUCGUUGAAGCUUGCACACCUUAUGACUCCUAUCUUUGAAAGUGAAACCCAAAGGCUGCUCCAUAUAGAUAUCUUCUUCAAGAUAUCCAUUUAGGAAAGCAGUUUUCACAUCCAUUUGCCAGAUCUUAUAGUCAUAGUGUGCAGCAAUAGCAAGCAGAGUUCUGAUAGACUUAAGCAUAGCUACAGGUGAAAAGGUAUCCUGAUAGUCAAUGCCUUCACGUUGACUAUAACCUUUCGCUACUAGCCUAGCUUUAUAGGUCUCUACCUUUUCAUCAGAACCAAUCUUUCUCUUGAAGAUCCAUUUACAUCCAAUGGGUACAAUACCCUCCGGUGGAUCAACCAAAGUCCAUACUUGAUUGGAGUACAUUGAGUCCAUUUCGGACUUCAUAGCUUCCAACCAUUUAUUGGAGUCGAUGUCUGGCAUCGCCUCGCUAUAAGUCUUAGGAUCAUCUCUAUGGUCCUUAUCUCCCAUUAGGAACAUUUCCUUCAUAUCCUCUAUAAAUAAUCCCAUGUAUCUAUCAAGAGGACGGAAAACCCUACUAGACUUGCGAUAUGGCGGUGUAAUCUCUGGUGUCACAGAGUUAUCAGGAAGGGCUCUUGGAAUAUUCGAUCCUAAAGAGACUUUCUCCUCUAGUUCUAUUUUUUUCCCACUGCCCCCAGUGAAAAUAAAUUCACUUUCAAGGAAGAAGGCAUGACGGCUCACAAUCACAUUAUGGCCUUCUGGGAGAUAAAAAUAGUAUCCAAGUGAUUCUUUGGGAUACCCAAUGAAUCUACCCUUGACUGAUCUGCUUUCCAACUUGUCCGUCUUUAAUUUCUUAAUAUAAGCUGGACACUCCAAGUUUUAAUAUUAGUAAAACUUGGCUUCCUACCAUGCCACAUCUCAUAUGGUGUGGUCGGAAUAGAUUUGGAAGGCACUCUGUUCAAAAUAUAAAUAGCCGUGAGAAGUGCGUAACCCCAAAAUGACAUAGGUAAAUCCGUAAAGCUCAUCAUAGAUCGAACCAUAUCCAAUAAAGUUCGAUUACUCCAUUCAAUUCUGGUGUUCUAGGAGGAGUCCAUUGGGAGACAAUACCAUUAUCCUUGAGGUAGGUUAGGAAAUCCGUACUAAGGUAUUCCCCUCCUCGAUCUGAUUGAAGAGCCUUAAUUGGUUUUUCCAUUUGCUUUUCUACUUCUUGUCUAAACUCUUUAAACUUUUCAAAGGCUUCAGACUUGUGCUUAAUUAAGUACACGUACCCAUACCGUGAAUAAUCAUCAGUAAAGGAAAUAAAGUAGAGAUAGCCAUCCCAAGUAGACACAUCGAAUGGUCCACAUACAUCAGUAUGUAUUAGGGCGAGUACUUCAGUAGCUCUCUCUCCUUGUCCAACAAAGGGAGACUUAGUCAUUUUUGCUUGAAGACAUGAUUCACAAGCUGGGUAUGAGAUUCACAAGCUGGGUAUGAUUCAAAGGGUAAGGACCCUAAGACACCAUUCUUAGCCAACUUGUUAAUUCUAUCCUCUCCAAUGUGACCAAGUCUAAGAUGCCACAAGUACGUUUUAUUUACCUCCUCUCUUGGUCUUUUGAUAUUCUCAUUCAUGCCAUUAUCAACUGUAUUAACACUAACAUCCAUAUGUAAGUGAUAGAGAUUGUCAAUUAAAGAACCAUAACCGAUCAAAUUAUUUCUCAAAUAAAUUGAACAAACGUUUGAUUCAAAAAUAAACUUAUAACCGUCCAAUACCAAACGUGAAAUAGAAAUAAGGUUUCUAGUCGCACUAGGAACAUAAAGACAAUCUCUAAGUUCUAAAACUACUCCUGUCGGUAGACAUAAAGGAUAAGUCCCCACGGCAACAGCAGCAACUCUUGCCCCGUUUCUAACGCGUAGGGUAAGCUCUCCAUCCCUAAGUCUUCUACUUUGUUUUAGCUCUUGCAUUGAAAUACAUAAAUGUGAGGUACAUCCAGAGUCAAUGACCCAUGUAAAAGUAGAACAAACCGAUAAGUUAGUAGUUUCAAUGACAUGAAUCUCGGACAUCUUAGCCCUGAACAGUCGCUUCGACACCUCGCAGCGAGCUGUUCAGCUUUCCUCAUCAUACAACUCCUUGAGAUGAAGUAAAACAUCAGCAGCACUCUCCAUGUGCUCAUGCUCGCGUUGCGACUCAUUGCUCAUAGACGCAAGCAUGUAGCAUUUUGCUUUCAUAUCAUCAUCAGUUCAUUUAUUUCUUGCAACUCUUUGCUGAGCUGUUGGAUUUUCGGGCACCGCUGGAGCCUCCGUAUCCAACACAUAGGCUAAUUUUUCAGAAUUGAGAAUAAUUCUCAAAUUCCUGAGCCAAUCGGUGAAAUUCGGUCCAGUUAAGCGAUUAGUAUCAAGUAUUUUGGCAAGUGGGUUAGAUGCAGCCAUUUUCUGCAAAAGGUUAAGAUUCUAAUUAGUUGUGUACUUAAUCACAAUCCAUUUGAUUAGGGUCUUUAAAUCUAAAUGGUGCCUCCCACUAAUUUUGGUGAAUCUCCACACUCCCCAAGCGGAGAAAAUAGAAACUUUACUUAAAAGUUUCUAGUGGGGAUUGCGGUCCCAUUUGUUUACACACCACCUCAUCCUGACAGAUUCUUGGCAAUGAGCAAACAAAUAAGUGAACAACUCUUGUUCAAUGCUUCUCAAGCAAAUUGCAAUCUAAUCUUUGGCCUCCAUAAGAUAUAGGCCUCAUCCUGACAGAUUCUUGGCUUUAUUUCAUGGUUAAGUUAGACCCACCGUUCAUCGUGCAAAUAAGAAUGUCAUUGAAUCCUCAUCCUGACAGAUUCUUGGAUCCAACCCCUUUCUUACCGCACAGCAUCUCAUGCCAAUAGAAUGGUUGCGGCUCCCCAAUGCAACUGACCCCCGUAUCCGGGUGCAUCAAUCAACACUAAAGAGACGCCCACACCCUACAACGGUGGAAGGCCACUAAUGGGUUCAUAACACCAUUAACUUAAUAUUUUAUUUAGGGAGAUUAGUUGUCUCAUCAGUUUUAAUUUAUUAUUAAUUUACAUCUCAUGCAAACCAUCACAUCACAUGCAUACAUUCAUCGCAUAUAUAAAAAUAACUACCGGUGAUGAUCAUGGAUUUUAUCUUGAUUCGGGCCUGAGCCACUAGGCCGGAAUGGGGUCAUAAGGGUAUUACACACAAGAAAACCUUCUCUUAUUCUGCGUCUCGAUCGGAUUUGAGUUGAUCAACUCUUGUCUUCUCCCUUGAUCAGCAUCUGGUCCAAACUUGAUCCGCAUCGCAUCAACUCUUGAAUGCAACGAAUCCCUCUGGAACCUAAACUACCCUUUUCCCUUAUUAAUUUUAUAACAAUAACUUUACGACCCAUAAAAUUAAUGAGACACGCAGGUCUCCAAAUUACAUAAUUUAAUUGGCACGCGCAGGCACCCAAAAAAAAUAUAAUCUAAUACUGGAUCAUUUUUAAAUUACAACAAUUCACACAAUCACAUGAUACAUGCACAUCACAAGGUCGCUAUCCAUGAUCAUCACCUCAUAUACAUCACAUGCAUAUAAUAUUAAAUUCUCUAACUCGAAUUCUAAUUAAUUGGGUUUCGGAUUAAUUUUAAAAACAAAUCUUUAUUUGUUUCAAGAAUCGUAAUUUGUCGUAAAAAUAUCAAAAAGAUUUAAUACAUCUCAUGCAUUAAAAAUACAAAAUUAUAAAUCAAUUUUAAAAUAGAUUCAAUGUCACAUUACGGCUAUCGCGCCGUAUGACGCACCGCACGCGAUCAUACACGACACGCCUCAUGUGAAUGCGGCUUGCAUUGCAUACCUUAUGCUUUCAAGAUAUAAAGAAGCCAUUGAAUUUAAUUAACAUGGCCGUGCAUACCUUGUUAAUUAACUUUCAACGACAUGUAAGUCUUCAUUCCAAUGAAUUAGCAUGUAUGCAUGUGGUCACGAGUUGACCAAAGUACAUGCUAUUCACACCAUGCAUGCAACCCACUCGAUGCAUGCACAAGUGCCGCUUGCGCAUGACGUGCCGCAACUUGUUUGCGCACCGGUUUUAAAAAAAUUUAGCGAUUUCGGUUAAUUUAAAAUUAUAUUAUCAAAAUAAACGGUGACAUAAAAUUAUAUUUUACGUGCGAUCUAAUCAAUGUUUCGAAACAAUCAAAUAUUGUUCGAAAAACAAUCUUCAUUGGUUUGAUUUUGAUCGUUCCGAAAAAUCCAAUUAACAUCGAAAAAGAGAUUAGAUCUAAAAGAAACAACGAGGGUGUCUCUGAUACCACUGUAAGAAAAUCAUGUGUACGCAGCGGAAGAAAAUAACACAAUUAAAAAUUUUCUUGAAAACCAAAUAUCACCUCGUGUUUCGUUUUAGAUCAUUAAUAAUAGAUCUAAUUGAUCUAAUCAAAUAGGAUCUAUAUUUUAUUAUAUUUUACCUCGCACAGGUUGAGAUCACCGCGAAGUCGACAAUCGUUGGUAAAAAUUUGUUCGUCCUCGCUUAGCCGCGAACGCACCCGGCCUCUACUCGCGUCCACACGAAAUCACGCCCUUGAUCGAAUUUAGACGGCCGCUUCAAUCCGUGAUCCGAUCACGAAUUAACCCUUGCGUCGACUUGAGGAAGAUGAAUCAAUCUUCUAGAUAUGCUAGCAACUUUUGAAGAUCGAAACCGAUGGAUUUAUUGUGGAGGACUUAAGGAAGAAAAAUGAUUGACGGCUAGGGUUUUCUUUUUCUUUUUGCUUAAUUUUCCGUUAAUUGUAAUAUGUCAUAUGACAUAUAUUUAUAAUAAGAAAACCCUAACAUAAUCCUAAUCCUAAUCGAAAUCCUAUUCCGAUUUGAUUAUCCAUUAACCCGUAAGUUGGUUAUGAUAUUAACCGAAUUCCGAAUCCUAAUUCUAAUUUGAUUCGUGUGUAACGUUUACACAUAAUUCCUCAUAUUAUUUACUAACGAUUAGUAAAUACACCAUGCAACUUUUACACAUAAAUACCUCUAAUUUACAACAAUUGCAAAUUAGUCCUUUUACUAAUAAAUUAGUAAACUUUAGUAUUUAACUAUAUUAUAAUUGUAAUUAAUCUAUCCGAUAAACUUUUUUUAUUGUCUCCUAAAUAUCGAUCAUGCGCAAUUUCUUAUGUGUGUGACCUAAUAGGUUCAAUUCUGUCUGAUAGUGAGAUAUGAUGAGAUCUCCAUCUACAUCAUCAUCGAAACUCUUUUCGAUGGCUCAAACUCUUUUGAUUCCACCCUUAUAAAAUAAUUAAUUAUCUAUAAUUAUUUCUAUUGGUUCCCACAAUCCACCAGUGACGCCUAGCAGCAUGUAGUGGCAAUCCAGUCAGAAGUGAAUAUCGGAUUGAACCUCUAGGUGCAGUUACCGUACAAUACAAUCCUUCUAUCGCAUAGUUCCAACUGAGUGGAGGUCAUGGAAUAUUCGUCAAACCCCAUCACCCGUCAUAUGACAAAUUUGAUCAGACAGAAGCUCUUAUGGUUACUCUUGGAAACAUCUUUCCAUAUAUUAUAUUACCCCGGCCGAGGAUUUCUGAGCUUUGCCGUACAAAUAGCAUAGAACUAAUUAUCUCUCUACCGAGAGCGAUAGAUCCCCUAUAAACACACACCCAUUCCUGAUAUGAACCGACUGCUGCCAACAUAUACUACUAAGACCCAUGGCUAGGAUCAGAGUUUGUUGCAUAGUCAAACUACAGUAGCCUCAUAUUGAAUAGCCGUGGUGUCACAGGUCUAAGAAUCAGUUGUACCACUGCAACAUCGAACCAGUUAUUGACGAAUGAGUAGACAUCCAUGUAACUGUUCGUAGUUGGUCACGCUCAGUACCCUUGUUCUCCAAUAACCACCUGCAUGUUCGCUCCAGUGUCCCCACACUGAUGACUCGAGAUUCGUCAUCCUAAAAGGGAAGCGGCACACACAUCAAUCUUACAGGGUCAAUCAUCGCCCCCAUGAUGAUCCUCCGAUUGAGAGCAUUUAUGAAUUAAUCACCAAUAAUAUGUAUCUCAAAUUCUCAACUCUUGAGAAUACAUAUUAUCAUCUUAUUAAUUCAAAGGACGAUUCCAUGAACCAUUUAACAUAAUGGAAUAAAAGGCCCAAUUAUAUAAAUAAUAAAGAUUAAGUAAAAUAUAUGUCCUAUAGAAAAUAAUAAUGCGUCACCUGAUAGGCUUCUAGGGCACGCAAUAACUAACCGAGGCGGUAGCUCCUCACCCAUUGGACUGGAAGUGAGUUGGGGCGAAGGCGGGUAGCCCUUUCCCUAUGAGGAUUGAGCGCGGGUAGCUCAUUACUUAUGAGAAUGAGCGGGGUAGCUCAUUACCUAGGAGAUUAGAGCGGGGUAGCUCUUCACAUAUGGCUUUGAGAUGUGAGAGCGGGUGAGAUAAGAGCGGGGUAGCUCCUCACCUGUGAGAUUUGAGAUAUCAGUCGGAGCGAAGAGCGGGGUAGUUCUUCACCUCUUCACCUACUAGAUUUGUGGUGUGAGUACCUAUGAGAUUUGAGAUCUUAGGCGGGGUAGCCUAGUGGAUUGGGUAAUGACAUGAAUAGCAUAAGUGGAUUUGCAUUCAUACCCUGAUUAGACAUAGUAUAUGUUAGUGGAUUGCAUAACUAUGUUGUAUUUGUAUUCAUUACAUUGUUGAAGCAUACUAGCAUGAUAGUAGGCUUGUUGUUAGAUGAUAUUCCAUGCAUUGCUUGCAUUUGAAGGCAUAGAUGAGAAUAGUUGCAAUUUCAUAUUUAUCUAUCUAUCUGUGCCUGCUUAGACCUAGUGGGAAGAUCGGCGGAGUCGGCGGCCGAACCCACUGGAAACUAUAUUUAUAUAGUUCUCACCCCACUUUGUUGCAGGGCCGUGUGUGAGCGUUCCGGGGGAGGAUCGCGGUAAGGGCGUAGCGCCCUAGCUAGCUAGUAGAGUUUCCUAUUUGAACUAGAGCACCCUCGUGUGCAUGUUUAUAGACAUGAUGUAUUUUGGAUAGCUAGCAUUAUGUUUGUGAGAGGAUCAUGUAUUCAUUUUUGGGAGAUGGAAAUGUAAAUCAAAUCAAUGUUGAAUGUGAUGUAAUAGCUAGAUGCAUCUCUCUUUAUUUCACUUGUAUGUUACUUGUGAUUCUUGCUCUUGUUGGUAUAGCACUUGUGGUGCUUGUUGAAUUAUGUAUGUUAAUUAAGUUUAUUUUGGGCAACUCUUGUACAUGAUCUUAUUGUUGAGCCUUGGGCGGACAGGGGAGGUGCUGUCCGUCCGGCGUCUGUUCGACGCGCCCGAACCGAACCAAAUGGGUAGCGGUCUCGGGGCGUGACAUUCAGCUUUAGCGGACUUAAAGCUAGAUAUGAAUAGAAUAUCUAUCCUUAUAUUAUGAAUUAUAAAUAAUUAAUACAUAAAUACCGUUAAACCAGUAUCACCAGAUUGGCUUUUGGGCAUAUAACUAAUAAUAAUAACAGCCAACUGAAAAUAGAUAUAAUAGUUCCAAAAAAUAAAUUCGGCUUUAUCGGACUUAAAGCUUUUAGAUUUUGUUGUUUGACAAAUAUGGUUGGUAAUGAUGGAAGGCUAAAUUGAAAGAUGAUAAUAAGAUAUCAAGAGAUGAGAGAUACAAAAAGUGCACCGUUCACACAAUUGCGGGGCAUCCACGAUCGACGAUGAGGUCGGUACACCACGGGUAGAAUUUCAGCAGCGGGAAAGAAGAAGAUGAAGUAGUGACUCGGAAGAAGAGGAGGGGUAGAAUUAGAGGCCGAUUUUGCCACGAGGAAGAAGUGACAAUGAUCAAGUUGAGGAAGAAGACAAUCUCGGCACGAGGAAGAAGCUUCAAUAAUCUCACCGAGAAGUAGAACACUAAGGAUAAAGAGUAAGAGUAGAAUUUUCUAUUCAUCAAAAUAUAUCCCUUAAGGGUUCAAGAAUCAUAUAUUUAUAGUGUUGAGAGCCCUCCUAUAAUAAAUUAUUGUCCUUUCAUUUUCAACAGAAUACGGUCACCCAAGGGUCAUGCAUGCAUAGAAGAUGAAGCAAUUUUGAAAAUUACAAAGGUUUUUUUUGGAAUAGUUUCUUUGUUUAUUGCAGAAAAGGGUUUGGAUUAACCAAAUCAACUAUUAAGCCCGAAUAAAAAACGAACCUAUAAAAUAAAAGAAAAUAUCAUUUGAAAAUAAAAUGAGGUUUAUUUGCUGCAUUAGAAACCUGAUUAAAAAACCAACAGCUAGCAUUGACUUGGAGUCGUAGUUUUCGUUAAAAAACCAACAGCUAUCUAUUAUUUUAGUGUACUUGUUAUCUCUGAUUGUUUCUCUAUGUUGAUAAGAUAAUAUGGUUUAAGUUAUAGUUGUAUAUUUACAUUAUUAUUUUAAAUAACUGGUGUAGGAUGUGUAUGUCAACUCUGUUUAGCUUAUAUUGUGUUUGCUUUGUAUUCAAACGCGGUGCAUGUAUGUAUAAGGAGGAUUUUGUCUGUGGACAGAGCGAAUCCUGUGCUUAUGGUGGAUCGGUUGUUCCCUAGGUCAGAUUUAAAAUCUGUUUGAAAUGAAUUUCCAUUGUAUCUGAUUGAAAAAAAAAAAGAAAAUCAAGUGCUUUUCUCGAAAUUAAAUACUCUUUCCAAAUGGGCCCGGGCAUGACAUUGUAAUAAAUUGGAGAUUCAUUCCUGCCAUUACUUGCAGAGAUGAUGCAGUUGUAAUGCAUAGAAAGCUUACACGGUAAACUAUUUUGCUGCAAUAAUAUAAAAUUGUUUAUCAUCUCUACUUAUUUACAUAUAAAUUAGUUUCCUACUAUGUCGUACGAAAGAGUUGUUCUUCAUCCCAAAGAGAUUAGCCAAAUUGUUAUGUUGUAUAUAUGUGAGAAACUAACAUCCCAAAGAGUGAAGCUAUUUUCACUCUCAUAGACCCCCUCCCCUAUAUAUAGUAGGCAUUAAGAAAAUCAAACUCAAACCUGAACAUUCAAAUGCCUUGUUUCAUCUCCUUGCGGUAAUGACAAUGUAGCCUCAGUUGAUCUAUUCCCGUAAGUCACAUGAACACUAUACUCCCCCAAGAAUCCAGCAAAGCUAAAGGAGCCAUGCUCAUCCGUCAUUCCUCCCACCUGCUUCGUCUCCCAUUCACUCAAGAGCUUGUCAACGGCAUCUCCGGCGGGGAGAUUCUGCAGAUUCCAAUCCGUAAGGCACAUUUGGUAGCAGCCGUUUCGGUGCAAUGCAGUCCACAACAUAAUCCCGUUCACAGAAGGAUGGGAGAAUGCUUCUCUCAAAACCUCGUCCAAAUAUAGAGCCUACGUACGAAAAAAAGAUUUAUAUAGUUACGCGAAAAGCAUUACCGAAUUUUGUAUGCGACAUUGAAUAAAACCUCGUACCUGAGUUUGUUGAUCGUAGUGAUUAUUUAUGUCGACCUCGGUGAACCAAAUUGGAAGUCCAAGGGUUGCCAACUUGUCUAGAGUAGCUCUCAUCAAUGGAAUGUUCGGUUUGCUGAAGUGUCCCUCUAGUCCGAUCCCUUCGAGUAGGGCUCCUCCCGCUUUAAGGUCCUUUAGUCGUGACACAUACGAAUCAACUGAAGAGAAGAUAUCCUCACAAGUCUCUAUAACGUUGAAUUCGUUCAUGAACAAAGUGGCAAGGGGAUCGGCUAGUUGAGCUGUGUUGAAGAAAUCUAAGGAUGCAUUGGGCCCGAGGCGCUGCUCAUAGAAGUUGAAGUGAAGCAUCUCAUUGUUCACAUCCCAGUGUGCAAAUUCGCCCUUGUACCUAUCACAGCCCCAACAGUCUCACAUUUGAUAUGUCGAAAAUUAGAAAUACAGGUUUUUAUGUAAGUAAUACCGAUAUACUAAAAAGAGUUGGACGCGUGCAAUUUAGGUGAUGCGCUGAAGACCGAUCUAGUUGUUAACACUAGUAGAUACCUAGUCAUCAAGCUCUCGAUGCGAGACUUCACUGCCGAUCGAAGGUCAUCGCCGGUGAGGUUCCUCACCCAAGAAGGGGUCGCCUCUUGGUUCUCCCAGAAGAUGUUGUGGCCACGUACCGUGAUGUGAUUGGCUCUGACAAAAUCAAGCAUCUUGUCCGCCAAGUCGUAGUUGAGCAUCCCGGCCACAGGCUCGGUUGCAUACCACUUGAGCUCAUUUUCAAAGACUGCAGCAUUAAACCUCUCGACAAACCACGCCUACCAUGAACUCGUAUAUAGUUAAAAAUGUUUUCAUUUUGAAUUAUGUUACUCUCGAACUGAAUGCGUCAAACAAGUCGAAUUCUUCACUUGAUUACAAGAAAAGAAGAAAUAUACACAUGCAAUCUGCUGCGAAUACCUGAUAGACUGAGUUUCCUAAGAUGGUAUUAGCUAUUGCAGAGCCAAACGGGAAGUCCUUUGAAAUUUGCUGCACCAAAACUGACGCUCCAGUAAGUCGGUUACCUUGUGAAUCCGCAACGUGUAUAGUCACAGCUCGCUUCCUCUUCUGCUCUUAUGGGCAAACUCUCAAUUAUCUAUCAUAUAUAUAUAUAUUUUAUGUUGUUCAGCAUAAUUCAAGGAGCAAAUGGGAGGUAAUAGCCUUACCGUUCUGACAAUUUGCUGCUGGUGCAUUCCCCAUUGCUCGACUGAGAAUGGCUGCAAUGAAGCGCUUGUAAUAGAGAUCCUCAUAGCAUUCCUGUCAGCAUUCUAGUCAGAAGAGUAAAGAAAAAAAAAAAAGAAGAAGUAAGUUUCUCUAAAAGCUAUAUAUAUAUAUAUAUCGGAUGAAUAUAUAUAGAAAAAGUUCAGAUGCAUGUUUUACCUAAAUUCUCAAUGGUUGGAACUUCAAAUUAAUUAGCUCUAGAAAUAUCUAGAAAUAGAAUUUCAUGAGUUUUAAAAAAUUAUCGUCAAGCCCGGAGUCGCAAAUUGAAUGGUCGAAAACGAAUAAUAACCUUGUAAAAAAAAAAUAUAGGAUUGAGACAAUUAAGACGAGUGAAAUAACCUGAAAAAAGAGCACAGAGGAUUGAGAGGAUGAAUCCAGCACGAAUCCACCCUUAAGGAAGGACCAGCACCCACUUUUGGCUGAUACCGUCCCUAGGCAUCUGGUUCCUGAAUUGUCCGGGGUUAGUCUUGCAUUGAUUAUAGCAGAAUCAGCUCCAUCAAUUCUCACCCAACCUAUAUAGAAAGAGACAAAGAGAAUGUGCGAAUAUCGACGUGAUCUGGUAACAUAUAAUUGUGGAAAGUAAGGCACGCACCUCCUGCAGUGGUGGCACCAAAUAAAAUCUUCUUGCUGAAGAAUUACAGUACACAAGAGAUGGUACGAUGGGAUGGGAUUAACUAUAUUAAUUCGUUUUAUAGUUUGAUUAUGCUAAUCAAUAAUAUAAUAUUAAAGGAUCCAUGAAGCUAGGUUGACAAAUACGCAAUUCAUCAUGCAAUAAUAUGUAGUAGUAAUAAUUCCAAUCAGAAUAUCAAAAAAAUCGACGGGUAAAAAGAGUGGAGUUGAGGGCCGGUCGGUAAUCUAUUUAAAUUAAAAAAAAAAGGGCCUACAAAUGAGGGGGCUCACAUCACAUGAGAAGAGAGAGAGGAGGAACACUGAACUCACAUGAGAAGCUGUAUCUUGUUGUCUGGUUGAGAUUGUACAGCACAAACGCUGGUGAGUAGACUCCUGUCUCCGUUUUAUGGUAUGCGGUUGGACCGUCCCCCUUUCCAUUCUUCAGAAUCCCUCCCUUGUACAGAGGGGGCUCAGGUUGGGAUCUGCACUGCCGAGAGAAAGAAAAGAAAAUAAAUAUUUAGGCGGUGCGUUUGCAUAUUUUAAUUUGUUGCAUCAACAACUGACGUGGUGGUGUGGUACUGUGGUAUACUGGUAUAUCAACUAUCAACUAUCAAACUAACUAAAUUCACCGGCUUCUUUCGCCGAAUUAAGAUUAAUGCUUGCUAUUUUUACUUCACGAGGCAGCUGCUUGGACGGUGUGGAGCCUCGAUCCACACUGCCACAGUGUGAUGAGGAACCCCAAUCGGAAUCGGUCUACUACCAACAAAAAGCAAGCCUAGCUAGUAGCUAUUCGACUCCUGCUGCACUUCGUCGUUUUCGAUUGCUCGCAAGAACAUUCGUUCCGAGGGCAAUUAAUGUAGUCAUCAUGUUAUAAAUAAAAGAUUGACGGAUUUAUUUAUUAGCAAUGUUGCUGCUGGUUGGAUUGGAUUUUCCUUCUACCAAACUCUACCAAACUAAUUCAAGAAACCCCAAAAAUUAAAAACUAAUUAUUUGGCAUUAUUAUCGCUUUUUAUUCUUUUAAAUAAAGUCUUUAUAUGUAAUAAUAGUAUAAAAGAAACCGACCGUCCCUAGCGCAAGUGGCAAAAGGGUUUGGUGGUUGGUACCGAAGACCCAAGUUCGAAUCUUAGUUGAUUCACAUUUCUAGCUAUGUUUAUUUCUAAAUGAAAUAAACGAAGCGGAUAGCAUGCUAUCUUUCUCUCAAAAAAAAAAGAAAAAAAAAUGGUGAAUUUUUUAAAUUUAGAGUGUUUGUUUGGAAACUAAAAAUUAAAAAUUCGAAAAUGACUUUUUUUUUUUUUUUACUUUCAAAUAUUUUAAAAGAACAAUUGUCUAUCACUUAAUUAAUUGCGGUACCAUACAAGGUAACCCAACCAUGAUGACUAUUUAAGAGAAGAGAAACGUCUCUCUCGUAUGUCGAAUUACUUAAAAAUAAUGAUUAAAAAAAAAAAAAUCUGGCAACAGUGCCUGGCCAAAUAAAUAAAUAAUAAAAAAACCUUUAGGCAUCUAUUAUAUUAUAGUUGAAGGGGGCCUUCAUAUAUUGUUUUUUUUUUUUUUUUUUUUUCGUUGAGGUUAUGUUAAAAUCUCGCUGGCUACUUAGGGAAGAUUAGGCAUGCAGCUAUUAUGCUUAGAGGUGUCAAUAGGUCGGAUUCAAACUGAAUUUUAAAAAUACAAAUUUGAGUUUGAUGAUUAAUAUCGAAAUUCAAAUCUGAAUUCAAAAUCAUCAUAUUUUUAAAAUCCAUAGCCAAAACAGAAUGCAACCUAAAAACUAAAACACAAAACUGAGCCCAAAACGCAAUCAUUCUUUUUACCAAAUUUAAAAACAUGUCAUACUAUCUCAAAUCUAAAUUUUAAAAGUAAAAUCUAAAAUUUUGUAUAUAUUAUAUAAUAUAAAACCAGCUCGUGAUCGGCUUGGAUUUGAGUUUAGAUUUGGAUUGGAUACAAAUAAUAACCAUAUAUAUACGUACGACCCCUUUUGAAUCCGUCGAAUUUUUAACUUUUAUAUUCGUAACCAAAACCAUCCAUGUUUAACAUCUAUUAAACCCACUCCUUCGUGGAUAAAAUCUUGGAUAUUCAUACCAUGGGCACCCCUAAUUAGGCUGACGUUACACGCAGUGCGCAGCGUUGCUUUUCUCGAUCCAAGAGUGUUUGCUGAAUAGCCUAUUCCGCCUGCCUGUAUGGCUCCACGAUUUGAAAAAUAUAAAAUCUUCCACAGAAUUUGGAAUCGAAAUAGUGUACGUUGCUGGCUGUGGGAUAUAUGGAAAGGGCGGAAGGUCUCGAAUAACGACUUAAGCGGUAUUAUUGCUUGCUGGUGGGUGGUUUGGGAGACUAGGAAUGGAAUCAUUUUUGCGAAGACCCAGGCGGAUCCGAUCCGUGGGACUCAUAAGAUCUAACAUCUGAUAGCUCAGUGGGGUAUUCCUGAUCCGUAGAGCUAUAGUUAGACCUCGUAGGCAGUAUAGAGGUAUCAGCUAUACUUUGCAAACAACAUCCGUUCUCCUGUUUUUUCCUUUUUGUCUCCGUUAACCUUGAGGCCUUGAUGCCUCACCCAUGUUGCUUAAUUCACCUACUAUAUGAAUGAAGCGGGUAGCAUGCUACCUUUUUCUCAUAAAAAAAAAGAAAAAAAGAAAAAAAAGAAAUAGUGUACGUUGAUCCAACUAUCAGAUAUAUAUAUAUAUAUAUAUGUAGGAACUUGGAAUCUCUCUCUAUGUAUUGGUGCGGGCAAAGGAUAAAGAAGUUGUUUGAUUCCACAGUAACAACAGUAUUAUUGUAGUUAUAGUUGCAUGUAUAAGUAAGGGGGUGUUGGACCUAACUUUUAAAAAACGCUUUUUGGCUGAAAAGUGAUUUUCGACUCAAUAGAACGUUUGACAACUCACUUUUAAAAUUUGAUUCUGUUUUUUAAAAUUAGGAAACUAAUUUUGAAGGCCCCAAAAUCAGAAACAGAAAAAAAUACUGCUUCUUAAAAUCUAAUUCUGAUUUUCGAUUUAAACUUCAAAUUUUUACUUUUAUUUUAAUUUCAAUAUUUAAAUUUAAAUUUAAUUUUAAAUUUUAAUUUUCAGAUUCAUUUUUGAAUUUUUAAAUUUUAACUUUUAAAUUUUAAAUUUUGAAAAAUAUAUUUCAAACUUUAAAUUUUAAAUUUUAAUUUUAAAUUUCAAAUCUCAAAUUUUAGAUUUUAAAAUUUAAAAUUUAAAAUUUAAAAUUUAAAAUUUAAAUUUAAAAUUUAAAUAUUAAAAAUUAAAAUUUAAAAUUUAAAAUAUGACAUUUUAGAUUUAAAAUUUAAAUGUAAAAUUAAAUAUUUUUAAAUUUUAAAUUAAAUUUUAAUCCUCAAAUUAUAAAUUUAAAUUUAUUUAAAAAUUUAAAUUUUAAAUAUUCAAAAUUUUAAUUUUAAAUUUUAAAUAUUCAAAUUUUAUAUUUUAUAUUUAAAAUAUUCAAAUUUUAAAUUUUAAAUUUUAUAUUUCAUAAUUAUUUUAAAUUUUAAAUUUUUUAAAUUUUAAAUUAUUUUUUAAAUUAAAAUAUCAAAUUUUAAAUUUUGUACAAUUUUUAAAUUUAUAUAUUUUAAUUUUAAUUCAAAUUUAAAUUUAGAUUUUAAAUUAUUUUAAAAUAAAAAUUAAUAAAAAUAAUAAUUUAUGCAAACAUCUAAAAAAUUUUGCCAAACAGUUUUUCAAAAUCACUUCAGAAAAAUCACUCUUAUCUAAACUCCGCAAAACGCUCAACAGCUUUUAAUCAAAAAUCAUUUCUCCGAACCAAAAUCACUUUUUCAGAAAUCACUUUUUCAAAAGCUAGGCCAAACAGGCCCUAAAUCUACUGUUAGGUCUAGUGCAUGUGAAUUUAAUUAUUAUGGUUAGAACUGCAUAAUAGCUUAUCUGGGCUAACUCAAAUUGACCAUAGUUUCAAUUAUAGUACGUAAUUAGAGAGUGCAACAUAAAAAAAGGGAGCUUACAUAAUUACGUUUUAAACAGAAAAUUUAUUUUCUUUGACUUGCGGGCACUCACUGUCCCAUAUUAAAAUGAUAACGUUUGUAAUUACAAUUCACAAUUAUAUGCAAUCAAACAAAAUAUAUACAGCUGUAAUAUUCUUAAUUUUAUCAAAUUAAAUAAGCAUCCAACUAAACGGCCGCUAAAUGUCGAUGUGCCAAAUUUGAUUGAAAAGAGCUAUUCUAAAAGAGAUCGGGAAGGUAAAAUUGCACCACUAGCUCCUGAACUUUAGGUCAGAUUUUAUUUUGGUUGUCGAACUUCCAAAUUUGCAUCAGAGAUCCUAAACUCCUUGUGUGUAUAUAUGUACUGUUGAGAAGCAAAUAAUUACCUACUCCAUAUGCAUUUGGGAAUGUGCAAUGCAUAUAUCAACCAUUUAUCGAUCCUAUUUGAAAUUUCAACCCUCCUAUCCAUUGGAUUAUAUUCUUUUCGAUCUCUGUUGAGAACUCAGAUUAUCAAAAUGAACGAAAAACUGAUAACUUCAUGGUAUACAAGUAAGAAUUUCUACUUCUAGAUACUGACUAUAAUAAAUUCGGAGGAUAAAAUCUUAAAUGUUGACCUUAAACAUUUGAGGACCGAAAUGAAAAUUGAAAUAAGGUUCAGGGGCUAGUAGUGCAACUUAUCCGAAUCAAUCACAACAGGAAAUGGAAAAGAAUAAAAAAUACGGGACUGAUUGGUUAGAUAUAUGUAAAAAUAAUGCUACUCGUAUACUCCAAAAUAAAAUAUACAUUUUAUAUCCUUGUUAUCUAAAGACCAUCAUUUCUUACCUAUCACAUAACUUUUCUUUUCUUCUUUUUCGUUUAUUACUAAUAUCCACUGGGGCUUUUGUGAACCCUAUAUGCCUAGCUGUAAGAUGUACAAGAAGCAAUUAACCGUUUAAAAAAAUAUGGUAAAGGAGAGACUGUGUUUGUCUCAAAAAAAAUGUACAUCUUAUACCUCCUAUUGUAGGAUUCACAAAAAUCCAAAGAAAUUUUAGUAAAAAUUAAAAAAGACGUUGAUAUGGCAAGUAGAAAAUUAAUGGCUCCAAGUGUAAGAUGUACACUCCACUUAGGGGUGUAUACCGGUAGCAUUGCUCAUAGUAAAAAAAUAUUGUUAUUAUAUAUAAUUUGCUAACCCAUGCAGUUCAGAAUUUUAUUCAUAAAAUUUUUGUCACUUUAUACGUCGGAUGGUAAAUUAUACUUUAUAUAGGCAAAAAAAUUACAUGUAAAAUGUCAUUAAGAAGGUAUGCUUGUUUUUUAUUUAAAAUUAUUCUGCCCACUUCUGCAAUUGGAACUGUCAAAAUGCGGCUAUUUAAUUUGAAUAUAGUUUCAACUGCCGUAGUUGAGCCUCAUCAUAUGAUUCCAACUGCAGCAGCAGUGAAAUUCAAAUGCACAAAACCAAAUACCAAUUUAAAUCUACAUGUAGUUAAAACUAUAAUAUAAUUGCAAUUACGUACAACUAAAUAGAUCCUAAAUUGGGCACGAAAGUGAGCAAGCACAUGGAGUUUUGCUAGAAUACUACUAGAAGUACGAAGGCUUUCGUAAUUCUAAGUUCUAAGUUGCUUUCUAUGAUGAAACAUUCAAAUAGAUGAUCGGCUUCAUCAUGCAUGAUAUACACUAUUGGAAACAUCAAAUAAUUAAAUUUUAUAAUUUUUAGCAUCAUUUGCAUGGUGAACAAAUAAUUUCAAAAUAAAGACUAAAAAUUAAAAUCCCUUAAAAAUAAUAAUAAAUACUUAAAUUUCAUAAUAAAAGUUUUUAUCAUACUCUAAAUGGUGUAAAAUUUUUUUUUAUCAAAUUUUUAUCUGAUUUGAAUCGUUUUACACUAUUAAACUUACAAAUGUGUUAUACUGGUCAAUGAAAUUUAUAAUUUCUUUUGAUCACUAGGCAAGUGAUGCCAAAAUCAUUAAAAUUUACUUGAUAUAUAUAUAUAUAUAUAUAUAUAUAUAUAUUAUAUAUAUAUAUAUAUAUAUAUAUAUAUAUAUAUAUAUAACUAGGCUACUAUACUAUCGAUAGCACGGAGCGCUCCGUGCUACCAAGUUGUUUUCGAUGAUGCGGCUUCCAAAUCGAUGAUCGGCUCCGUUAGACUUGAUCUACACUAUUGAAAGUAUUUAGAAACAUAAAUUUCAUAAUUUUUCGAUAUCAUUUACUUAUCAAACAAGGAGUUUAAAAUUAAACGGCUGAAAAUAAAAAUCUCAUGAAAAAUGAUGAUAAAAGAUUUAAAUUUCAAGAUCAGAUAUACUGAUUUUACUCUAAAUAGUGAAAAGAAUUUUCUAUAAAUUUCAUCGCAUUUCGAUUGUUUUACACGCGUUAAAUUCACAAACACACCAUGUCGGUCAUUAAAAUUGUCAAUUUGAGAUCUUUUGAUCACUAGUCAAAUGAUGUUGAAAAAUCUGAAAUUAGUUUUCAAAUACUUUCAAUAGUGUAGAUCAAAUCUAACGAAGCCGAUCGUCGAUUUAGAAGCCCAUCAUCGAAAACAACUUGUACACCGGAGCGCCCGUGCUACCGAUAGCAUAGUAGCCGGACUAUAAUAUAUAUAUAUAUAUAUAUAUAUAUAUAUAUAUAUAGAUAUAUAAUAUACUAUAUAUAUAUAUAAUAUAUAUUAUAUAUAUAUAUAUAUAUAUAUAUAUUAUAUAUAUAUAUAGUGAGCUAGAAUACUCUCGAUAGUAAACGAGGCGUUUUACUAUCGAGUUGUUUUCAAUGAUAGAGCUUCCAAAUUGACGAUCGGUUCGUUAAAUAUGAUCUAAACCAUUUAAACUACCUAGAAAUCAAAUUCACGCACUUUCGAUAUUGUUCUUUAUCCUCUAGUGAACAAAAAUGAAUGGCUGAAAAUAAAUAUUCUUUAAAAAAAUGAUGAUAGGAGUCUUGUAAUCAAGAUCAAGAGUAUAGAUCUUGUUUUUAAAUAUUUAAAGAAUUUUUAACAAAAUUCAAUUGAUUUGAAUAUCUUUACACGUUAACGAGAAAACGUCUCUUAUCUACCAUUAAAAUUACAAAUUUAAACCCUUGAUCAUUAGGCAAAUGAUGUCGAAAAGAUUUGAAAUUUAAUUUCUAAACACUUCAAGUGGUAAUAGAUGCAUGUCCAACGGAGCCGAUCGUCAAUUUGGAAGCUCUAUCAUCGAAAACACUCGAUAGUAAAACGCCCCAUUUACUAUCGAGAGUAUUCUAGCUCAACUCUAUAUAUAUAUAUAUAUAUAUAUAUUAUAUAUAUAUAUAUAUAUAUAUAUAUAUAGAGUUGAGCUAGAAUACUCUCGAUAGUAAACGGGGCGUUUACUAUCGAGUUGUUUUCGAUGAUAGAGCUUCCAAAUUGACGGAUCGCUCGUUAAAUAUGAUCUAAACCAUUUAAACUACUUAUGAAUCAAAUUCACGCACUUUCGAUAUUGUUCUUUUAUCCAUCUAGUGAACAAAAAAUGAAUGGUGAAAUGAAUAUUCUUUAAAAAAAUGAUGAUAGGAGUCUUGUAAUCAAGAUCAAGAGUAUAAGAUCUUGUUUUUAAAUAGUUUAAAAAAUUUUCUAACAAAAAUUCAAUUGAUUUGGAUAUCUUUAUACCGUUAAACGAGAAAACGUCUCUUAUCCACCAUUAAAAUUACAAAUUUUGAAACCCUUUGAUCAUUAGGAAAUGAUGUCGAGAAAAGAUUUGAAAUUUGAUUUCUAAACACUUCAAGUGGUAUAGAUCAUGUUCAACGGAGCGAUCGUCAAAUUUGGAAGCUCUAUCAUCGAAAACAACUCGAUAGUAAAACGCCUUGUUUACUAUCGAGAGUUCUAGCUCAAAGCGUAUAUAUAUAUAUAUAUAUAUAUAUAUAAUGAAACGAUGGUAUACACCAGCUGCAUGCAAUAAUUUCCCGGGGGAGGCAGUCCAUUUCACGUGGAAAUAGUAAUUAAGUAGUUCACAGGUUCGUAACUAUAUAAUCCAAAACCUUUGUUGGACGCGACUAGUAUUUCCCUGCAGGUCGGUUAUUAAUUGCUCCAUUUAUUACGCGGUGCUUUUUUUUUUUUUUUUUUUUUUUUUUUUUUGGUGGUCGAAUAUAAGACCGAUCGAGCUCCGUCAAAGCUUGAUGGGGCCUUAAUUUUGUCCUCUUAGUUUUUUUUUUUUUGGUAAGAAAUUUAAUAGUGAUUGCUGGUUAAUUGGUAGCAAUUGGUCCACUAAGUUUUGACACCUAUAUGUUACGGAUAAAUUGUUGAAACUCGACCGUGAUGCUUUACGAAGAAAAAAGUUAUGUUCGUGAUAUAUAGCCCCAGAUGCUCCAAAAAAAAGUCAAUAUUUUGCUUAUGAAUUUACAAUAUUUUAGGCAUGCUAAAUGUACAAGAUUUUACUAACUCGUUUAUUUAUUAUAAUUAUCAUUCUACUAAUAUAUAUAUUAAAUUUGUACCUUUCUUUUUAUCAAUAAUAUUAAAAAAAUACACUAAUGAAAAAGAAAAUUACCACUCUAUCCUCAUAAGAGUGGGUCGUUGAUUAAAUAGUAUAAUCUAACGAGUGAAAAUAAUUAAAAGGUAGAUCUAACGAUUAAAAACUUAUGAGUACAAGAGUCUCUAUACUCAUAAGAGUAUAGUAACUAGCCGGACUCUUAUAUAUAGGCCGGGGCUACUAUACUUAUAUCAGUAUAGAGUCCUUUGUACUCAUAAGUUUUUAGCCGUUCAGAUGAAAAAAUAUAUGCUUAGGAUGAGAGUGGUUACGGUUAGAUUGAUAGUGGGCCCCCUAGGGUUGAGUGGAUGAUUGGUUGAAUAGUAUAAUCUAACGGGUGAAAAUAAUUAAAAGAUAAAUCUAACGGCCAAAAACUUAUGAGUAUAAAAAUUUCUAUAUAUACUCAUAAGAAUAUAGUAGCUAGCCGGACUCCUAUAUAUAGGUAUAUAUAUAUAUGAGCAAGGCUGGUAUACUAUUGGUAGCACGGAGGCCUCCGUGCUACCGAGUUAUUUCCAAUGAUGCGGCUUCCAAAUCGAUGAUCGGCUCCGUUAGAGUUGAUCUACACUAUUGAAAGUAUUUGAAAAUUAAAUUUUAUAAUUUUUCGGCAUUAUUUACCUAUCAAACGAGUAGUCUAAAAAUGAAUGGCUGAAAAUAAAAAUCUCGUAAAAAAUGAUGAUAAAAGACUUGAAUUUAAGAUCAGAGAUACUGAUCUUAGUUUAAAUAGUGAAAAUUUUUUUUUAUAAAAAUUUAAUCAAAUUUGAAUUGUUUUACACCGUUAAAUUCUCAAAUGCAUCACAUCUAUUAUUAAAAUUGUCAAUUUUGAGACCUUUUGAUCACUAGUCAAAGAAAUUGUAAGUUUCUCAAGUAUUUAAAUAGUGUAGAUCAAAGUAUGUAAAACGGAGCCGAUUCGUCGAUCUGGAACAGCCACAUUCAUACGAAAAACAACUGUCAGGCAUGAAGACUCACGUGGCCUACGAAGGUAUACAGCCUAGCUCUCUUAAUAUAUAUAAUUUAUUGAAUGAUAUAUAUAGAGAGCAUAUUUCUCUCUCCUUCUCCUUUCAACCAACUCUGACGAGCGUGGUCUCUCUACUUCUCUCUCCCAAUACUGUCGAGCUCUAAGUCUUUUUCGCCCCUUCCCUUCCCGCGCAUAAUAUAUUACUAAAUUUAUCUAUCAUCUAGUGAGCUUUUACUUUAAUGUCUUAUUAUUCGAAAAGCUAAAUAACUAUCUGUGAUUUCUAAAUAUAUAUGGUUAUCAUUUGUGGUCUGAUUUUUUCUGCUACCUCAUUCAAGACAGUUUUUCGAUAAAGUAAAUAAUACAAAUUAUAAGAUAGCUUAAGUAUAAUUUUUGAAUAAUAAGUUAUAAAGUUAAAAAAUAUACAUACAGUUAGAGUGGAUUUUCUUUUUAUAAAGUAAAAGUUAAGAUUAAAUUUUAUUCAAUUUCUUUUUACUAAUUUAGAGUGGAUGUCAGUCUCUGCCACAAUACAGUACAUUUCGAAUGGUCAUACUUAGAAUAUGCUCUACUAAAUUUUAUUUGCAGUUUGAAAGCGCAUAUACUAUAUAAUAUAUAUAUAUAUAUAUAUAUAUAUAUAUCUAUAUAUAUAUAUAUAUUAUAUAUAGCAUGAUCGGCUCCGUUAGAACGAAUCGAUCUAACAUAUUUGAAAGUUUUCUAGAAAUAUAUUUUUGCGAUUUUUCGAUAAUCAUUACCUAGCAAUGCGAAAUGAAUUCAAAAUCAAUAUUUUUUAACAGGUUGAAAAUUAAAAUUUCUAUAAAAAGUGGUGAUAUAGGCAUUAAAAUUUUCGAUCAGAUGAUUUAAUAUUGUUAUCUAGUAAAGAUUUGUAUAAAAUUUUAUCUGAUUUGAAUACUUCUUACACCGCUUAAACUUGAAAACGGCCAAUAUUAAAAAUAUGGAUUUUGAAUCCUUUCGGUCAACUAUGUGAAUGAUAUCAAAAAAUCGCAAAAUUAUAUUCUAGAAACUUCAACUGCGCGGCUAGAUCAAGUCUAAAGCGGAGCGAUCGGUCGUAUUCGAAAAUUCGCAUUCAUCGAAAACGGCUUAGACAGCGGAGGCCUCCAUGCUCCUGAGUAGCAACAAGAAAACACAGGUCUCUUCUCUCUCUCUCUCUCUCUCUCUCUAUAUAAUAGUACUAUUAAUAAUAUAUAUAUAUAUAUAUAUAUAUAUAUGGAGAAAUAAUUAAGUUGAAAAUUAAAUUCGCCCAAAGAAGAAACAAUAUUAAUGAUCGAUUACCUCCGUAUAAGCUGAAUAAUCAUACCACGUCCCAUCUGCAUACCAAUCAAAAUCACAAAAUUAAUGCUGUUAACUAUGUAUGGCUGCUGCUCAAACAAGGAAGGACGGGAAGAGAGAGGGAGAGAGAGAGAGAGAGAGAGAGAGAGGGAUUUUAUAAUAAGUAAUUAGAACAAUUAUUUUAAUUUAAACAAAACUAUUCAAUCAAAAUUUUCCUCAGAUUGUACAUAAAUAUUGAAACUUUUUCUCUCUCUUUCUAUGUAUAUAUUUAUAUUUACAUAAAGCUGAGCUGAAAUAUUUUUAAAAAUAUUAAGAUAUAUCUCGAUGCAUGUAAUUAAUAUUGCGGGGUUUAUUUAUCAUUGUGCAUAAUUCAAAAUUUGCUAGCAUUAAUCUAAUAGUCAAAAAAUUAUAGCACCCACGUCCCGGUGCUUAAUUAUAAAAGCACUACUCCAGCUACCGUUUAUAAAAUAGAAUUAAUGGAUUACGUACAUAUCAUAUAUAUCUUAUGUAAUAUAUCUAUUAAAAAAAAAAGAAAAGACUUAAUUAGAGGGAAAGAAAUUAAGGAACAAAAAGAGUAGGUAAUUGAUCGUGACGUACGCACCGUUGGGGCCUGCGGCGAUAAUGAACAUCCCGGGGUUCAUCCAUGCAAGUAGAAGUAAUUUCUGGAGCAGGAGAGCUGCAACAGCGGGCGCUCUCAUGUUCGUCAACAGGCCAGGGCAAACAGCGAUCGAGCUAGCUUAUUAGAAGAAAUCUUCAAGUUAAUUCGACGUACUCGAGAAGAGAUGGAUCUAGUUUUUUACACGAUCGAUACUCGAGGAGGGCGGAGUAGCUAGCCGUGUACUUAUUUAUUUAGAUAGAUAGAUACAUAGAUAGAUAGAUAGAUACAUACAUACAUGGUCAGUGUGCUGUUUUAAUUUAUAUAAUAAUAAUAACCCGUUAGGCGCGGCCCGUGGGUUGGGUCACAUGCGGAGCAGUACCCACUCCCUGAUUCUUUUUUCAGUCUUCCUCUUGUCCGAUGCGUCGUCGGAACCAUUCAUGCAUGCAGCUCUCUGGAAUGUGCUGGGGUCCUGCGACAUCAUUUUCUUCAAAAUAUACGCAUGCAUAGUGGCAUUCGCACGUGGCAAGCACUAUUGGCGUGCAACAAGGUGUGCUUUUUCGUUGCUUCGCGAGAUAGUGGCAGGGCCGGCCCCAUCGAUCUAGAGUAGGUAGCCGUUCGCCGGUGAUACAUGCGCGCGAAUUUAAGAUUAAUAAUAAUAUAUAUCUAUAUUUGGAUGCACGUUCUUUCUUUUUUUUUUCUUUUUUUUCUUUUUUUUUUUUUCCUUGGCCUCAUUUUCGCACGAGUCAAGGAUUGGGUGAAUCCAAAGAGUGGCAAUUCAUAAUGAAACUAAAAAUUUGUUAAAAAAAAAAAAAAGAAAAAAAGAUAGUACGCCUUUUGUUUCGCUUACUUUUUACAAAUAAUUAAGCUGAAUUUAUUUUUUUUAAAAAAAAAUUAAACAAAACUGUUCCACUUUAAGCGGUGUCUUCAUUUAUUUAGAUUUUUGUUACUUUCUGGCAAUUCAAUUGUCAAUUUGAUGGGACUGGUUUAUAUUGUAAAUAAUAAUGACGAAUGUAAAGAGUAUUUAAUAACUAAAUUAGAACAUAGUUUAUGAUUAAAAAAAUUUAUUUGUGUCUCUUUUGACUUAUGAGCCUAACUCUCGUUACCUUUGCUUCUUUUUUUUUCUUUUUUUUUUUGUUAAAUUAUGCAGAAUAAUUAUUAUUCUCUAAAAAAACUUAAAUUGCUAAAAAUAAACCUUUAAUAUUUUAUAUUCGGUAAUUUUGAUUUGCUGUUAUUUUAUUUUUAAGACUCGCGCGUUUUCUCUUUUUCGAAACAAUUUAUUUUCAAUAUAGAAUGCACACAAAAUGUGCCCCCUCUUAAUAUUUUUUUCCUCUCUUUUUCUCUUACUUGUUGUGGACGAGUCUAGGACGUCUAACUGGGGCGAAUAAAACUGUAUUAUAUAUGGCUAAGCGGGACCUACGUACCUCUUGAAUACAUGCUGUAGCUAAUCAAGCAUAUUUCUUCUUAGCAAGUGAGUGGGGUCCUUAAUUUCUUUAAUUAAUUUGAUGUUAAUGAUUNNNNNNNNNNNNNNNNNNNNNNNNNUUGUAUUAUUUUAAAAUAAAAUUUAGUAAAAAGUUUAUUUUUUGCAAAUAGUAAAAUUUUUUUACAAAUAGCUUUACAAAAUCACUUUUGAAAAAUUGCUUUCCAUUUAAAUUAACGCUUUACAUCUAUCAACCAGAAUCAAUUAUCCAAAAUAAAAUUAAUUCUACAGGUAUAAUUUUCGCAGCAACUAGUGUAAAACUGGCCCUAAUAUCUAAAUGACUUUCUUAUGUAUUUUUUUGUGUCAAUUUAUUUUCUCUACAUUGAUAUAUUCUUCAAUAUCUCUUUAUUAUUAGAUUUUUUUUACUUUAAUAAAAGGCCAAUUUGCAUUACAAAAUCUAUUAGUUUUGAGAUUUUGCAAAAGAAGUCACUAUUUUAGAUUUUGAAAAUUCUAUCCAAAUUUUAGUAAGCUAAUCAAAAUACCAUUAUUCUUUCUUUGUCUCUCCAUUUUUUACGCUUGUUCAUUUUCUCCUUCCGCUCUGAUUUCAUCUCCGUUCUCGUCGUUUCUUCUUCUCCUUCUCCUUCUGUUUUCUCUCCCUUCUCCUCCUUCUCCACUGCUCCUUCUUCAAUGUUGUACUCUCUUCAUUUUUUUUUUUUGCUCAUUUGUUUCUCUUUCUCUUUAGUUCACCUCCUUCUUUGUCUUUUCCUCCUCUCAUUCUCCUCUAGCUUCCUCUCCAUUCUCUUCUUUUCCUCCUCCUCCUCCUCAUCCACCGCCUUUACAUUGACGCCAUGUUCUGCUUUCUUAUCUCGCCCACAUUUGUGCUGACGCCGCUUGGAUAUGGUAGCAUCAUUUAAAACAUUUAAAACUAAAUCUCAAACGGUGUAAUUUAGUUUCAAAUAUUUUUAAAUAGUAUAGUUUAGUCUAAAAUGUAUAAUUUCUAUUUUAUAUGGUGCAAUUGGUUUUAAAUAGUUUUAAAUGAUACAAUUUUCAUUCAAAAACUAUAAUUUUCAUCUUAAAUAGUGUAGCAUUCGUUUAAAGAGUACAAUUUUCGUCUCAAACAGUGCAACUUUCGCUUAAAUAGUGCAGGAUUUUUUUUCACACGGUGUUAUUUUCUGUUCAAACAGUACAAUUUUCGUUUAAGAAAGCAAUUUUUGCUCAAAGAGCAUAAUUUUUGCUCAUACAGUGUAACUUUUUGCUCAAAGAGUGCAACUUUCACUUAACUUUCAUCUCAAAAAUAUAAUUUUUGUCUGAAUGAGUGUAAUUUUUGUCUUAAACAGUGUAACUUUUGUCUUAAACAGUACAGCUUUUAUCCUAAAUAGUACAAUUUCAUUUUUUUUUCUUUCUUUCUCUAAUUCUUGACCUUUUCUAUUGUAGCAAUAAUAUAUAAUGGCAUUCGUAAGAGAAAAAAAGUAAUUUUCUUUAUUUUUUUCUUCUUUUUUCUACUUUUUCUUUUCCACCCUCUACAUAUUUUUCCACUAUCACGCCCUCUCUCGCACUUCGUCGUAGCCAUCGCCCCCACCCACUCCCUGUCGUUCUUAAAUCUUUUGCACGGCCAAGUGCUCCGCCACAAGCCCAUCUUCGCAAUCUAUACCAUAUCUAAGCUGGCAUUGACAAUAGUGCGGGCAAGAUAAGAGAGUAGAACAUGGCGUUGAUGUAAAGACGGUGGAGGAGGAGGAGGAGGAGGAAGGGGAGAAAGAGAUAGGAGAGAAAGCAAGAGGAGGAGGAGAGGAAGAAAAGAUAAGGAAGGAGGUGAACUAGAGUGGAAGGUGUUAAGUCUUGUGUAUUGGCAAGUUUCGUGAAGUGUGUCGGAGUCUUGAAGAAUCGGUGCAUAUCGUUGAAGAUCGAAGAAUUCAAGAUUUCGAAGAAGUUGGAAAAUAACUCACGAUAUGAAUCACGAUGUCCAGGUAAAGUAUAAAUUCAUAUUAUGGUGAUUCAUACUUAGUUGUAGACAUUAGAAUCAUAAUAUCUUUGUCUAACGGAUUAGAAAGUGCAUCGGAACUUUGCAAAACCCGAAACGGCGAAAAUUUGCAAAGUGUACCGGUACAGCAUCAGAAGUGUACCGGUACAAAAUGUGUACCGGUACGACCAUCAAGGGUGUAACCGGUUCCACUGUUUCGUCAGGUUUUUCGUUCCGUCAUUGUGUAACCGGUGACAGCCUAAAGUGUACCGGUACACAAUGUAAAAUCGUGAAAUCUUUCUAAUCCGACUCCAAUUAAUUCUAAAGUCUAUAAAUAAGCUAUUGGGCUUCUCUAACAGAUCAAGCAUCAUAAGAAUACAUGUUUGAGAAACCCUAGAGGCUCGGAUUUUGUGUUAUAACCUAUUUCUACAAAUUAGCCUCUUUAGAUCAAAAUCGAGAUAUCGGUUUGCAUUUCCUAUUUGUCGAUUUGAUCUCCGCUUCGCCUUGAGUUUACUUCUUGGUUUUCUACGAUUAUCCUAGGAAGGAUCACCAUAUAUGUAUGCUCUUCGAUAAUGAACGGCGUGUGGAUUCGGUCUAAUCAAAGGCGGGUUCGUGGAUUCGAUCGUUGGCUCGUGAUUCGAGUGGACGUCGAGGAUUCGGCUUAGUGAUUGGAGCUUCGUUGGAUUCGAAAGUCGAGGCGUUCGGUGGAUUGGACGGGAAGGGUGUGGACAACUCAGGGGAUUGCGCGAGAUCAUAGGAGGUCAAGAGAGGUUGAGUCGUGGACGUCGUAAAUCCUUGUAAUACUUUUUCUCUAGGGAUUGUUUUUUCCGCGUAUUGAUCGUGGUUUCUUUCUCCAAAUUGGCGUUUGUCCACUUAAAAUCUCGUAGAGUGUUUUUAUUUGCAUUUAUUUUUUACGCAUCGAGAUUUGUGGUUCUCUGGCAUCUACACUAUUCACCCGCCCCUCUAGGUGAUAGUAAAUUAGAUAAUCCUUGGGUCCUCAAACUUUAAAUUCGGUAUCAGGAGGAUCUAGUAUAUGUUAUUAGAUGGCGAGGUGUAACAUAAUCGACUCCGGCUUUCGCGGCACGAAUUAUGUUAUUGAAUUCGUAUGAGAGCUUUUGGUAAUUGCUAUCGUGAUGCGGGUUGGCAAAUGAUUUGUGGUGAAACAUCGAUAGAAAAGGUCGAGUCAAUGUUUGAAAAGCCAAAACACGGAACAAAAUGGAGAAUAAGAUAGAAACGAGUAUCUUGUUUAACGGCAAGGGCAUAACUCUUUAUUAAUGCAUUGUCCUCAAACGGAAGUUUACUCGUGUUUCGAGAUGCGAAAACGGCGAAAAGAAUUUGGGGAUACUCUACAAGUACGCAUGAAGACAGUCUUAGUGAAAGUCCAAAAUUGCAAAUGCGUACUAGCAAGUUCGAUUCAAUUUCGAGGAUGAAAAUGAGACCUUUACGAGUUACUAUAGGUCUACAAGAGUGGUCAAUACAUGCGUACUUUGGGAGAGAAAGAUUGCCGGAUGUAAAAAUUAGUUAGAAAAUUCUUCGAACUCUUCCGGAACGUUUUCGGGCCCAAGGUCGCGCCAAUAGGGAACGGUCAGUACAUCGGACGAGUGAAAGUAAGAAGAAUAGUAGUGAGCUUUGCAAACGUAUGAAAUGACGUUCAUACUAAUCAAUCUUCUUCCAAGUCUCUCUCUAAAAGCACAGGGGUUGCGUUAAAAUCUACAAAGGAGAAGGACGAAGACUCGAAUUCCGACGACGAUUUAUCUCUUGCCAAUUUCGAACAUCAAUUAGCACUCCUCACGAAGAAAUUUCGCCGGAAUUUUCGAAAGAAGAAUAGAUCGGACAAGGCCUCAUCGUCUAAAUCUUCAUCGUAUGCAUCUAAGGAGAAGAAGCGUGCAAAGGCUUCGAAAGAAAAGGAUGUCUUUGAAGGCGAGAUCCAAUGCUUCAAGUGCAAAGGCUACGACCACAUUGCGACGGAUUGUCCUUCAAAGAAGACGUAUAAACAAAAACUAUGCAAGCAAAGACGUGGGAUGAUUCAACAUCAAGUGAUUCAUCGUCAAGUGACGAAGAGAAGAAUGAUCAAAUUGCCUUAUUUGCUAAUACACCUUCGUCGAAUGUUGUGUGUUUAUCCUCUAUCGCUACUAAUUCUAAUGUUUCUUUUUCCUCGCAUGAUUCAUCGAGCGACAACGGGGAAAGCGGGGAGGAUUCGAACGACGAGGAUAUAGCGGAAGCUUACAACCUACUUCUUAUUGAAUCAAAGAAGAUGGCUAAAUUAAAUAAGAAGUUGAGGCGUCGUAUGUUGAAUCUUGAAGAGGAUAACAACAACUUGAAAACCACGAACAAAGCUCUCGAGGAGGAAAGGGAAUCAAUUUUGAAAACGAAUUCGGACCUCCUCGGGAAGCUUAAUGAAGCGGAAUCAACGAUCAAAUCAUAUAAUGACAAGAUUGGAUUUUUGGAGCAUCAAUUUCAUGAAUCGCACAAGUCCAAUCAAGUCUUGACCAAUCAAGUUCGUCAACUCCAAUCCGAUCUUCAACGAUUUUCUUCCGGAUCAAAGAAAUUGGACCAUAUGCUCGGAUUGGGACAAACGAACAAGCUUGGACUCGGAUAUGAACGGACAUACAUUGAGAAGGAUUCUAAAUUAAUUUCGAAAGUGUCAACAAAUGUGAAAGACAAGUCGUGUCAUCAAUGCGGUGUCAAAGGACACAUCAAAAGGAAUUGCCCAAAUAAGGAAAAGAAGAAACAAUUGGGAAUGUCUACACAUCGAUCGACACUUUCAAAACCUCAAUCGACAUCGUCUACAAUUCGACAUCCCCCACGGAAUCAAAAGCAAAAUCAAGUGCAUAAACUUCAACGCCAAGCUUAACCAAAGCCUCAACCGAAGAAACCACCAACGGUUGAUCGAAAGUCUAAACAAACGGCAUCUAACGUCAACAAGCCGAGAAAACCAAAGAUCCGACAAGUUUGGAUCCGGAAAGGUGAUAUCUUUCCUUGCUUCUCGUCUUAGCUGUUUUUGAUUUCUUGUGUAGUGCUUGGAUGGGUGCUUAUUGCAUAUUUUUAUUCAUUGCAUUACAUGUUUACAUGAAUUUUGGUGCUUUGAAUUUUGUUUGAUUAAAAAUCUUUUUGAGGAAAGGUGUUUAGGAAUUCAAAUUUUUGAGAAAGGAGAUGAUUGAGAAUCUUUAUUGUGAGAAGAGAAAUUUCUUUAAUGUCGCGUAAACGGUAUUAACCUUCACAAUCAUAUUAAGUUAAAUUCAUAUUAAUUAUCGUCUUUACUCCACUAUUUAUUAUUCUGACGAUAAUUUAUUAUAUGAUUUCUUAUUGCAUAAAUUCAUCAAAAUUUUGAAAUCAAAUUUGAUUUUUUGGUGAUUAAUUCAUCUUAGUUGUGAGUGUUGGAUAUGAUGAAUGGAUAUUCUCUAAUAGACUAAAAUUUGUCAAAUUAUUUUCAAUUGUGAGAUUGCCUAAUUUAGGGGGAGUUUGAAAUUAUAAAUAAAAUAAAAAGGAGAAACUCCUAUGUUUAAAAGAUGUGGAAAGAGUUACAUCCAAAUGGAGUGUGAAAACUACCACCACAUGUAGGAAAGAGCUACCACCCCGGUCGUCCGGCAAGUGUGUGAAGCUACCACAUGAAGAUUAAAUUGAAAAAGCCGAAAAAGGUUGAAAAAAAAUAUAAAAAUAUUCUAGAGUUUUUCGGAGUAAUAAGGUGUUAGUUUGAAAAAGAUGCUCAAAGAGCCACCCCCGGUAUCAUUUUGGUUAAAUCUCUAUAUUGAACAUGUUANUGAAUUUCUAUAAAUCAUUUUUCAUCAACUUACAUCUUGAUGUUUUUAAAUUAUUAAAUCAUUUUUGAUAAUGAAAUUUUGAUGUUUUGAUGAAUUUUGAAAUUUUAUAAUAUAUUAUUUUCAUUAUAAUAAUUUUUGGAGUAAAAUCUUUAAUUUAUAUGAAAUUAAUUUAAUUUGAUGGAUUUUUAAAUUCAUAUUUUCGAAAUCUGGCAAAGUGUACCGGUACAAAAUCCUGUGUACCGGUACAAAUCACUGUAGCCGCGAGUACUACACGCAUCUACAAGACGUAGUCAAUACAUGCGCUAACUUGGGAGAGAAAGUCCCGGAUGCUAAAGUUGUUAGAAAGAUUCUUCGAACUCUUCCGGAACGCUUUCAGGUAAAGGUUGCCGCGAUCGAAACCGUAAAGCAUCCGGACGAGAUGAAAGUCGAAAAGUUAGUAGGUGCGUUGCAAACUUAUGAGAUGACUUUUCCUACUAACCAAUCUUCUUCCAAGUCUUCUUCUAAAAGUACAGGGGUUGCACUUAAAUCGACAAAGAAAGAAGACGACGAUUCGAAUUCCGAUGGAGAUGUUUCGCUUGCUAAUUUCGAAUAUCAAUUGGCGCUCUUAACGAAGAAAUUUUGCCAGAAUUUUCGAAAGAAGAUUAAAUCGGACAAAGCUUCAUCGCAACAACCUUUUUCUAAAUCAUCUUCAUUUUCUAAAAGAAGUGUGAAAACUACCACCACAUAUAGGUGGAAAUCUUCUUACAUCCUAAAAGAUGUGGAAAUCUUCUUACUCCUAUGCUUAAAAGAUGUGGAAAUAGUUACAUCCUAAAAGAAGUGUGAAAACUACCACCACAUAUAGGAAAGAGCUACCAGCCCGGUCGUCCAGUAAGUAUGUGAAGUUACCAUAUGGAAUUUAAUUGAAAAGCCGAAAAGGUUGAAAAAAAGUGAAUAUUUUAGAAUUUUCGGAGUUAUAAGGUGAUAGGUUGAAAAGAUGCUCAAAGAGCCACCCCUAGUGCCCUAUUAGUUAAAUCUCUAUUUUGAACGAGUUGCAACAAAUUGGUGUCAAUUUUGUUGAAUUUCUAAAAAUCAUUUUACAUCAAAUUACAUCUUGAUAGGUUUGAAACAUUAGGUUAUUUUUUAUUUCAAAUUUUGAUGUUUCGAUAUAUUUUGAAAUCCUAUAAUAGUUUCUUUUCAUCAUAAUGAUUUUUGGAGUAUAAUCUUUAAUUUUUAUGAAAUUAAUUUGAUUUUGAAGGAUUUUUGAUGAAAAAUUUUAAAAUUUUCGAAAUCUGUGAAAGUGUACCGGUACAAAAUAACGUGUACCAGUACAAAUCACUGUAUACCGUGUUUUAUAACCGGUUACAGGAUCUCGUUUCUCACCCAAAUCGAAACGAAAUUUCCUCCUUUCUCUCUCUAGAAAUCCCAGGUGGUCUUCUCCUUCAGAUCCACGUAUUUUCCCCUCAAGAUUUGUAAGUUUAUAGCUCGGAUUUAAUCAUUUGCUCGCGUUUUUGCUAUUUUUUUCGAAAUAUUCCGAGUUGAAGCAUGAUCUCUGUUCUUAAUUAUUUUUUAUACGAUUUUUUGCUGUGAAUCAGUGUUUAGACAUAUAAUCUUGCUUCUAGAACACUUAGAUCAGGUUAUAAUGCUAUAUUUUUUGCUGAUCUAUGAUUUGUACCUUAAUGUAUAUGAAAUUUCGAAAUUUCUUACUGAAUGCCACUUUUAUUGAUUAUUCUUGCAUAAAUCUGAUAGAAAUAGUGUUCUUAUGCAUUCUAAUGAUAUUAGAAAUUUUUUCACUAUUUUUACAGAUUUUUUCAAGAUUUUUUCAUGCAAGGUUCAUUUUCUAUGUAGGAAAAAUGGCAUUCUCAUUGGUUUUGCUACUUUUGGUGCUGAUGGCCACUGGACGUGGUCGGGGAGGUGGUAGAGGCCGUCGAGGGGCUUCCAAGAGGACUCGUACUGCAGGCGAGUCACCGGGUUCUGAUCCGGAUUAUCAGGCGAGCUCCCAGGAGGAGGCUGAAGAACCUAUUGCUCGUCCUGACAAGGGAAAAGGCCUAGCUGGUGAAUCAUCUCGCAGAUGUGGGUCUCGUGCAAGAGAGACUCGCUCAAAGCAAGCCGUGGAUGUUUCAUCUGAGCGGCGGAGGACUUUUUCAAGCAGAUCAUGCAUAGCAGAGCGAUAUGUUAACUUCUAUGAACUCAUCCAGGAGGUUCCAGAUUUUGGUCGCUUACUUUAGAGGGUCCCCAUUGAGCCCGUUGGACGGAUUCCUGCUCGUGCACCUUUUUGUGUGGAACUCAUUCGGGAGUUCUACAUGAAUGGGAAGAUGUGUGCUGAGGAUGCAGAGACCGGGACUUAUCUUCUUGAGACCUAUGUACGUGGGGAGAGGGUUCUAGUCACUCCUCACACGAUUGGAGAGUUGUUGGGCAUGCAUGUUGACACGACAGGACUUCAUCAUACUACUGGGAUUUAUAAGUCCUCGUCUCACUAGGAGACAGUUGUUCGUGCGAUCUGCAAGGACGGAGCGAGGACAAAUCAUGCUUAUGUAGAGUCGAAGGAUUUGAGACCUGAAUAUCAUCUUUUAUCCUUGGUGAUGUGCUACAAUGUUCAACCUACAAUUGGAACAAAAAGGAUUCGUUGGGAUCGUCUGGUGCUUCUAUAUCUUCUUGGACAUCCUGAGCAAGCGGACGGGUUAAACAUCAAUAUUCUCUUUCUGAUGUGGCAAAGAAUGGCACAUGUUAUACAGUCUCCAGUUCGACGUGAUCUAUUUCCGUUUCCGUUGUUGAUCACGAGGAUUUUGCAAGAACACAGAGUUGACGUGUCGUGUGAGAAGUACGACACUGGCCUUGGACCGAUCGAUACAGUAACUUGGGCCAAGUCGUUGAGCACCUUGAAGACAUUUCAGCAAAUAAAAGGAUCAUCCAAAGCGGCUUCCAGUUUCGCACCUCCACGUCAUGCAGAGCACGAGGGAUCUUCGAGCUUAGGGGGAGUGAUUACUGUAGAAUCACUUCAUCAUGAGGUGCGUUCAUUAAAGAAGAAGGUGGCAGAUCUUGCUAAAAAAGUGGAGAUGGGAAUAAAAAGGAUUAUGGAAAAACUGGGAUGUUGGCAUGACGAUAUAUUUCCUACUCAGCCUACCUACACCACUUAUACGAGAUCUACGUCGAGACAUCCACUCAUUCCACCAUCUAGUGGUGCUCCUGAGGCUGGGGGAUCUGGAGCUGGAGCAGGAGACAAUGACGAUGAUGAUGAUGAGGACACAUAGUGACUUCGUCCUCGAGAUCUGUUUUUCUACUUUGCUUUUUAGGACGAUCUUUAGUUUAGUUUUGCUUGUUGCUUUCUUUUGCUCUGUUUGCUUUUGCAUUAGGCCUGUAACUAUGACAUGACUAUUCUUAUGCUUUCUAGUAUGUUUUCUCUCUUUAUAUGCUUUGUCUUUUGCAAUUUUUGACAAAAAGGGGGAGAGCAAUGAUGAACAGGUAUGGGUCGUAGCAAAGGAGAAUAAAGAAUAAAGAACAAAGGGGGAGAAGGAAUGAAUGAAAUUAUGAGGAGAAGAAGGAAUGAAAUUUCGAGAACAAUGAUGAGGAAAAUGACUUCAAUGUGAGAAUGUCUAAUGUUUGUCGUUUUCUACAUUAUUUUGCGCAGAAAAUCAAGACUUCAAGACUCCUUGUUGCUUCUAAGUCAUAGAGUCUGUUUUAGGAGUUUUUGAUGUACUUUUGAGUUUCAAAUUGUAUUUGGACUACAUGUGAGGGGUUCGAUGUUUUGGUGAUGACAUUGAACUUCGUUUUUCUUUACGAUGUAAUUUUUGAGUUGUUGUGAGUUUUGUCAUGAAAUUGCCAAAGGGGGAUAUUGUUAAGUCUUGUGUGUUGGCAAGUUUCGUGAAGUGAGUCGGAGUCUUGAAGGAUCGGUGCGUAUCGUCGAAGAUCGAAGAAUCCAAGACUUCGAAGAAAUCGGAAAUUAACUCACUAUGUGAAUCACGAUGCCCAGGUAAGCUUUUAAUUCAUGUUAUGGUGAUUCAUACUUAGUUGUAGGCAUUAGAAUCAUAAUACCUAAGUUUACUGGAUUAGAAAGUGCGUUGGUACUUUGCAAAACCCGAAACCAUGCAAAAAAUAGGUUUUUGCAAAGUGUAUCGGUACAACAUCGGAAGUGUACCGAUACACAUUCUGUUUCGGUACAACCAGCGACUUGUCACCGGUUACAGCAUUAUGCAUGUUUUCUCUUCCGUCAUCGUGUAACCGGUAACAACUUAAAGUGUACCGGUACACAAUGUAAUUUUCGGAAAAACUUUCUAAUCCGAGUCCGAUUGAUUCUAAAGUCUAUAAAUAAGCUAUUGGGGUUCUCUAACAGAUUAAGCAUCACGAAAAUUCAUGUUUGAGAAACCCUAGAGGCUUGGAUUUCAUCUAAAACCUAUUUUCUACAUACUAGCCUCUUUUAGGUCAAAUCGAGAUAUUGGAAUUUCAUAUCUAUAUGUCGAUUUGAUCUUCGCUUCGCUUAGAGUUCUCUUCCUUGGUUUUCAUCGAUACUCUAAGCAAAGGAUCACCAUAGCAUGGUGUUUCUCAUGGAUGGCGUCGUGGAUUCGGCGUGAUUGACUGCGGUUUGUGGAUUCGGAUCGUGAGCUUCGUGGAUUCGGAGUGGAGGCGUUUCGUGGAUUCGGAACGUGGCGUUCGUGGAUUCGAACGUGAGGGCGUGGACAACCCGGAGGAUUGCACGAGAUUCGUAAGAGGUUAAGAGAGGUCGAGUCCGUGGAGUCGGUAAUCACCUUGUAAUCUUUUUUCUUAGUGAAUUAGUUUUUCGCGCGUUGGUCCCGUAGGUUUUUCUCCAAGUUGGAGUUUUUCCACGUAAAUCUCGGUGUGAUUUUACUUUCCACAUUUACUUUUAUUGCAUCGAGAUUUGUGAUUUUUUGGCCGUUACACCUAUUCAGCCCCCUCUAGGUGUUGGAUACAAUCUAAAUAGAUCAUUGGGCUCCUUUAAAACUUACACUUCGAAGACCACUGCUUGGGUGGAGCUACCACCGAUUAAGCAAACAGACGAAUGUGAGCAUGAUCCAAUCCUCUAGCCCGAGGAUACCCUACCAACUAGUGGUAAUCAAGCCAGGAACAACACCGAUCCCAAUCCUCACGUCCGAGUAAUCACAUUGUCUCUAGCUAAUGCCGCAAUGUCUCAAAUCUCUAUCUAAUGCCACAAUGUCGAGUUUUCCCACAUUUACAUGUCAAUUGCCACUUUCCUAUGCCACAUUGUUCAAGUUUGUUAUCAUGCCAAUAUAGAGCCCCUUGUCCACAUCCAAUCCUCAUCUCACAUAACCCUAUGUUCCAUCACACACACACACACACACACACACACAUAUAUAUAUAUAUAUAUCAAUCUCAUGAGAGCAAGUAAGGAAAGGAAUGAAUAACAACCUACUCUAUAAUGCAUGAAUGCUACAUGAACNUAUAUAUAUAUAUAUAUAUAUAUAUAUAUAUAUAUAUAUAUAUAUAUAUAUAUAUAUAUCAAUCUCAUGAGAGCAAGUAAGGAAAGGAAUGAAUAACAACCUACUCUAUAAUGCAUGAAUGCUGUAUGAACAAGAAUGGCCAAAGUAGCAACAAAGACAUAGAAAGAAACCUGGAUGUUCCGGAUAGCACCCCCCACCUCUAGCUGAUGCUGCGACGCUAGAAAUCCGAUUUCGCAAUUUUUGGAUGCAGCCUCGGCUUUCCAGGCGAAAACGAAGCCAAAACGGUCCUUUUCUCCAAUAUCUUCGCGUAGCCUUGUCGGAUUGCCGAACCGAGGCCACCAACACGUCAGAAUACCUAGCAAUAUAGGUUUACAAGAGAUCAAUUCCUACUUUAGAUCUCAUUCGUACAAAACCUCCUUUUUGAGCCCUAGAUCACCACUAUUGCAAGAAUCAUCGUAUAACCUCAUGAUUCAAGCAACAAUCAUGUAUUUAACAUCUAAGGUUUCAUUUAAAACCAAUUCUAGAGUUUACAAACCAAACCCUAGCUACUUGCCAUUAGAGUUCAAAGAUCUUACCUCAACAAGCUCUCCUCAAGCAAAAGAAGAAGAAGAAGAAGAUGAAGAUCCACUUCUGGGCCUCAUUCUCUACCAACUCCUCCUCCUGAAUCCACCCUAUGAGAGAGAGAGAGAGCUAUUUUAGAGAGAGAGAGAGAGAGGUCACUUGGGUUGCAAGUAUGAGAGAGAUGAGAGGAAAUGAGCCCUAACCUCUCAUAUACACUCAACUUAUGGCCAAAUUGCAUAAAACCCCUCAAACAACACAAGUUGUGCACUGCCCAACCUAGGCAGUUUCGGGCUACGGGGUCCGGACCCUGCAUAGGGUCCGAACCCCGUAAGCAUGUUUGCUGCAAAAUUUUCUCACCAGGCCCCCCUCAAUGCUUACCAAGGUCCUACAAUGUCACGCAUCGCAACCGCCAAUUUGGUCGGUACGGGCACGUCGAACAGACGCCGAACAGACAGCACCUUCCUUGUCCGCCCAAGGCUAAGCAUCAAUGAUCAUGUACAAGAGUUGCCCAGGAAAAACUCAAACAAUAUACAUGAUCUAGCAAGCAAUGAUACAAGCACCACAAGUGCUAAACAAGCGAGAGCAAGCCACAAGUAUACACACAAGUGAACAAAAGAGAGAAUUCUAUCUAUUACAUCAUAUUCAACCCUUUAGGUAAUUGAGUUACAUUUACUUCUUCCAAAAUACAAUAUAAGUUCAUCUCAUCAUAGUAUAAGUAGGAAUACAACUCUCCAAUAGCAUCUCACAACCUAUACAUCAUCUAACACUCAUAUACAUAGGGUGUAUCUAAUGCAAAAAGGGAAGUCGCUACUACUAGGGUGCUAUGCCCUUACUGCGAUCCUCGCCCGGAGCACUCGUACUCGGCCCUGCAACAAAGUGGGGUGAGAACUAUUGUCCAUAGUUCCCAGUGGGUUCAGCCGCCGACUCUGCCGAUCUCCCGACUAAGUCUAAGCAGGUAUAAGCAGAUAGAUAGAUAGAUAGAUAUGAAAGUAACUCUGACAUAGUAAGAAAAUAGUCAAAUAUACUACUAUGUCUCAAUCAAGUAUAAUGAAUGCAUGCACUACAAGUCAGAAGUCAGCUAUCAUGCUAUUAUGUUCAAUAACUAUGCCCUUCAUUUGUUCACCCAAUCACUUGGCUAACUCGAAGGUUCGCUUUCGACUCACUAUGCAAUCUCGUAAGGUAAGGAGACGCACCUCACUCGCAAAUCCGAGACCGUCUGCGGGACAUCAACUCUGCCCCUCGUGUGACAACUCUGGAGUGCACGGCUUGUGUGGAGCGACCACCCCAAGCUCAAAAUAGACUGUGAGUAUGAUCCAAUCCUCGCCACUUGAGGAUACCCUAUCCACUAGGGCUAACAAUAGGUCGGAAACUCAACUAUCCCUCUAUUCAUAAUCAAGUGUCUCAACUACACUAUGGUUUUCAUGCGAUAUGUCAUAGCUUGGGGAAAUCCACCUAUUCCCUAAGUUCACUAUGUCACAAGUGUCUUCUCUACACUAAGUUGUAUGCCACUCGUCAUGUUGUCAUUUAUUGUUUACAUGCCACUCGUUAUGUCACUACAUAACCCUUGAGUUCUUCUCUUAUCUCGGCAUCAUAGGAUUCAAUGUCAAGACCCAAUCCUUACCUAUCCACUAUGUUAAGUAUUCAACUCACACUAUGAUAUCGACUAGGAAAGCAUAAGGAAAGGAAAUGCACAAUUAACAUCCUACAAUGUAUGCUAUAUAAGAGAUGCAAGGUUUACAAUGCACUAAGACAUAGGGAAGAGCUCGGUUGCUUCGGGAUGACACCCCCCACCUUUUGGUGAUGUUACGAGAUUUUAGGACAUUGCCUCGGCCUUCUAGGCAGAAACAAAGCUCGAACAAUUCUCUUUGCCAAUAUCUUUGCACAGGCUCGACGGAUUGCCGAACCGUUUCGCCAAUGCGUCGGAAAAUCUAGCAAUUAGGUUUACGCAUGCUCAAUUUAGAUAAAACCCUAUUGUUUACAAAAACCCUAUUUGGAACCCUACAAUUGCAACUAUUGUAAAAUACUCUUGAUCUCAUGAUCCAAGUAUUAAUUGUCUAUUAAGCAUGCUAGAGUUCCAUUUAAUCCAUUUCUAGAGCAUAUGAAGCUAACCCUAGAGAUCUACCAUGAAUGGACCUCAAGCUUGCCUCCAAAAGCUUGCUCCUAGCCAAGGAAGAAGGUGAAGAAGAAGAAGAAGAUCCUUCUCUUUGCUUCAAUCUCCACCAAUCCCUCUCCUCCUUCCACCUUUAAGAGAGAGAGAAUAAGAGUUUAGAGAGAGAGAGAGAGAGAGAGAGAGAGAGAUCUAUUCCUAGGUUGCAAAUAGUGAGGAGAGGGAAAAGAUAUGCCCUAACACAUACUAUACACCCUUACUUACUCACAAUUGCAAGAAACCCCCUCAACUAUGCAAGUUAUGCACAGCCCAAACGGGGCAUUCUUCGGGUACGGGGACCGGUCCCUCUAGGGGGGGGGGACCCGACCCCGAGAGCAAAAUUUCGCGCAGAGCAGCAGUCUGCCUUUUUCCACGCGUACGGGGUCUGGUCUCUCUCUAGAGGGACCGGUCCCCGAGAGCACAAAAUUCUGCAAAUGUGCAUAUUUGCACUAUCUUGCUCUCCAAGGCCUUCUACAAUGCACUAAAGUCGUUUUCGACACCUUCGGCCUUUCCGAAGCAUCCCAAACUCAACUUCGAUCAAUUUCGAUCGAGGUUCGAAUUUACGUUUCGGGGUUUUCAUAUCCUUACAUAAAACCCCUUAGAAACCAUUUUAACGCGUUCGGAUUUUUCCGAAUCGCCCCGAAGCGAACCACUUCGCACUUUGGUCAAUCCCAACCGAAGUUCGGAUUCGCACGUACUGAGGAUCCAACAACUUACAGGAAGUUUCGAAAUCGUGAAAUUCCGUAUGUAAAGGUGCUCUGGAGCAACCACGACGAGUGCGAAGCUACUUGGGAGUCGGAAAGUGCACUUCAGGAGUGUUAUGCCUAUCUUUUUCAGAUGGAUUCGUAAGGUACUUGAUUCUUAAUUUCGCAGACAAAAAUUCUUUUUAGGAUGGGAGAAUGUAGUACAUUGAAUUUUAGCAAAUUGCAAGUUUAUAGUGUGGGAAUAGUAUUUUGUACUAAUCUGAAUGUUUUGGGGGUGGUAGGUGGAGUGUCGACCUAUUUUUGGGUUGUAUUAGGCAUGAGAAAGGGUUCCCGACUUAAAAAUCUGCAAACUGCAGAUUUUUAGUGCUAAGUACCGGUACCAAAGUGGGGUACCAGAACCCUAUAAAGUGCCAAAAAGAGUAGCUCUCGGGUUUUGAGGAAUCGGGUUGCGAGCACCAAUAUUGGGCCGAGUACCGGUACUGCAUCAGGCUGGUACCGGUACGCAGUGUUAAACCCGAAUUUCCAACGUACGGGUUCUACAGGACUGGGCUUUUGGUACCAGAACUGUAAGGUACCGAUACUCCAAUUCGAGUACUGGUACUGAAUACUGCAGAGUGUAUUUAGUGCAGUUUGUAAUUUGUGAGUUUUUGAGGGGUUUUGUUGGGAUUGUUACAUUAGUGUAUAACCCCAACACUCCUUAUUUGUGGUCUCUUUUGUUCUGGGACCUGAGAGAAGGUUGGUAAGCUUCUCUCUUUCUUUCUCUUGAUUUCUUCUCCAAAUUCUUGUGGAUUUGAAGAAUUGAUCUUAUUUUCUUCUUCUUUUCCUUGGAGGCUUGCUAUUUGGACCUUAAGGAAGGCUUGGUUGUGAGGAAUGGAGCUUGUUUGAGGAUUAAGCUCCAACCCUAGCUUUGCCUAGCUUGGUUUGGAGCUUCUAUUAACGUUAGUACCUUUCUUGUUACCUCUAUUGGUGGAUUUUAUGAGAAUUUGUGGACUUAAGCUUAGUUUUGGAAAAGUAGGGUUUAAAUUGGGGAUUUCUUGUCGUGAGGCUUUUGGAACCUAAUUGAUGGUUGUAAAAUUCUCUUUUAGAUAGGAAUUGAAGCUUCCUAGCCUUGAUUGGAGUGUUGGACAAGUUUCUCUUGAUCCAAGAUAUUUUCUACCUUUUUUUGAUGUGAUUUUUGAUGAAUUUCGUCGGGAGUUUGAAGCUUCUAACUCUCUUAGAAUUUUUGUUAAGGUGCUAGGAGACUAGAGGACAACUUCGUUCGAGGAAACAAAGAGGUUCGAAGCAUAUCCGGUAGGUUUGACCUCACCGAAAUAGAUGAACCCCCCUAUGUCUUCCACAAUGUUUUAAAAUUGGAAUUCAUGCAUAUUUGUGUUAAUACAUCAUAAUGGGAUUUUUGAAUGCAUAAGACAUACAUGUUAUAUGUAGAAAUUUAUUAUACUCUACAUUGUAGAGAUAUGUGAUAUGGAUUUGCAUUCUAAAUUGUGUAUAAUAGUAUUUGCCCUUUAUGCAAUAAUAGAAAGUAUGUUAUAGAUGAACAAAGGAUAUGUUUCUUGGACUUUAUAUGCUUAGGGAAUCAACUUACAUGUUCUUAAUAUACUUGUUGUAGACAAUGUAAAGAUGACAUAUUGUAUGGUAAUAGCAAAGUAUGAACUCAACUUUGUGUACUUGACUUAGUUGAAUAACUAUAGUUUCACAUUGUGUACUUGACUUAGUUGAAUAACUAUAGUUUCACAUUGUGUACUUGACUUAGUUGAAUAACUAUAGUUUCACAUUGUGACAAGUACUCGACCUCUAGGUCGAUAGUCAACAUUCCAUGUUUUAGACAUGAUGUCCGAGAACUCUAUGUUGUUGAUCACGCUUGCUUGCCAUUGUGCUCAUUCGUAUAAGCUUAUGAGGGUCGCUCCCAACAAGCCGGCACUCUGGAGUUGGCCUACGCGACAUCAUACUCGUCCGUGCGGGAUUGGGCGCCGAAGUGGAUUGCCGUGGGCAAGGUUCAUUCCUAGAGGAGGAAUGCUUACUAUUAUGGGGCCAUUAGGCACGGCACGAGUCAGGACUACACCUUGUGUAGGUCCUCAUUAAUUGGGUAAUGAUAAUUAAUCAUAAUAAUUGGAUAUCACUACUAGAUAGUGCAUGACAUUUGGAUCUGACAUUAGCUAUUUACAUGCUCAUUCAUAUGAUAUAGAGUAGUGUUCUUACAUGUUAUAUAACAUAGUAAAUUGAAGGCAUAGUAGUAUUAACAAUUUAAUUCUUGCUUAAUAUUCAUGCAACAUCAUUAGUCAUUAUGUUUUCUAUUUAUGUCUCAGCUUACCUAGUGGUGCAAUUCAUUUUUCUCGACGGCUUACCCACUGGAAACUAUUGAUUAAUAGUUCUCAUUCUCAUGCUUUUGCUUUUUUUGUUUUCAGAGCCAUCUACUGCGGAAGAGGCUAUGGAUUGCCGCAAGAGAGUUGCGUCUAGCUAGAUCUAGCCGGGAGAUAUCUGUAAUAUACUGAACUUCUACGAUUAUGAAGUUUUGGAGGUGUCACGCCCCGGGACCGGCAGAGGCCCUCCCGGUAGCGUGCCCAGAUCCGCCAUAUAUCAACACAUAUAAGGCGUCUAAACAACAGCGAAAAAUAAAACUAAAGAUAAACUACAUCUAGAGAUAUCAGAGCACAGAUAGAUAUAUCAUCUACAACAAGGUAAAAGAAAAAAUACUAAAACAAUAAGAGUGAAACAUAUAGUUAUACAAUAUCUGCCCAAAAUAGUACAUAAAAGGGUGGUCUCUAAUACACUGGUACAGCUCUCAACCUCUCCAAAAUAAAUAUAUCGAGAGGUAGACCACCUAUCAACUCGUCCCUCGCUGAAGAGCUAGCUCGAAGGAACGCCCUUCCCACGGUCCCUAGCCUCUCCCGGCGUGGAAGACUCUAAAAGAAAACAUAAAACAGAGGGCGUGAGAACUAUAAUUUAUAGUUUCUAGUGGGCAAUUACUGACCUUAGCUCAAUGCACCACUAGGCCCCAAAGAAAGGGUAAAUCUAAAAAGAGAGCAAUAAUAAUGAUUAAAUUGCAUUAUGAAAGUAUAAUUAAAAUGCUAGGAUACUACAUUGUGUCAAAUUAAGAUGCACAUUUAUAUCAUUAUGAACAAGCAUGUCCCUACAUGACCACAAGUAACAAUCAUGAUUUGCUUUAUGAAAUUAUGAAGAUUAUGCUUUACUAAGGUAAACAAUGUUUACGUGAAUGCAAUAAGCAACCUCUCCUAGCAUGCUACAGGUACGUAUGUAUACUCAAGUGUCCAACACUAUACUAGAAGCAAAUCCAAGUAAUCCAACUACUACUCUCUAUCUAGUAGUGAUUAAGACCCAUUCAACACCGUGUUGAUUUCCAUUUCCAAUUAAGAACCUAUCCAAGGUAGUCCAGCUUGUGCCGCCUAAGUGCCUGUGGUAGCCCAAUAUCCCAGCUUUGGAAUGUGUCUAUCCCACUCGACCCUGUAGGCUUCUCAAUACCGCACGAGCGAACAUAGGUCGCUAGGCUAACUCCGGAGUGCCGGCUUGUAGGGAGCGACCCUCACAAGCAUGUGCGAAUGAGCACAAAUGGCAAGCAAGCGUAGUCAACGUCUCAAAUACCCAAUCAUCAUGUCUCUAACAUGGCAAAAGUCACUAGCAUCUCAAAGAUCUAAUUCAAUGUCUCUAAGUGAUGUUCCAGCACUCACUAUGCUUAGUGCUUAUUUAUGACACUUAAGCUUGUUAUAAGUUAACACAUUUCAUUCUAUGUUCCAUUCAUGACAUUAGUGCUAGGUUCUCAUUUAAGACAUUAAUACCGAUGUUCACUAUGGCCCGAGCCCAAUGCCUCUUUAUGACAUUAACUCAAAUUCUCAAAUAGUCUAAGUCCCUAUGCCUCGCUAGGCUUCCAAAGCCCCUAAUGUCACAACUAGGUAUAAAGGUUAAAUGCAUGAAAGCAAUGUUCAUUUUCAUGAUAGGAAUUAUGGUUCCAAAUCUCAACCAGAAUGCUAUGUCUCACAUGCAUGCACCCUACCACAUAGAGGUCCAAAAAUUUACUAUACAUUACACAUGCAUGUUAAGCAUUCUAAAAUUCAUAAUAAAUACAUUUAUCAUGGAUAUGCAUGAAUUUCUACUUUACGAAGCACAAAACACCGGAUAUGAGCAUUUCUCAUAUCAUAGGCUAGGCCAAACCCACCGAACGUCGCGCAACUCUUCGUUUGCUACAACGAGGGUGUCCACUAGCCUCCUAGUACCCUAGAGGUAUGAAAACAAAGGUUAAACAAACCUUACGAACAACUACAAAAUCAAACAUUAACCAUCUAAAGCUUAGGUGAGAAAAACUCACCUCUAAUGCAAAAUCUCUUCCUAAGCUCCAAAAGAGAGCUAGAACCUUUCCAAUCCAACCUAGUGGAAGGUUCUAAUCCAAAAAAUCAAGCUCCAAAAGCCCUAAAUCAAAAAUGCCCAAAAUAAAUCCUAAGUCUCCAUUCUAGGGUUUCAUCUCAAAUCCAACAAUAAAACUCAAAUCUAGGGGGAGAGAACAAGUAGAUUACCUCUUAGAAGCUUCAAUCCAAGCUCUAAACUCUCUAAGUCCAAAGAUUUUCCCUCAAUCAAGCCCCAAAUUCAAGCUCCAAGCUUCAAUCAUGGUGGAGUUGCACCAAAAGGAAAAAAAGAGAGAUUAAACCCUUAAUUCCAAGCUAAAAAUGAAAUCAAAACCAAAGAGAAGCAUGGAGGAGCUCCCCUUACCUUCUCCCUGCUAUGGCAAGCUCAAAGAGCAGCCCAAGGGGCGUGGGUGCUGUUAUAGAGAAGCCACAUUGCAAAAACACCCCUGCAGUUUCGUCCAUUCAGAAUCUGUCACUGCGUACCGGUACACGGGCCCGUGUACCGAUACACUUCCUACGAAAACGCCAGACCCGAGCCUCGGGUUGGCUGAGAAGCAGCCAAUGUUGAUGGCUGUACCGGUACAGCCAUCACCCCGUACCAGUACACAGCCCUCUGAAGGCUACCCGAGAGCCAACCAAAAAUUCAAUUUUUCGGGUUUUGUUGCUAGGCUUUAAACCUCAAUUCUCAAGGCUCGAACCACGGGUCGUAACACUGUCAACGACCCACCAGAAAGUCUGGAACACUCUCCAACUCCCAAGUGGCCUCGCAUUCCUCGUGGUUGCUCCAAAGCACCUUAACGUAGGGAAUGUCACGGUUCCGCAAUCUCUUUACUUCGCGAGCCAAAAUCUUUAAGGGUUGCUCCUCGAAGCUCAAAUCAUCCUUCAGCUCCAAAGGUGUGGCGUCCAACACGUGAGCCGGAUCAUGAACGUACUUUCGAAGGACCGAUACAUGAAAAAUAUUGUGUACACCCGAUAGGUUCGGGGGUAACGCAAGUCGAUACGCUAUCGGGCCUACACGCUCCAAAAUCUCAUACGGUCCAAUAUAUCGGGGGCUUAACUUACCCCAAAUUCCAAAUCUUCUAAUCCCUCUGGUCGGCGAGACUUUCAAGAAGACAUGAUCUCGAAUCUGAAACUCCAAGUCUCGUCGACGCUUAUCAGCGUAACUCUUUUGCCUACUCUGGGCUGUGAACAAACGCUCCAGAGCAAUGCGAACCCUGUCCUCUGCUUCCUGGAGCACAUCUGGGCCUAACGCCAGUCUCUCGCCAACUUCACUCCAAUGAAGUGGCGAUCUACACUUUCGUCCAUAGAGUGCCUCGAAAGGUGCCAUCUUGAUGCUUGCUUGAUAACUGUUGUUAUAAGCAAACUCCGCCAUCGGUAGAUGCUGCGACCAUCCUCCCUGGAAGUCAAUUACACAGGCUCGAAGCAUGCCCUCGAGAGUCUGUAUAGUACGCUCUGACUGCCCGUCACUCUGGGGGUGGAAAGCAGUGCUGAAAUCCAAGCGCGUACCCAAAGCAUCCUGUAGGCUCCGCCAAAAUCCAUCACAAAGUCCAUGGUGAUCUUCUUCUAUUUCCAUACCGGAAUUGGUAAACUCUGCGAAUUCCACGCGGGAACUCGGUACUCAGCUUUCACCUGUUGGCAAGUUAAACAUCUAGCAACAAACUCACCAACGUCCUUUUUCAUCCCGGGCCACCAGUAAAGCAACCUUAAGUCCUUAUACAUCUUGGUGCCCCCCGGAUGUAUAGCAUACGGUGCUCGGUGUGCCUCUUGAAGAAUUUCUUCUCUAAGUGCCGAUUCUGCCGGUACACAGAUCCGUCCGCAGAAACGUAUCAAUCCAACACCGUCCACAGAAAAGUCACCGGUGCAACCAUCAAUCAUCUUAGCUCGAAUCCUUUGCAACUCCAUAUCGGAGACUUGCUUUUCUUUAAUUCUUUCCACAAGAGUAGAUUGUACCACCAAGGUCAUCAGCCUCAAAGGUGUAUCAAGAGCCACCACAUCCAACUCCAACCGCUUCAUUUGCUCGAUCAACGGCGGUUGAGUAACCACAAGCAUCGCUAAGUUUUCAGUCGAUUUCCUACUUAGCGCAUCCGCCACCACGUUAGCCUUGCCCGGGUGGUAAAGUAUCGUCAAAUCAUAAUCCUUGAGUUAGCUCCAACCAUCUGCGCUGCCUCAAGUUCAACUCCUUCUGAGUGAAUAAAUACUUUAAACUCUUGUGAUCCUAUAUACUUUGCAUCGCUCCCCGUACAAGUAGUAGCGCCAUAGCUUCAAUGCAAAGACCACGGCCGCCAAUUCCAAGUUGUGAGUGGGAUAGUUCCUUUCAUAGUCCUUCAACUGGCGAGAUGCAUACGCGAUCACCUUCCCGUCCUGCAUCAAAACACAUCCCAAUCUACUAAAAGAAGCAUCACUAUAAACCACAUACCCUGCUCCAGCAACUGGUAGGGUCAGGAUCGGGGCGGUCGUCAAUCUUUGCUUCAACUCUUUGAAGCUCUUUUCACACGCAUCAUUCCAAAUGAACUUGGUGCCUUUAUGCGUGAGCCUCGUGAGGGGAGUGGAUAACCUCGCAAAUCCCUCAACAAACCGUCGGUAGUAGCCGGCCAAGCCAAGAAAACUCCGAAUCUCGGUCACACUCGUCGGCCUCGGCCAAUCCUUGAUAGCUUCAAUCUUUCUCGGGUCCAUGGCUAUGCCUGAUCCUGAAAUCAAAUGGCCCAAAAACGCUACCUCUCUAAGCCAAAAUUCACACUUUUUCAGCUUGGCAUAGAGCUUCCUUUCCCGAAGCACUUGAAGUACAAGCCUCAAAUGUUCCUCGUGAUCCACAUCACUCCAGGAAUAAACUAAGAUGUCAUCAAUGAAUACCACGACGAAUCUGUCUAGAUAAGGCUUAAACACACGGUUCAUAAGAUCCAUAAAAGCUGCCGAGGCAUUAGUAAGCCCAAACUGCAUAACAGUAAACUCAUAAUGUCCAUACCGUAUUCUAAAAGCCGUCUUUGACACAUCCUCAGGCUUGAUCUUCAACUGGUGGUCCCCCGACUGCAAGUCGAUCUUGGAGUACACACUCGAUCCCUGGAGCUCAUCAAAUAAAUCAUCAAUCCUCGGUAAUGGAUACUUAUUCUUGAUCGUGACUUUAUUGAGUUCACGAUAAUCCACGCACAAGCGAAGCGAUCCAUCCUUCUUCUUGACAAAUAGGACCGGUGCUCCCCAAGGUAACACACUCGGUUGCACAAAACCCUUAUCCAGAAGGUCCUGCAGCUGUGCCUUCAGCUCCUUCAACUCCGCCGGUGCCAUCCUAUAGGGCGCCUUUGAGAUUAGGGUAGUCCCGGGGAUGAGAUCUACCACAAACUCAAUCUCCCUAUCAGGUGGCAUGCCUGGAAGCUCUGCUGGAAAUACAUCUCCAAACUCCCGCACGACGGGGAUGUCCUCAAUCCUAGGGGCGUCUGCAUCGCCCCGCAACACGACAGUAGCCAAGUAGGCUACACAGCCUCUGCUGAUCAACUGUUUAGCUCGAGAGGAGCUAAUCGUCAUCGCAAACAGCGAACUCUAGCAUCCUCGGUACACAACCUCCGCCUGCCCCGGCUCUCUAAAUGUUAUAGUUCGAUUCUUGCAAUCGAUAGUGGCGUAGUACUUGGUCAACCAGUCCAUGUCCAAAACAACAUCAAACUCCCCGAGUUUAUUUAAAGCUAGCAAGUCCACAGGCAUGAUCCAAUUUCCAACCUGAACAGGGCAACUGGGGCAAAACUCUCGAAUAUCCAAAGAGUGAUCGGGUACAAUAACUCAUCUCGGAUGCAACAAAGAUGUCAGUGGGAUGCCAUGCAACUCGGCAAACAGCCGGUCUAUGAAUAAAUGCGAUGCACCGGUAUCAAACAAUGCUCGUACUCGAAUACCAUAAAGUAAAAUAAUACCUGCGACCACAUUCUCGGCUGCUGUCGCCUCCUCAGUCUGGGCCGCGUAUAUGCGCCCGCUCGGGGUCUGUCGUGACCCCUCUGCCUGCCGCGGCACUAGCGGCCGUCCGGCCUGAUGAUGCUCAGAAAGUGUCCCCUGGCUGGGACCCGGUAAUGCUGGUGCAGAUGCCGAAGAUGGCGCUGAUGCUGGACCCCUCGAGCAGUCCGACUGGAAGUGGCCCUCCUGGCCACACAGGUAGCACCUGCCCCGACUGCGUGAACACUGCCGUGGAAAAUGGGGACCACCGCAGAUCACGGAGCGCGGAGCCUGGCGUCGAUCAGGUCCUCAUUGCUGAGUAGACUGGCCACAUCCUUGCGACUGGCUCCGGUGUCUCGGGUGUUUCGGCGGCCUCCCUAAGUGCGCCUGACUCGCGCCCUCAGCUGUGGGCCUCUUGCCCUUGCCCUUAUCCAGGGCCUCUCACCGCUCCUGCAGAUCUGCUACUCCACUCUCCACUAUGAGUGCGCGGUUCACAACCUCUCGGUAGGUUUGGAGGUUGGAGGACUGAACAAACCGAAAGAUCGAAGGCCGCAGUCCCCGCUCGAAAAUGCAGGCCUUGUCCUCGUCGUCUCGACCAACAAAGGGCACGCAAUGAACAAGUCGGGAGAACUCUCUCUCAUACUUGGCCACCGUUCUGUCCCCCUAGCGCAGGUUACGCAGAUCCUGCUCCAUCUUCCUCUUGACACUGUUAGGGAAGUAAUGCUCUAGUAGGAGUUCCUUGAACCUCCUCCAAGAAAUCGUCGUCAGAUCCGUGCUGGGGUUGUCCUGGAUGUCCAACCACCAUCUGUAGGCCUCGCCGUCCAAAUGAUGUGUAGCGAGCCAAACUCUGUCCCUCUCCUCGACGAAGGUGUCACGAAACAGCUUCUCCAUAUGCAUAAGCCAUUUCUCCACUAUCCAGUGAUCCACGUUCUCCCCGUCAAAGGUCUGUGGACUGCAUCUCCUGAACUCACUGAGACGCUCCAUAAGCCGAUCUCGCUCAGCUCCCUCGACCAUCACGAGGAAAACCGCCCUCGCCACCGAUGCUCGCGCUGGUGGUACCGCGAUGUCCUCUCCCCGAGGUGCCGCCGCUGGUGCCGUCCUAGAAGCGUUGAGUGCAGGGGACGACACCCUGGGCGCAACCACCUCCACUGGUGCGGGUGGUGUAGGGAUCUGAGUCUCCCUGGCGGCCUGCUGCAGCAGAAAGUCCUCCAAGCGCUUCAUUCGCGCCUCCUGUCGAAGCGCCAUGUCCGCCUGUCGCGUCACCAAAUAAGUGAGGGCUGCCAGCUGGCCCCUCAGCUCACGGACCUCAUCGGAUCGGAGGUAGCGGAGGUCUCGGCCUCCUCAAAUUGUGUCGCAUUGUCCGCCCCCGCAGAUUGAGAGCACGUAAUCGGCAUUGUCAUUACAAAACAUCAAAGCGCAAGUUAGUAACCCGCGCUAUCGAAUCCCCGCUCAAGUAAGAAUACUCAAAUCAUGCGAAAGUAAGGAAGUGUUAUCUACAACUAACUCCCGAUGUUACGUUGUCGGCCGCCAACGUAACCCUUCGCGAAGUUAGAAGUCAUACAAUCCGAUCCAACUCGAACUUUUUAGAGUUGUCAUAAAACCCAAUCACAAUACUUUCGCUCACAAGUCAAAUAGAUCUCGUCUCUCAUGAGCAUAUUUCCUAUAGUCCAACCGGCCUAAGGUUUGCUAGGUCCACUAAGACUCAACCCUAGGCUCUGAUACCAAACUAAUCUGUCACGCCUCGGGACCGGCAGAGACCCUCCCGGUAGCGUGCCCAGACCAGCCAUAUGUCAACACAUAUAAGGCAUCUAAAACAACAGCGGAAAAUAAAACCAAAGAUAAACUACAUCUAGAGAUAUCAGAGCACAGAUAGAUAUAUCAUCUACAACAAGGUAAAAGGAAAAAUACUAAAACAAUAAGAGUGAAACAUAUAGUUAUACAAUAUCUGCCCAAAAAUAGUACACAAAAGGGUGGUCUCUAAUACACUGGUACAGCUCUCAACCUCUCCAAAAUAAAUACAGCGAGAGGUAGACCACCUAUCAACUCUUCCCUCGCUGAUGAGCUAGCUCGAAGUAACGCCCUUCCCACAGUCCCUAGCCUCUCCCGGCGUGGAAGGCUCUGAAAGAAAAAAUAAAACAGAGGGCGUGAGAACUAUAAUUUAUAGUCCCAGUGGGCAAUUACUGACCUCAGCUCAAUGCACCACUAGGCCCCAAAGAAAAGGUAAGUCUAAAAAGAGAGCAAUAAUAAUGAUUAAAUUGCAUUUAUGAAAGCAUAAUUAAAAUGCUAGGAUACUACAUUGUGUCAAAUUAAGAUAUACAUUUAUAUCAUUAUGAACAAGUAUGUACCUACAUGACCACAAGUAACAAUCAUGAUUUGCUUUAUGAAAUUAUGAAAAUCAUGCUUUACUAAGGUAAACAAUGUUUACGUGAAUGCAAUAAGCAACCUCUCCUAGCAUGCUACAGGUACGUAUGUAUACUCAAGUGUCCAACACUAUACUAGAAGCAAAUCCAAGUAAUCCAACUACUAUUCUCUAUCUAGUAGUGAUUAAGACCCAUUCAACACCGUGUCGAUUUCUAUUGCCAAUUAAGGACCUACCGAAGGUAGUCCAGCUUGUGCCGCGUAAGUGCCUGAGGUAGCCCAACAUCCCAGCUUUGGAAUGUGCCUGUCCCACUCGACCCCGUAGGCUUCUCAAUACCGCACGAGCGAACAUAAGUCGCAUAGGCUAACUCCGGAGUGCCGGCUUGUAGGGAGCGACCCUCACAAGCAUGUGCGAAUGAGCACAAAUGACAAGCAAGCGUAGUCAACGUCUCAAAUACCCAAUCAUCAUGUCUCUAACAUGGCAAAAGUCACUAGCAUCUCAAAGAUCUAAUUCAAUGUUUCUAAGUGAUGUUCCAACACUCACUAUGCUUAGUGCCUCUUUAUGACACUUAAGCAUGUAAUAAGUUAACACAUUUCAUUCUAUGUUCCAUCAUGACAUUAGUGUUAGGUUCUCAUUUAAGACAUUAAUACCGAUGUUCACUAUGGCCCGAGCCCAAUGCCUCUUUAUGACAUUGACCCAAAUUCUCAAAUAGUCUAAGUCCCCAAGUCUCUCUAGGUUUCCAAAGCCCCUAAUGUCACAACUAGGCAUAAAGGUUAAAUGCAUGAAAGCAAUGUUCAUUUUCAUGAUAGGAAUUAUGGUUCCAAAUCUCAACCAGAAUGCUAUGUCUCACAUGUAUGCAUCCUACCACAUAGAGGUCCAAAAAUUUACUAUACAUUACACAUGCAUGUUAAGCAUUCUAAAAUUUAUAAUAAAUACAUUUAUCAUGGAUAUGCAUGAAUUUCUACUUUACGAAGCACAAAACACCGGAUAUGAGCAUUUCUCAUAUCAUAGGCUAGGCCAAACCCACCGAACGUCGCGCAACUCUUCGUUUGCUACAACGAGGGUGUCCACUAGCCUCCUAGUACCCUAGAGGUAUGAAAACAAAGGUUAAACAAACCUUACGAACAACUACAAAAUCAAACAUUAACCAUCUAAAGCUUAGGUGAGAAAAACUCACCUCUAAUGCAAAAUCUCUUCCUAAGCUCCAAAAGAGAGCUAGAACCUUUCCAAUCCAACCUAGUGGAAGGUUCUAAUCCAAAAAAUCAAGCUCCAAAAGCCCUAGAUAAAAAAUGCCCAAAAUAAACCCUAAGUCUCCAUUCUAGGGUUUCAUCUCAAAUCCAACAAUAAAACUCAAAUCUAGGGGAAAGAACAUGAUGCUUACCUCUUAGAAGCUUCAAUCCAAGCUCUAAACUCUCUAAGUCCAAAGAUCUUCCCUCAAUCAAGCCCCAAAUUCAAGCUCCAAGCUUCAAUCAUGGUGGAGUUGCACCAAAAGGAAAAAAAGAGAGAUUAAACCCUUAAUUCCAAGCUAAAAAUGAAAUCAAAACCAAAGAGAAGCAUGGAGGAGCUCCCCUUACCUUCUCCCUGCUGUGGCAAGCUCAAAGAGCAGCCCAAGGGGCGUGGGUGCUGUUAUGGAGAAGCCACAUUGCAAAAACACCCCUGCAGUUUCGUCCAUUCAGAAUCUGUCACUGCGUACCGGUACACGGGCCCGCGUACCGGUACACUUCCUACGAAAAUGCCAAACCUGAGUCUAAGGUUGGCUGAGAACCAGCCAAUGCUGAUGGCUGUACUGGUACAGCCAUCACCCCGUACCAGUACACAACCCUCUGAAGGCUACCCGAGAGCCAACCAAAAAUCCGAUUUUUCGGGUUUUGGUGCUAGGCUUUAAACCUCAAUUCUCGGGGCUCGAACCACGGGUCGGAACACUGUCAACGACCCACCAAAAUGUCGGAAAAAACUCAGAACACAACCAAUCACUCGAACCUCGCAAUUUGCAAAAGUCUAGUGCGUUACAGGUGGAAACUAGAUUUGGGGUACCGGAACUGUCCGAGUACUGGUACGUUGUUCUGUAGAAUGUAGAUUGUGAAGGAUGUUUUAGUAAAAUUAAGUAUAAAUAAAAAUAGCAUGAGAUACUAUUUUUAUUGACGUAGAAAAAGUAGAAGAUAAUUUAGAGAUGAUUUGUGGUGAAAUUGGAAUAGAAACAGAAGAUUUAGAAUUUUCUGUAAGAAGCGGGGCUGAUCUUUUAACAGAAAAUUCACAGUGUCAGAAAAUUAUGAAAACUUGGGAAUAUGUCGAAAUUAUUUUUAUGAGGCUAGAUUUAAAGUUUCAUGUCAUUCUGACACCCGGAAAGUGGAAAAUAAAAUCUACCUGCUACCUGCUAGAGAUUUUAGUCAGUAGAACAUUCGGUGACCAAAAAUGGUCCAAACUGAAAGAUUAAGAUUUUGUUCUUCUUGUUAAGUUAAACCGAGCAUGACUGUCAAAUUUGAGCGCAGACGGACAUUCAGAAGGGCUCCGGCGAAAAGUAUCAGAUUCUGAACUGCUAAACUGAAAGUUGGAGUGUGUAUUUGAGGGUUAAUAUGUAAACCCUUUGCCAAUUCCUCAUUCGUGCACUCCAAUCCGAGAGAGAGAGGAGAGAAAGCAAGCCUUCUCUCUUUCUCUCUUUCUCUUUUUCUCUCUAAGCUCACAUCUCUCUCUUUCUAGCAAAUUUCUCCAUUAAAGAGGAGAGGUUGGAGAAGAUGAAGUUAGAGAUGAAGCUUGGUGGUGAAGCAAGCUCUCCAAUGGUGGAUUUAGCUUGGAAGCUUGGAGAACAAGGUGAGAUUUUGUGGAUUUAAGGUUAGGGUUUUGUGUAAAUCCUUUGAAAAUGAUAUAAAUGGAAACCCUAUAUGAUUCUAAGCUAGUUUAAUGAAGAGAUUAUCAUGAUUAAUGAGACUCUCUUGAUGAAAUGGAAACCUAGGGUUGAAAUUGGGAUUUUUGUCCCUAUGAGGUUUUGAAUUAAAUUGACCCUUUAAAUCUCUAAUUAAAGGUUAGAAGAGCACGCCCAACAACUUAUUUGGGAUGCGUAAUGACCUCGGUGAUCGAUCGAAGGAAACGAAUCAAUUUAUGAAGAUUUGAGUUCGUUAGCCUUAAAGCGCGACGAAUUGCCAUUGGGAGCCCGAUUGCAAGUGACUACAAGCAAUCAGAGAGCGUUACGAGGUGGGUUGUGCUUCACCGAAGUGAUUAGGUCACUUUCAAGUGAAAGUGAAGUAUGAAUGUGUUUGAAGUAUACAAUUUUUUUUAAAAAAAGGGUAAAGUAGUUCUAAUCAAAACUGAUUAAAUUCGGACUCAUACAAUCCAAUGGGUCUCAUGUUGACCGAGAAAUUUUGGGGCCAAUAAUUAUAAUUUAAAUUCACAAUAUGCCCAUUCAUUAAUGCGAGUUGGUGGGCAUCAUGAAAGUCCUUUAAAAUUUUAGACCUAUACAAUAAUUCGGGCCUCAUUCCAGCCCAUUAAAUAUUAUCAUUUGUGCCCAAAACUUUUUAUUGAAGUGGGCCUGAUCAACGACGGCCCAUAUCCACACCCUAUAAAAUAUCUGUUCGAAAUUCAAUUUCAAACCACAACCCAUUCAAAAUUCGAUUUCGUAUUUCGAAUCCCCAACCAAUUCCCAAAAUAUCCUCCAACCAUCCAACAACCUAUUCAAAAUUCGAUUUUGAAUUUCGAAUCCCCAACCAACUCCCAAAAUAUCUUCCAACUACCCAACAAUCGAUUCAAAAUUUGAUUUCAAAUUUCGAAUCCCCAACCAAUUCCCAAAAUAUCCUCCAGCCAUCUAAUAACCCAUUCAAAAUUCGAUUUCGAAUUUCGAAUCCCCAACCAACUCUAAAAAUAUCUUCCAAUCAUGCAACAACCCAUUCAAAAUUCGAUUUCGAAUUUCGAAUCCCCAAGCAACUCCAAAAAUAUCUUCCAACCAUCCAAUAACAUAUUCAAAAUUCGAUUUUGAAUUUCGAAUCCCCAACCAACUCCAAAAAUAUCCAACAACCGAUUCAAAAUUCGAUGUUGAAUUUCGAAUCCCCAACCAAUUUCCAAAAUAUCCUCUAACCAUCCAACAACCGAUUCAAAAUUCGAUUUCCCCAACCAACCCCCGAAAUAUCUUCCAACCAACCAUAAUAACCGAUUCAAAAUUCGAUUUCGAAUUUCGAAUUCCCAACCAACCCCCAAAAUAUCUUCCAACCAAUCACAACAACCGAUUCAAAAUUCGAUUUCGAAGUUCGAAUUCCCAACCAACCCCAAAAUAUCUUCCAACUAACCACAACAACCGAUUCAAAAUUCGAUUUCGAAUUUCGAAUUCUUAACUGACUCCUCAAAAUAUCUCUCGCCACCUCUCCUAUUAUAAAUAUGAGAAUCGAAAUCAAACGUCGGACGAUAAAAGAAGAAGGGAAAAAAAAUAGAUAGAUUGCUAUACACGUUCUGACGUACAAAAAAUUCAAAGGAAGAGAGAUCGCCGAGCCGCCGAAAAGAGGAGAGAUCGCCGAACUGCGGAAAGGAGGAGAGAUCGCUGAGCCGUGGAAAGGAGGUGUCACGCCCCCACCCCGAGACCCCUACCAAUUUGGCAUGGUUCGGGCGCGGCGAACGGAAGCCGAACGGGCAGCACCUCCCCCGCCCGCCCAAGGCUCAACAACAGAUCGAGUACAAGAAUUUACCCAGGAAUUUAAAUUCUAUAAGUACACAAUCACAAAGGCACAAACAAUGCCAACAACAAAGAGCAAGUAAUCCACAAGAUACUCAAGUGAAAUAAAGAGAGAACUACUAGCUAUUACAUCACAUUGCAUUCUUUUUACAUUUACAUUUUUCUUUCCCAAAAUGAAUACAUGUUCAUCAAGUAUAUAACUCUCCAAAGUCCUCACCUACAAGAAUCUCUCUCAAAUACAUAGAUGUGCUAAUGCAAAAAGGAAAGCUACUACUCUACCAAGAAUCCUCACCGGUCGGGUGCGAUGCUCUUACCGCGGUCCUCGCCCGGCAAACCUGUACCUAGCCCUGGAAAAAAAGUGGGGUGAGAACUAUCUUCCAUAGUUCCCAGUGGGCUCGGCCGCCGACUUCGCCGAUCUCCCCACUAGGUCCAAGUGGGCAAAAGUAACACGAGAUAGAUAGAUAUAUGUAUAUCAAAGCUGUAAAGACAUAAUAGGAAAACUAUGCUACUAUGCCCAUAAUCAUGUGAAAUGAAUGCAUGCAUCAUAUAGUAAAAGAGUACUAUCAUACUAACAAGUUCAAUCCAUGUUCGAUAAGCUAUGUUCAAUGAUAAUAUUAACUUUUCAUUUACCCAAUCUGUGGCGAAACCCUUGGGUUUGCCUACGCUUCACAUAUCCAUCCCAUUGGGUAGGGAGGCUCUAUGUGCCCCCGAACUCGGGACUGUCUGCGGACAUGCACUCUGUCCCUAUCGCACGACACUCCGGAGUACUCGACGACCAAUCCUCUCCAUGUGAGGAUAUGGAUGGCUUUACCAUCCCGAAUAACAGACUAUGAGCUUGAUCUAUCCUCUCCACGUGAGGAUACCCUACGAACUAGGGCCAACAUUCUCUCCGAACUCAUCCAUUCCGGCAUUUAUACAUAAUUACCUAGCUAUACUAAGUUCAUUGUUCACGAGUCAUUUACUAGGGAAUCCACCUAUCCCUAAGUCCAUGAACCUCUAGUAUCAAAUACACUACAUAAUGCCACCCGUUCUGUUCUUUAAACAUUUAGAUGCCACUCUCUAUGUCACUAAAUAACCAUCGAGUUCAUCUCUUCACUUUAGCACUAUAGGAUCCAUGUUCCGACCCAAUCCUUACCUAUCUAUUUCACCAAGUAUUCCAUGUACACUAGGUUAACAUUUAGAAGCAUAAGGAAAAGGUACUACAAUGCAAUCCUACAAUGCAUGUAACACACUGGACCUUUGCAAGUUGCAAGGUUCGAGUGUUGGAGCUGAGUUCUGAACUUUUUCAGAUAUUCUCGAGGGUUGUGGAUAGUGGUCCGACCCAUGGAUCGUAUCUCGAGGAUUAUAGUAUUUUAUGUAGCGCUAAGUUCACGAAAGGGAUGGACUUAGGCUGCCCUCGGAUUGCUCUCUGUGCAUGGUGAAACCGGUGACAGGUCGCUGGUUGUACCGGUGCAGGAUUUGUACCGGUACACCUUGAUGGUUGUAACGGUACACUUCUGUUUUUCUGCAAACCCGAGGCUUGGGUUUGCAUUUUCGCAUGAUUUUUAUUGGUACACUUUUUCGUGUACCAGUACACUUUGGCAGAUUCUGAGCAGUUUGAACUGCAGGGGUGUUUUUGCAAUUGUGGCAUCUCUAUAUGAUCCCUCACACCCCUAGGGCUCUCCCUGAGCCUUGUACCAACAGAGAAGAGGUAAGGGAGCCCUCUUCACCAUUCCAUUUGAUUUUGAUCCCCAUUUUGCUUGGAUUUUGGUGGAUUUACUUCUCUUUUUACCUUUUGGAGCAAUUUCCACCUUGGUAGAGACUAGGAGCUUGGACUUGGGGCUUGUUUGAGGGAUGAUCCUUGAGCCUAGAGGACUUGGAGCUUGAUUUGAAGCUUCUAAAGAGGUUAGUAUCAUGAUCCUAGCCUUUGAUUCAUGUUUUGGUAGAUUUUACCCUUUGGAACCCUAAAAUGAGAACUUAGGGUUGAUUUUGGGCAUUUUGGAUCUAGGGCUUUUGGAGCUUAAUCUCUUGGAUUAGAACCUUGAUUUAGGUUGCUUUGGAAGGGAUUUAGCUUCCAUUUGGGAUUUAUAAGGAGAUUUCUACACCAUAGGUGAGUUUUGCCCCUUUGCAUGAAUUGGUUAUUGUUUGAGUUUGGUGUUGUUCGUAUGGUCCGUUUAACUCUUCUUUUUAUACCUCUAGGGUACUAGGGGACUAGAGGACACCUUCGUCGGAGCAAACGAAGGGGUUGCGAGAGUUGUGGUGGGUUUGACUUCAUAAAACCGGGGCAAAAUGUGUCCCCUAUGGGUGUUACCCUCGUCGUAACGUUAAAAUUCAUACAUAUUCAUGCUAGACAAAAUUUCUAUGAAUUUUAGAAUACUUAAAAUGCAUGCCUUAUGUAUUAUGAAAAUUUUGUUAAGGAUUUUCUAGGUAGGCGAAUUUCGUAAAGUCGAAUGGAGUCUUGAAGAGUUGAUCGCGGAGGUUUGAAGAGAAGAUUCAAUUUGAAGAGUAAAAGACUCAUUUGGAAAGCUCGGCACAUCAGGUAUGAAGAAUAGAUCAUUUGUGGUGAAUUUAUCUAAUUACAAUAAGUUCAGAAGACUUAGAUUGCUUUAAAACAUAUAAUCUGAACUUUUUAGUGUUCUGGGAUCGGUCCCAGAGUUGAGAGACCGGUCCCUGAGGGUCCUCACUGCGUAUGGUGUUGAGGCAACCGGUCUCUGGAGAGGGAAACCGGUUCCCGAACAUGGGAUUUUUUGUCACGCAGCGAGGGACCGGUCUCUGGCAUGAGAGACCGGCUCCCGAACGUUGUGUUUUCUGUCACGCAGCGAGGGACCGGUCUCCAACUCGAGGGACCGGUCUCCCAAAGACCGGUCUCCUCGAGAUGACUGGUCCCUGAGGACAACAUCAGUUUUUAAAAUAGACUUUUUGCAAUUCUAGUCCACUUCUAAGUCUUCUAAAUCUAUAAAUAAGCCAUGAGGGUCAUCAUAUGAGAUAAUGCUGAGAAUUUCUACUUUUCAAAAAUCCUAGAAACUUGUUUUUAUGUUCUAAUGAUUCUACUCAUAUAACGAGUUUCAUAUAGUCAACGAUCGACUUGAUUCUUAAGUUUUAACUCGAGAAUUUCUUCGAGAAUCAAGUUGAUGAUUGAUUAGAAGGUGAACCCUCAUUGCUUAUGGUAUUAUAAUUCUUAAUCACCACAAAUCAUCAAUUCUACGAGCUCCGGAAGGAGGUUCGACGCGUGGAUCUCGCGUGAAGCCGAGGAUUCGGUGGACGCUUCGAGGAGUUGAGGCGUUGAUGUGGCAAGGAGUUGCGGCGGGGUCGAUUGGAGGAUUCCUAUCGAUCGAGGACCAGCGAAGACAAUCGACAACGAGAAUUCGGUAAAUUGAGUCAUGUAUUUUGGAUAAAUCACUUGUACUCAAUUUUUUUUAGUGGAUUUUCUUCGUGUGAUCGGUCCCGUGGGUUUUUCACUCCGGAUUGGAGUUUUCCCAUGUUAAAUCUCGGUGUGCUGGUUUUAUUUUCUGCUAUCUUGUUUUACUCGCAUCGACAGUUUUAGCUUUUGCCGUUUACACCUAUUCACCCCUCUCUAGGUGUUAUUUACCUUUUAGAUCCUUGGGGAUCCAUAUCUUUCUAGUGGUAUCAGAGCGGGUAUAGGUUGUAAAUCAUGACCGAGGGUGGUAACAUCAAUCGACUCCCUCUCUUCAAUGGCACUAACUACGCUUAUUGAAAAGUCCGUAUGAGGGCGUUUCUUAUUGCCAUCGACGAGCGGGUAUGGCAAGCCAUUGAAUUCGGGUGGAAACAUCCUACCAAAGUUGUCGAGAAUGUUACCGGUCUGAAACCUAGAAAUAAAUGGACGAAAGAGGAAAACGAACUAUCUUCGUUCAACGGAAAUGGUAUCAAUGCUUUAUUCAAUGCUUUGAAUCAAACCGAAUUUUCUCGGGUCUUGGCGUGUGAAACCGCCUAAGAAAUUUGGAAUACUUUGCAAGUUACACACGAGGGUACAAGCUUAGUAAAGGUUCAAAAGUUGCAAAUGUUGACUAGUAGAUUUGAUUCUAUACAUAUGGAAGAACAUGAAUCCUUUACCGAGUAUUAUACUCGUUUGCAAGAUAUUGUAAACACGUGUGCUAACUUAGGCAAGAAAAUUCCGGACUCUAAAAUUGUUAGAAAAAUUUUGAGAACCCUUCCCGAACGAUUUCGUCCAAAGGUUGCGGCUAUUGAAACGGUAAAACAUCCGGAUGAACUUAAGGUAGAAGAAUUAGUAGGUGCACUUCAAACGUAUGAGAUGACUUUUUCUUCUAAUUCGUCUUCUUUCAAGUCUUCUUCUAAAGCUUCAGGGAUGGCUCUAAAAUCAACAAAAGGAGAUGACUCUACAACUUCAUCGGACUCGCAGUCGGAGCAAACCUUGGAGGAGUUUGAAAAGCAACUAGCGCUUCUAACGAAGAAGUUCCGUUGGAACUUUAGAAAGAAGUUUCCUCCUAAGUCCACUUCCUCCAAGUCAAGCAAAUCUAAAGGGAGUUCUUCUUCAUCUUCCUAUUCUAAGAAUAAAAAGUCCGAAAGCUCUUAUAAAGAUUUUUCAAAAGAGAAGAAAACUAAUGAAGGUCAAAUCCAAUGCUAUAAGUGUAGAGGAUUUGAUCAUAUUGCAUCGGAUUGUCCUAAUAAGAAGUCCUUGAAAAAAAAAAAAGCAAUGCAAGCCAUCACUUGGGAUGACUCGUCUUCGAGUGAGUCAUCUUCAAGUGAUGAGGAUGUUAACGCUACGGCACUUAUUGCACAUGACUCUUUUAUGUGUCUAGCAUCUACAGAUUCUAUCUCUAUGUCGUUUAUGUAUGAAAAAUCUUCUUCGGAGAAUUCAUCGGAUGAAGAAUCGGAUGAAGAUGACAUGGUCGCUGCAUAUCAACAAUUAGUUGUCGAAUCAAAGAAGGUGGCAAAACAUAACAAGAAGUUGCGGUGGAGACUAUAUGACUUGGAGCAAGAGAAUUCAAGACUGGACUCACUAACAAAGGAUCUAGUACAAGAAAAAGAUGGUUUGACUAAGGCUUAUGAUUCUUUAUUUGAGAAGUGUACAUUACUUGAAAAGGAAAAUGAGUCUCAUGUUGAAAAUACCAAUUUCCUUACCAAGCAAUACACGGAAGAUAGAGAAGUAAAUAUGGAAUUUACCAAGACGAUUUGUCACGCCCCGGGACCCGGCGUAAGCCCACCCGGUGCGUGCCCAGACCCGCCAUAUACCUGCACAUAUAAGGCGUCUACAACAAAACGAAUAAAUGAACAAAAAGUUGAAAGUACCUAGAGAUAUCAGAGCAAAUACACAGCUAGGUUCUAACAUCAGGUAGAGUUAAAAGAAAACAAUACUACUAAAGCAUAAAGUAAACUAAUACAUCAUAAAUCUCAAGAUAUAAAAAAAGGGUGGUCUCUAUAACCAGGUACAAAACUCUCACAACCUCUCCAAAGAAAACAGAAGAGAGAUCGACCACCUAUCGCCAAAUCCCUCGAUACCUAGCUCGAGGCAAAACCUUUCCCGCGAUCCUGAGCCUCUCUCGAAGUGGAAGGCUCUGAAAGAAAACAUAAAACAGGGGCGUGAGAACUAUAAAUUAUAGUUCCAAGUGGGCAAUUACUGACCUCCACCAACUGCACCACUAGGCCCAAAAGAGAGCAGAUAAGGUUAAUAGAAAUUAACUGCGGUAAAUAAAGCAUAAAGAUAAAAUGGUACACUAUUAUGCCACAAGUAUGUAAAAUGUCAACAUGGAGUACAUCUACUCUACAUGAUCCAGUAUGCCGAUACUUAAACAAGUAUGCUAUGAUGCAACAAAUAAUACUAUGAAGUAUGAUAAAUGCCCCAAAGCGAACUACAUAUCUAGUAUGUACUAUCAUGGCAACCAAGUAUACUACAAUGCAACGAGCAAUACCGUCAAGUAUACUAUAUAUCUCAAUGCCCAACCCUAUGCCAUAGCAUGUCAAGAAAUCCAACUACUAUAACUUGUCUAGUAGUGAUUAUCAACUUGUUGUUUAAUAUUCGGAUUCAAUCUCAUUUAGGACCUACACAGUUGUGGUCUGGCUUGUGCCGCCUAAGUGCCAGUGGUAGCUCCAGCAUUCCCACUCUAGGAAUGAGUCUAACCCUCCAGGCCCCGUAGGCUACUCGAUACCGCACAAGGAAACAUAAGUCGCGUAGGCUAACUCCGGAGUGCCGGCUUGUAGGGAGCGACCCGUACAAGCAUGUGCGAAUGAGCACAAAUGGCAAACAAGCAUGGUCAUCGUCUCAAGUACCCAAUCAUCAUGUCUCUAACAUGGUAACAGUCACUAGCAAUCCAAAGGUCUAGUACUAUGUCUCAAUGUGAAGGUUUAACCAUUCAAUAGUUUUCAGGUCAAUGAGCUUAGCUUUACUAAGUCCAAAUCGCAAGAUGAUGUUCCAACAUUCACUAUGUUUGGUGCCUCUUUAUGACACUUAAACAUUUCUAUAAUCCAAGCACAUUACACAUUCUAUAUCUCUUUAUGACAUUAGCUUGUACUAUCAAUAAUAGGUUAAUACACAUGCUCUCUAGCGUGUUCUCAUAUCGCUACGUGCAGGUUCUUCCCAAUGCAACUAUCAACUUUGCAUAAUUCUCAUAAUAAUAUUAUGCACAUACCAUUCACAUAUCCAUCAAGUCUAAUGCCGCUUUAUGACAUUAGCUUGCUAAGUCCAUUUCUAGUCCAAGCCUAAUGCCGCUUUAUGACAUUAGCUUACUAUUUGUAUACACUCUAGCCUAUGUCACUUCAAUGACGAUAUGUCUAACCAUGUCAAGUAUGCGUUCUAAGUCCAAGAGUGUAAUCUAUAUGCCAUAUGCACCAUAUGCAACAUGAUCUCAAACCAAUGUAAGAAUGCUAAUCAUAUGCAAAGUUUCAAGUCUGAACAGUUCUCUACUAUAUAGAGGGCCACUGUACUUUAUACAUAGUAUGCACAUAUUAAGCAUUCUAAAAUUCUCAAAUAUUCCAUCUAAUAAGAAUAUGCAUGCUUUUUUAUUUUAUAACACUUAAAUCAUCAACAAUGAGAUUUUCUCAUUGUGUGGCUAGGUCAAACCCACCGAACCGUCACGUAGUCCCUUCUUUCGCCGAACGGAGUUCUCCACGAGUCUCAAAAUACCCUAAAAGUAAUGAGCGAAGGGAUACACAAGUAUUACGAACAACUAUAAGAUCAAACAUUAACCAUCAAGGCAAAAGGGCUAAAAUCUCACCUAUGGAGUAGAAAAUCUUUCCCAAGCUCCAAAAGAGAGCUAAAUCCCUUCCAAUCCAACCCAAAGGAAGAUUCUAAUUCAAUCAAUUGAACUCCAAAAGUUCUAGAUCAAAAAUCCCCAAAACAAGCCCUAAAUCCUCAUUUCUAGGGUUUCUAUACAAAAAUCAUGAAAAUCAUGAAAGAAAGGGAAAUAGUAAGCAACUAACCUCUCAUAAAGCCUCAAACAAGGUUCAAAAUCCACAAGGGUCGAAGAUCUCACCUCCAGCGAGCUCAACUCCAAGCUCCCAAGCUUCUCCCAUGGUGGAAAAGUCACCAAAAGGCAAAAAGAGAGCAAAAGAGAAAAUUAAACAUCAAAAAUCUUAAUUAAAGAAAAGAAAAAGAAAAAGGGGAAGAGGUGUAGGAUACCGAACUUCUGAAAAUAGGAAGUUACGGUAGGAUAGUAUGUCGGAGUUUAUUAUAAAAAUAAAUAUAAAUAAAAAUAGUGUGAGAUACUAUUUUAUUGGACUCAUAGAAGUAAUGUAUAAGUUGGAAAUGACCUGUGCUGAAAUCGGAGCGAAAAUCGAAGAUUUAGAAUUUUCUGUGAGGAAUGGGGCAGAUAAAUUAGCAGAAAAUACACAGUGUCAGAAAAUUAUGAAAACUGGAGGAUAUGUCAGAAUUAUUUUUAUGAGGCUAGAUUUAAAGUUUCAGCNUUUAUACUUGUGCCUUGCUCUUACUUGUUAGCACUUGUUGUGCUCUUGUGAUUGUGUACUUAUGAAUUGAUUCCUGGGUAAAUUCUUGUACAUGAUCGUUUGCUUAGCCUUGGGCGGACAGGGGAGACUCUGUCCGUUCGGCGUCUGUUCGACGCGCUCGAACCGGACCAAAUUGAUAGCGGUCUCGGGGCGUGACAAGAGGAGAGCUCCCUCACCUUCUUUUCCACUGCUGGCAAGCCCAGGAAACACCAAGGGGCGCGGGGUGUAUUUGUAAUGAUGCUGCAAUAGCAAAAACACCCCUGCAGUUCACACUGCUCAAAACUGCCACUGCGUACAGGUACACGGGUCCACGUACCGGUACACAUCCCACGAAAUAGCCAAACCCGAGCCUCGGGUUGGCUGGGAAGCUGCUUGUGUACCGGUACACGAUCCCGUACCGGUACAGCCAUCAACUCUGUACCGGUACACAGCCCAAUGAAGGCUACUCGAGAGCUAACCAAAAAUUCGAUUUUUCGGGUUUUGGUGCUAGGCUUCAAAUCUCCAUUCUCGGGACUCGAGCCAUAGGUCGGAACACUGUCUACGACCCAUCAGAAAGUCUGGAAAAACUCAGGACACCGUCCAAACACUCGAACCUUGCAAUUUGCAAAUGUCCAGUGUGUUACAUUCUUCACUCCUAAAAAGGAGUUUCGUCCGCGAAAUUGCUGGUCAACUACAACAAACCUAUCCAAAGAGGAUGGAAGAAGCGCUCUAGUAGCGCACCAAACAGACCAUGGUGGUCUCAAGUAUGCCGGAAAACCCCAAGGCACAAACACAACAAGAUCUCGCGACGCCAAGGCUUUGGCAUAACACAACCCAAACUUUCGCAUAAGCUCCUUGAACUCAAACCUUCACCGAAAGUUCCAUCUCUAAUCCGCACUUGAUCGACACGUCCAUCAGUUGGUCCUCACGAACCCAAGUGUUUCCGAAAGUUGAAUUUCAACUCUCACCUUUCUCGUCCAUGUCGAGGGUAAAGCAUUACUCUGCUUCAAUUACUCUAAUAUAUAGAAUUCCAUCCAAAUACCCCUCAAGGGUAGAUUCCAUGGUGCUAACCAAAGCAAGCGUCAGGGGGGGUUAAAUCCAUUACUCAUCUAUCGGAACUCCAUCGGAGUGCUCAUCUGAUCAACACUCACCAAGGAGAGGUGAUGCAACAUCCACUCAUCGGCUCAUAUUCCAACGAUGAUCCUUCAAAUCCAAGGUCAACUCUCUUCUCGAGAUGGCACAACUGAGUGCAAUUCAAUCCAAGGUUAAGUAUGGUGUACCCCCUUCCAUCUCAUUGCUAAUUGCAACUUCCACCUAUCCAUCCAAUCUUGCUUGGCACGAACGGUUCUAAACCAACAUCCAAGGUAGCCAACCUUCCAAUAGUAACAGGAACCGACGAAUCGUCCAACUCGCUCACCAAAGGUGAUCACUUGAUUCCUCAAUCGGUACGGCGAUACGAUGUCUCCACAUCAAUCUCAAACUCACCACUCGGGAGUACCCUCAAAUCCACUGCAAAACGGGGUCAGGAACUAAGCUCAAAGGCUUCAUCAAUGCACUAAGAUCAUCAUAAUAGUCCCAACUCAAGUCCAAGUAAACUCUUGCAAGCCUAGGCCAAGGGCCUAGCUUCGACAGAAGGUCCAUAACAUGACCGCUCGAAAAUUUUUGAUCUCAAUGCUUUUCCUAGCAUUGGAUGCUCCAGGUGUCCAUAGCCAUCGAGUUCAGUUCACGCGAUAGAGAGGGAUCAAGCCACAGUUCAGUAAUAACUCUCUAUCAAAGUCAUCCUGAAGCGACUGUCAAGCCAAAAUCCAUCCAAUAAGUCCUCAUAUGCAGCUCUAUCCCAAAGGGCUCAAAUCCUUGUACACGCUCCUGACAAGGGAAAUUAGUAACUUGGUACCUUCUUUCUCGCGAGUCCUCCAUCCAUCAGUGAGAGUCCCCCAACUCGAUCACUUCGAACCUGCCUACGCAGUCCAAACUCGCACUUCCUAAAAAAAAAAGGAAAUAUCCUAGGCCAUCCUUGACUGGUUCCACAAAUCCAUCCAGAGGGCUUGGGACUAUCGCUCAACAAGUCCUUAACACUGGUGGAGUACAAUAGGCUUAGGCAACAUCAUCCUCGUGAUGUCCCCACCUAGCAUCACUAUCCGUUGGAGGUACGACCUCAAACUCCAACAUCAAACAGUACUACUUAGUUUGCUUACAAUCUUAUCGAGUACACCAACAACUUAAGGCCAUUUGACAAAGUCAAUGAGCCUCAGCACGGUCCAAACACCCAAUCGUGGUUAAAUUUGAAUCACGAUAGUCGACAUACAGUCAAAAUGACCCAACUGGUCCCAUAACAAGUGAGAGGGCUUCUCCACGAAGCAAAACACUAACUAUAAAACCACCCCGCCAAUCGAGCUCACGAUUUGUGACUCGGUCGGGGACACAACGACGGAUCAAAGACAUCCUUCAUUUCAAGGAUUCUCAAUCAUCAAAAGCUAAUGGCCAAAUAGGCCCCAAAUCCUCUCCAACACUUACCCAAUUUUAGGUAAGGGAGACAGUCAACGCAACCAGCGGAAUUAAAUCCUCAAAUUGCACUAUUUCGUGCUCAAGGUCCUCAAGGCGAGUCAAGUCAGCUCGCUAUCCAAGGGUACCAGGUACCCACAACAACUCCACACCAAAAAAGGCCAAUCUAUUUGUUGGCACACAGAACCAUCUCAUAUGGUAGGGCGUUCGAAACGACACACCCGAUCAACCGAUCAUCUACACGCGCCGAAAUGUUCAACACUACAACUCCUCGGGUUGGGUCACUACAAACUCGGUGUGUCCUUGAUCUCACGAUCCAACACGUGGCUUUCCACGCUCCAGGGUCUACGCUCGGACUACCGUCCUGACCAAAACUCUGCCCUACCCGUAGGUACCAGGCCGCUGUCACACACAGCCGACUGCGCCUACCCAACGGGCCCAGGCUCCACAGUCCCCAAAUGGUCCAGGUACGGUCGUCUCCAAGCACCACUCGGCAAGCAGCCAAUCUAGGGAUGCAACUUAUGCUAUCCUCGUGAGAUCUGCAAGCAUAGCAAAACAUGCUUCCCACAACCCGCAGAUCAACCGCCUAGCUCGAUGGGCUACACAAUGUCGCAAACAGCGAACUAACAAAAUGCUAUGCAACUCGGCGAGUAGCCGAUCAUAGAUGCAAUGCACCAGUAACCAAUGAUGCACAACUCAAAUGCCACAAACGAGACUGAUACCUGUAGUCACAAACUCGGCCGCUGCUGCCUCCUCCGCCUGGGCCACGUACAGGCGCCCGCUCGGAGCCCGUUGUAGUGUUCUUGACCUUUGGAUAGGAUUGGCUUCAGUAUUAGUGACUGGUCGACAUCUCUGGAGAGUGUCGGACUGAGUCGGAGUCAAUUCUGCACGAAUUGGAUGCAGAAUUGGACUCGGCGCACUCAAAUAGGCAAAACUCAAGUUUUGCCAGAUUCGGGCGCCCAGAACAUAGUUCCGGGCGCCAUAAAUGCCCGUUUCUGCAGGGACACUGGAUAGCAGCUUGAGUUCCUGGGGCUGUCUGGAUCAUUUUAACUCUCUAUAAAUAGAUGGAAUACGCCCCUUUGCUGCUCUUUUCCUCCCUUCUUCACAGAGAAGUCCCUUUUAGCAUCUCUACCCUCGGAUUUGCCUCAAAUUGCAUCAAACUUCCAUUGAUCCAGCUUGAGAGAGUGCUGAUUCUGCAGUUCUUCAGCGGCGACCUCUAGUGUUUUGGCUCGUGCGCGACGUAGGAAGGUCGGAUUUCGACGAAACUUGGUUUUCUGGAUUCUAGACUUCCAGAGGAAUCCACGAAGCCCUGAAUUGUAGAUUUUGGUUGAGGUUAGCUUGGUCGAAUUGAGGUUUUUCUGGACUGCUGUUGGCUUUGAGCUGAAAAUGGGAUUUUUGAGUUUUUCUUGAUGUUAACUUUGUUGGCAGUGGGAUUUUGGACCUGAGAUUGUUCACCCAUUAGUAGUUGCUGGAUUUGGAUCUGUCCUCACCCGAUUUGGAGAUCAUUAGGUGAGUUUUGACAUUGGAAUGGAGAUAAUUAAGCUUAAGUGCUGAAAUUUUGAUAAAUUGAUGGUUUUUAUUGGAUUUUUGGGUGAAUUGUAAAUCCAGAUCUUGAGGGGCUUUGUUGCUGGUUUGGAGGUGUUUCCAGCAGUGUUGCUUGUGAUCCGAGACCAUCUUGCUGCCAGGAAUUGCACUAGAGGUGGGUGUAUCAUCGGUUUCGCUCCUAAGUGCAUGUUUAGUCGACGUGUAUAGUUCGAUUUUUGUAUAUCAUGCUUUAAUUCAUCGAUUAGUAUUUUGAAUGUAAUAUGAAUGUAGAAGCAUGCUGAAAUGAAUGUUUAUAUUAUACAUGUUGGACUUGAAAUUUGACUUAGGAGAAAACCUGCGUUUUGACCCGUCAUAUGCUUAAACUACCAGAUUUAGCUCUAGGAGCCGUGAUUCGAUUGUAUCGUUGCAGUAUCAGUGCGAUGGAUACCUGGGGUAGUUUAGAAAGCAUUUACGCUCGUGCUGGGGUGCCGAGCUUAUUUUUUAGCAGAGUAUAGGCUGUUUCGGGUCGUUGGGUGCCGUUCGGGUUAGCGGUGGACCCAGAUUCUUGUUUUGGUCACAGAUUGUGCCGAGGGCACGUGGGUUUGGUUUGUAGACCUGUUUUGACCCUGUUUACUUGACUUUGGCUAGUUGGAGCCUGUUUGAGCUCGACAGAGAUACGCUGCAUACUCGGUUGGGUAGUGCCCACGAGUGCCACUCCGGAGUCAGGCUUUGUGCUUUCGCGUUGGUGUCGCUCAUGCCGGUUGGACUUGCUCUCCACGGACCAGUUGUGUGGAUAGAGCCUGAUAGUUGCAACUGGGCAGGGACAGGUGUGUUCACAGUCCCAGGGACGGGUAUGUCUACAGUCCCGAUUGGAUUGGAUCAGAUUUGAUAUUUCCUACAGUUGGUUAGUGUAGAGCAUGAUAGUAUAGUGAUUCGUAGCGGUUGAGUUUAUUUCCUGCUUUUUGGCUAUUCUUGCUCCCUUCUGUAGACUUAGUGGGUGGACCGAUGUUGUUUUGGGCGGUACCCACUGAGGACUACUUGUUUUUACAGUAGUUCUCAUGCCCAGUUGUUAUCCUUGUUUUGCAGAGCCACAGGUUUCGGCUGCUGCGCCUUCCGCGGAUCAGGAUCGAGGCAAGGGCGUCGCGAGUUAGAGCCCUACACGACGUGCUGAGCUAGAGGUGCCCCUACUGCAGGUAGAUGUUUUGUUUCGAGUUUAUGUACAUAGUGGACUUAACUCGCCAGUGCGAGUAGCUUUGUAUUUUGGAUUUGGACUAUGUAUAUGAAACUCAGUUUGUUUAGCUUCUGUUUUCUCUAGUAGCUCUUUACUACUGUUCGUAGUAGUGUUUGAUUUACAGGUACAGCUAUCGCUUCGUAUACAGGGAAAAUUCCUUUGUAUACGGCGGAUUUGUCGGCGCACCCUGGGGAAAGUGUAAUCCGGGGCGUGACACCCGUCGUGACCCAUCCGUCUGUCUCUGGACCGGUGGCCUCCCGGCCUGAUAGUGGGCAGAAGACGUCCCCUGGCUGGGACCCGGUAAUACUGGUGCCGAUGCUGAAGGUGGCGCUGAUACUAAACCCCUCGAACAGUCUGACAGGAAGUGACCCUCCUGGCCACACGAGUAGCACCUGCCCUGCCUCUGUGAGCACUGCUGCGGGUAAUGACGACCACCGCAGAUCACGCAGCUCAGAGUCUGACGACGCUCGGAUCCUCUAUGCCGUGCUGAUGAGCCACGUCCUCGCGACUGGCUCCGGUUCCUGGAAUGUCUCGGCGGCCUCCCAGAGUGCGUCUGACUCGCACCCUCAGCCGCGGGCCUCUUGCCUUUUUCUUUGUUCGAGCCUUCUCGACGCUCCCGCAAGUCUGUCGCGCAGCUUUCCACGAUGAGAGCGCGGUUCACCACAUCUUGGUAAGUCUAAAGGUUGGAGGGUUGCACCAUCUGAAAGAUCGACGGCCGAAGUCCUCGCUCGAAGAUGCAAGCCUUAUCCUCGUCGUCCCGCACAACAAAGGGCGCAUAGUGUAGAAGCCGAGAGAACUCCCUCUCGUACUCGGCCACAGUCCGAUCCCCCUAGCGCAUCUCGCGCAGAUCCUACUCCAUUUUUCUCUUAACGUGGACGAGGAAGUAAUGCUCCAAUAAGAGCUCCUUGAAUCUCUUCCAAGAAAUCGCUGCUAGGUCAGUGUUGGGAUUAUCCUGGAUACCCACCCACCAGCUAUAGGCGUCGCAGUCCAAAUGGUGAGUGGCGAGCCAAACUCUAUCUCUCUCCUCCACGAAAGUGUCGUGGAAUAACUUCUCCAUGUGCAUCAACCACUUCUCAACAAUCCAGUGGUCGGCUUUCUCUCCAUCAAAGAUCCUGGGGUCGCACCUCCUGAACUCGUUGAGGCGAUCCAUGAGCCGCUGCCGCUCGGCUCCUUUAACCAUCAAGGGAAAAGUCGCCGCUGCUACAGGCACCUGAGCUGGUGGUGCUGCCAAUACCUCCUCCCGAGGGGCUACCACAAGUGUCGUCUGCGAAGGGUCGAGUACAGGGAAUGACCCCUCGGGCGCAACUGUCUCAACUGGCGCGGGUAGUACCGGGACCCGGGCCUCUCUGACAGCUGCCUGCUGCAAUAGAAGAUCCUCCAGGCGCUGCAUCCGUGCCUCCUGCCGGCGUGCCGUAUCCGCCUGCUGCUGAGCCGCCGCCGCCUGCUGCGUCACCAAAUCAGUGAGGGCGGCAAGUUGGCUCCUCAACUCACGGACCUCACCGGAUCCGGAGGUAGCGGAUGUCUCCGCUCCCUCAAAAGGCGCCGCAUCGUCCGCUCUAAUAGACUUAGAGCAUGUAGUCGGCAUCAACACUACAACAUCAUAAAAGCGCAAGUUAAUAUAACCCACGCUAUCGCAUAAAGUAAACUAAUAUAUCAGGUAAAGUCAAAAGAAAACAAUACUACUAAAGCAUAAAGUAAACUAAUAUAUCAUAAAUCUCAAGAUACAAAAAUAGGGUGGUCUCUAUAACGAGGUACAAAACUCUCACAACCUCUCCAAAGAAAACAGAAGAGAGAUGGACCACCUAUCGCCAAAUCCCUCGAUAGCUAGCUCGAGGCAAAACCUUUCCCGCGAUCCCGAGCCUCUCCCGAAGUGGAAGGCUCUGAAAGAAAACAUAAAACAGGGAGCGUGAGAACUAUAAAUUAUAGUUCCCAGUGGACAAUUACUGACCUGCACCAACUGCACCACUAGGCCCAAAAGAGAGCAGAUAAGGUUAAUAGAAAUUAACUGCGGUAAAUAAAGCAUAAAGAUAAAAUGCUACACUAUUAUGCCACAAGUAUGUAAAAUGUCAACAUGGAGUACAUCUACUCUACAUGAUCCAGUAUGCCGAUACUUAAACAAGUAUGCUAUGAUGCAACAAAUAAUACUAUGAAGUAUAAUAAAUGCCCCAAAGCCAACUACAUAUCGAGUAUGUACUAUCAUGGCAACCAAGUAUACUACAAUGCAACGAGCGAUACCGUCAAAUAUACUAUAUAUCUCAAUGCCCAACCCUAUGCCAUAGCAUGUCAAGAAAUCCAACUACUAUAACCUGUCUAGUAGUGAUUAUGAACUUGUUGUUUAAUAUUCGGAUUCAAUCUCAUUUAGGACCUACACAGUUGUGGUCUGGCUUGUGCUGCCUAAGUGCCAGUGAUAGCUCCAGCAUUCCCACUCUAGGAAUGAGUCUAACCCUCCAGGCCCCGUAGGCUACUCGAUACCGCACAAGCAAACAUAAGUUGCGUAGGCUAACUCCGGAGUGCCGGCUUGUAGGGAGCGACCGGUACAAGCAUGUGUGAAUGAGCACAAAUGUCAAACAAGCAUGGUCAUCGUCUCAAGUACCCAAUCAUCAUGUCUCUAACAUGGUAACAGUCACUAGCAACCCAAAGGUCUAGUACUAUGUCUCAAUGUGAAGGUUUAACCAUUCAAUAGUUUUCAGGUCAAUGAGCUUAGCUUUACUAAGUCCAAAUCGCAAGAUGAUGUUCCAACAUUCACUAUGUUUGGUGCCUCUUUAUGACACUUAAACAUUUUUAUAAUCCAAGCACAUUACACAUUCUAUAUCUCUUUAUGACAUUAGCUUGUACUAUCAAUAAUAGGUUAAUACACAUGCUCUCUAGCGUGUUCUCAGAUCACUACAUGCAGGUUCUUCCCAAUGCAACUAUCAACUUUGCAUAAUUCUCAUAAUAAUAUUAUGCACAUACCAUUCACAUAUCCAUCAAGUCUAAUGCCGCUUUAUGACAUUAGCUUGCUAAGUCCAUUUCUAGUCCAAGCCUAAUGCCACUUUAUGACAUUAGCUUACUAUUUGUAUACACUCCAGUCUAUGUCACUUCAAUGAUAAUAUGUCUAACCAUGUCAAGCAUGCGUUCUAAGUCCAAGAGUGUAAUCUAUAUGCCAUAUGCACCAUAUGCAACAUGAUCUCAAACCAAUAUUAGAAUGCUAAUCAUAUGCAAAGUUUCAAGUUUGAACAGUUCUCUACUAUAUAGAGGGCCACUAUACUUUAUACAUAGUAUGCACAUAUUAAGCAUUCUAAAAUUCUCAAAUAUUCCAUCUAGUAAGAAUAUGCAUGCUUUUUCAUUUUAUAACACUUAAAUCAUCAACAAUGAGAUUUUCUCAUUGUGUGGCUAGGUCAAACCCACCGAACCAUCGCGUAGUCCUUCCUUUCGCCGAACGGAGUUGUCCACGAGUCUCAAAAUACCCUAAAGGUAAUGAGCGAAGGGAUACACAAGUAUUACGAACAACUAUAAGAUCAAACAUUAACCAUCAAGGCAAAAGGGCUAAAAUCUCACCUAUGGAGUAGAAAAUCUUUCCCAAGCUCCAAAAAAGAGCUAAAUCCCUUUCAAUCCAACCCAAAGGAAGAUUCUAAUCCAAUCAAUUGAGCUCCAAAAGCCCUAGAUCAAAAAUCCCAAAACAAAUCCUAAAUCCUCAUUUCUAGGGUUUCUGUACAAAAAUCAUGAAAAUCAUGAAAUAAAGGAAAAUAGUAAGCAACUAACCUCUAAUGAAGCCUCAAACAAGGUUCAAAAUCCACAAGGGUCGAAGAUCUCACCUCCAAUGAGCUCAACUCCAAGCUCCCAAGCUUCUCCCAUGGUGGAAAAGUCACCAAAAGGCAAAAAUAGAGCAAAAGUAAAUAAAAAAAAAACUUUUGAAGUUGAAGGAUCAAUUUUAAUAUGACUUAUAGAUGAUGAGUUACUAUAUAUUUUUAUCCUAAUGAAACUCUAGCUGCCUCUCUUACUCAUUACUUUUUUUCUAAUUUUUUUACUCUUUGUUUUUUACUCUUUUUAUUUUCAUUUUAUUUCCGCCAACAAUAUUUCAUUGUCAACAAUAUAGUUUGUCUAUUGACUAUUUAAUAAAAUUUAUAAAAAAUAUAUAUUUAUACGGAUAUCCGUACCCGAUGUAGACCCGAUCCAUAUCCGGUCUUGAACGGGUAGUAUACGGGUCGUCACUAUUCAGACCCGCUCAAAUAGAUCCAAUGGGUAUAUUAGUAACUUUAGUACCCGACCCGGACCCGGCCCGAAGUUAAAUGGGUAGGGUAUAUAUAUUUUUUUGUAACCAUUUCUUUUUAGUGUAUGGAUAUAGUAUAUUAAUUAUCCAAACCCGACCCGGUUCACGGAUAUCUUUAUGUCCAAGCUUGGCGGGGUUAUGGAGCGACAGGUGUUGCGGACACGCGUCCGCCUGACCGCCCCGGUUGCCGGUCCACUUCCACCCCCCGGGGCCCCGAAGAACACAACAUAGUUAGUUAAUUCGCGAAUUAUUCGCGAAUAAUUCGCGAAUUUUUGAAAAAGCCGAAUAAAACAGCCGUUUUCAUGUUUUUUUCAAAAAUUCGGGAAAAUUCGUGUUUUUUUUUGGCUAAAAAUAAUUAUUCACGAAUUAAACGCGAUUUGCGAAUAAUUCGGCCCAACAGCCCGGUUGCAGGUUGCUGUGAGCCUGCGACGCAGAGUAGCGGAGUCGGACUCGGGCCUCGCGGGUGGCCCAAAAGAGGAAAAAAAAUCAUUUCUGUGUCUGUCGCCCAAAAGGCCAAAAAAGAAACAAAAAAAAAUCCUCUCUUUCAGACUGGCCCCCCACCCGCCCCCCCCAACCCACGAGUCCCACUCCUAUCCAUAGUUAGUUAAUUUGCGAAUUAUUCGCAAAUUAUUCGAGAAUUUUUAAAAUUCCGAAUAAAACGUCCGUUUUCAAAUUUUUGAAAAAAUUUUGAAAAAAAUUACGUUUUAUUGGAUAAAAGUAAUUAUUCGCGAAUUAAACGCGAUUCGCGAAUAAUUCCGCUCAAAAAAAACGCCGCCGUUGCUGCGGUCGCGGGCCUCGCGCAUGGCCCAAAACAGAAAAGAGUUCGCAACUCAAAAAAAAAACCCUUCUCUGAAAUCGCCCCCUCCCAGUCUCCCAGACUCCCAGCCCCAGCCCCAUCCCUCCCAAAAAAGGGUUUGCCCUAACUUCUCACCCCUGCGGCGGUGCGGCCCUGCCACCGACCCGUGCGGCGGUCGCGGUCCCUUCCCCUCCCCCUCUUCCCUUCCGGCUGCUCGCCGAACGCAAUCGGAAGCCCCCCUCUUCAGAAAUCGAAGAUCGAGUUCUUCACUCUUCAGAAAUCGAAACCCUCCCCGUCGCCUCUUCCUCUUCCGCUUCCGCUAUCCAACGAUAUAUAGAUCAGUAAUAAGGUGGUUCUUUACAAACCAAGUACGAUUUGAGUUUUCAUUCUUUAAAGCAAAAGUUGGAAGCUUUUAGUCCAUCUGAUGGAUACUUUUUUAUACACAAAUGGCUCGAGUGCUUAAAUUGAAUGUGUCCAUUCUCUGUUCAUCGCACCUAAUUGUUAAGAACUAAAGACCCAAACAUAGAGCUAAAUAAUGUAUUAACCUAGGGACACGGAACUCUUGUAUUAUACCUAAUCAAUUUCAUGAUCUUGUCGACACUUGCAAAAGAAAAUUUGUUGUGUGGUCUUUCAUGGAAAAUUUUGUUGUGGUUAAAUCAGAGUCGGAGUUCGCUGAUUAUAAUUACUAAAACUUUCUGUGUUUGUAUGCUCUAUAUUUUAUUCAAGCUUUUAUGUAUGUUUAUAUGUGGAAUUAUGAACUUUAUGUAUUUUUAUUUGUUUACUGUUUAGACUUUAGAAUUUAGAUAUGCUAGUAUGCUGUUAUGCACUAUGCAAAGUGCCUGUUUCUCUUGGAUUUAAUUUCUAACUAUGCUUGUAUGUGAAUCUUUUUAUAUUUACAUUUAAAUAUGGACUAUCUUGAUCUCUUAUUUGCUUAAUUAUUUUUUUUUUUUUAGGCAUAAUAUAGUUUGUUAUUUUUUUUAGUUAAUUAGUUUAAUUUUGUAGUUCUUUAUUUUUAUAUUCUUAAAAAAUAUGAGUAUUUAUGCUAAUAAUAUAAAUCUUGAGAGAAAAAAACUUAAUUUAAUAGCCGAAUUUUUAAUCCCGAAUUUUUAAUUGGUGAACGUAUAAUAUCUGUAUAAAUCACGUAUCCGAAUAAUUACUGAAUCUGUUUUUUAACCGUAUUUUUCAACGAAUUUAAAAAUUCGAAGACGAAUUUUAUCCGAAUUAUACCCGUACCGAAUUUUUGCCGAAUCCGAAUUAACUAACUAUGCUCCUACCCCGACCCCUCCCAGUCCCAAAAAAGGGUUGCCCUAACCCUCCUCGUCGCCUCUUCCUCUUCCUCCGCUUCCAACGAUAGAUCAGUAAUCGAUCGGGUGGUUCUUUACAAACCAGGUGCGAUUUGAGUUUCCAUUCUAAAAAACAAAAGUUGGAAGCUUUUAGUCCAUCUGAUGGAUACUUUUUUUAUACACAAAUGGCUCGAGUGCUUAAAUUGAAUGUGUGUCCAUUCUCUGUUAUGCCCAAACAUAGAAGACCCAAACAUGGAGCUAGAUAUAAUCUUAAUUAACUUAGGGACCAGGUGUCCAUUCUCUGUUAUUCUCUGUUAUGUGGAAUAGUGAACUUUAUGUAUCUUUUAUUUAUUUAUUGUUUAGACUUUAGAAUUUAGAUAGGCUAGUAUGCAGUUAUGCACUAUGUAAAGUGC
rnacentral:lncRNA from 1 species